rnacentral:lncRNA from 1 species
CACCUAGUGAUAGUUGUUUUAUUUAUAAUAUGAUAAUAACAACCACCUAGUGGUAGCUGAUUUAUUUAUUACAUGCUAAUAACAACCAUGAGUUGAUAGUUGAUUUAUUUAUUAUAUGCUAAUAACAGCUAUCAGCUAGUGGUUGAUUUAUUUAUUAAUUGCAGUCUUGUUCAUUUACUUCAGUCUUUUUAUUUAAUUAUGUUAAAUCAUAUGUGAAUCCUAAUUUGUACUUGUACUCACAGAAAAUAAACCUAAGAAUUCAUCAAAGGAAAUAAAAGAUAAACGACAAUACAAAUAUUGCGUUUUGUUUUGUCUUAUUUUUUAAAAUUUUAUUUUCAAAUAUAUACGCAUGCAUGAUAAAGAUUCACAAUUAUAUAUAUAUAUAUAUAUAUAUAUAUAUAAUCCGUCGAGGUGUUUUAGUUGACUAGCUAGUAUAAACUACCAUCUACCAAAUCGUUAUUAGCUAACGAGCUAGUGUAAAUUUUCAUCUUGGAAGCUAGUAUAAACUAUCAUCUAUAAAAUUGUUAUUAGUAGAGGAACUACGAAUGUAAACUAUCGUCUAACAAACUGUAUUAGUUGAUGAGCUAGUGUAAAUUACUAUCAUUUACCAAAUAGUUAGAUAGACUGUUGGCUACAGUCAAAUGUGUUUUGGAUCAAUUCCUAUAUAUGUGUGUGUGUGAAAAAUUCAUGAAAAUCUAAAACUUAGUUGUUUUGGUACUAUUGAAUUGAUUUAUCUUUUCAUCUUUAUUUUUUUUUAAUUUACUACCCGACCCAAAUCUUUUCUCUUCUCGUAUCAAUAGUAAGUUUAAGAUUGGAUGAUAUUUUUGUCCCUUCAUUUUUUGUCAAUUGAGUCCUUAAAGUGGUCAAUUGAUGUCAAUUCUGUCUCUUUUCUCCAAAUUAACCCAAUUUCUUCUAAAUUGAAGUACAUGCUCGGCAUAUAUAUGCGAUUUAAGUUGGGGCAAAAAUGUCUCCUAACACAAUAAUAAUAAUAAUAAUAAUAAUAAUAAUAAUAAUAAUAAUUCAAAAUUAUCUAAUGAAAAGACAUAAUUUAAGCAGUACCAUCUUGUAAUUUAUGUAAUCACUUUAUUUAAUAUCACAAUAAACCAGCUAGUGAUAGUUGUUUUAUUUAUAAUAUGGUAAUAACAAGCACCUAGUGGUAGUUUGAUUUAUUUAUUACAUGCUAAUAACAACCAUGAGUUGAUAGUUGAUUUAUUUAUUAUAUGCUAAUAACAGCUAUCAGCUAGUGGUUGAUUUAUUUAUAUAUCGUGCUAAUAACAACCAUCAACUAGUAUAUAGUUUCUUGAUUUACUGUUGAUCGGAAGAUUACUGAUCGUUCAUUUAGGUGUUGGUGGGACUAAUGUUAACACCAUAGAUAACUAAACCUGUCUUCAUAGUCACGUUUUCAGUCCCGUCAAGAGCAAAUAUGAUAUCUCCAUAGUCAAACUUAUUGAAGAAUUCCCCAGCUUUGAGCGAAAAUGGUGUGUUUCUCGGAUAAUUCAUCAAUCCAUAUCCGUUCACUUGCGAGGAUCCAUUCGGAAGAGUAAGUGUAAGACUCACCGGACUUGCUAUGUUAAAGUUGUCUUUCAGCAGCACCACAAAAGAUACCUCAUAAGAUAAAUUUUCAAGCUUUUCUGUCAUAUAGUUUCCGUCAACAUGUAGGACUAAGCUACCAAUUAAUUCAGCACUGUCAGGACUGUACAAAAUGAUAGUAGAAUUAAAGUCAGAAACUUUUGAUAUAAGGAGCUUAAAUUCAUUAGGUGAUUUUAUUGAUUUAUUUAUUUUUUGCUGGAAUAUUUUUAAUGCGAGUCCUUCUAUCUAACUAGACUUCAAUAAAAUUUCUAUAGUCCUUCUAUCACUUUAAUUUAAUGACAAAGUUGCUUAUAUAUCCCUAUUUUUAACUGAAUAAAAUUCAGGUGUUUAAACACAAAUCUUGACCUUUGACGUCAAUUAAGUUAACUAAAUCUUAUUUCUACUUACGUAAACUUCCAGCCUGAAGGGUUGGCAUAAUUGAGUUUACUGGCAGGUACAUAAGCGCCAGAACUCUGAAUAAGACGAGAAAAAAAAAUUCAUAUCAUCCAUUACAAAAAAAUUUCACUUGCAAAAUUUACAAAUAUUAAGGAUUAUUUUUGUUCUAUAGCCAACUUUAGCUAUAUAUAUGAUGUUUGUUUACAAUUUCAGUAGACUUACCUUCUGGCCUAUUCCGCCGUUUUGGAGCAACUCCAUUUCCUUGGCUUGGGACAACAAUGCCUUGAGGUCAACCUCAUUAUGCCUCACUACUUGUGCCAUCUCCUCGAUCGAUCGAUAACUAUCCUUUAAUUCUGCUAUAUAUAUAUAUAUAUAUGUAUUUUCUGUUUCUAUUCUUGAUGUCUAUAUAUCUCUCUUCCAAAGGCUAGCUCUAUUUAUACUGGCACAAACAGAGGGUACUGCGAUUAUUAUAUCCCAUAAUAUCCUAUCUUCAAAUAUUCCUUCCCUUUUCAAAGUAGGGAUCCGAUCCUGAUAAGUUUAACAUCAUCAUCAUCAUCAUCAUCAUCAUCGCCAAGGAUAUAGAGCAGCAGAUUCUGUUUAAUAAUUUUGUUGGAAUAAUUCUUUUCCAUUUCCCAGUUCAAUAGUUCUUUCUUUAGCUUGUUGCGCAGGCAAAAUUCCAUGAAGGCGAAAGGCACGUAGGCAUACUAGUUGUGGGCAAGGAAAUUGUACCUUGCUAGGGUUAGGAUUUCGUGUUGGCUGAGGAGGAGAGAAAUUCACGAAGAGCACGGAAUUGAUUGGUUGAUUGAAGAGGGGAGAACGACAGGUGGGCGAUUACUCCAACGACGUGUGGCAGAACCCCUAGAAUCCAGGAACCGUGUUAGGGUAGUAGGGAUUCCAAGAGCCUUCUUGAGUCCUUCGUUCUUGAGAGAAUGUCUAAACCCCUUUUAGUGCUUUUAGGUGGAAUCUCCGAGCCUUUAAGUCACCAAAAAGGGUUCUUUGAUCUUCCGAGAGUCCAAGUCUUGAGUCUAAAGAGAAGUCUCUUUCCCAAUGGAAUGGAAGGGUAUUUAUAGGGUUUUCUGGAAAGUAGUCAUGUGCGAGGCACAUGCUUUCAGGGAAAUUCCAGAAAUGCCCUUUAGUCAUUAGAAUAAUGCCCAUGUUGCCCUGUCCUUCUAGCCACCAAUCCAAUCCCUCAAUUAAUUCCCACAUCGAGCCGCCUCCACGAGUCUUCUGCCUCGGGACACGUGGAGGCUUCUCCCGGGUCUAGCACAUUUAUUUAUGACUUUUUCAUCUUCAUUCCAUUCGGUUAUGCGAACACUAAUUUGCACAUUUAAUGAGGCCGUGGAACCCUAAUUGCGCAUUUAAUUCAAUUAGGUCAUGUGAACUCUAAUUUUACACUUUGGCCCACAUUUGCCCCCUGCGCGAGAGUCGCAUUUUCAAAUAGACGAUCGUGCAAGAAAACUGCAAGCCUUUGAAUGAUUUUGCGGGACUUCACUUUACAUGUCUUGAAGACAAUAGUCCUAGAAGAGGGAACUCCUAGGGAGCCAAACCCUUAGAGUUAAACCCUAGGAAGGCAAGACCUAGCGAGGCUCUUCCUUGGACAUAUUGAAAAAUCUUCUGAAAUCUUUCUGUAUUUUGCCCAAUAUUUAUUUCCAAUUCCGCAAGCAGAUCAACUGUCCGAGCAGCCUCAAUACGAACAGAAACAGAUUCCGAUAACUUGGAAUGGAAAAUAGAAUUAAGACCAGGCAAAACAUUGAAUAGAGCGAUGUAGAGAUCUAAAAUUUCAAACAACUUGAGAAACGAUGGACGGGUACUACUAACGCCUUCUGCAAAGUUAAUCAAGUGCAAGGCGGAUUCUUUAACUAUACCCAUAAAACACACAUCAAAUGUGGAGUUACCAAGUCCACUAAAGAUUUGUUCACAGAGUUUCUUCUCCUUUAUGAAGAGAUCUUCAAAACAAACACGAGAUGCUCGUAUCCACAAUUUGAUCUUUGGUGCCAACAUAUCCCACUCCAAACUCCGGAACUCACCGAUGCUAUAUUUACCGACGCCGAGGUGUCGAAAUUCUGCAUCCACAAUCAACUUCCUUGAAGUCCUGUAGAAUUCAACGCAGUCGCCAACAUUACCGGCUGAGUUCAAUCGUUCAAUGAUACUCCUAAAACCAUAAACUUCGUCAAUAUGUCCAUCAUCCUGUAAUUCAUAGCUAAAAGUAUCGGUUAUUGUACUUGAAAAAAUGGUAGAACUCCUAUCGGCCAAGAAAGCAUUGUGGACUCUGUUGGUUUGUCGGGUCAAUAUGACCCGAAACUCUAACGGAAGGGUUUCCAUGCCCGUUUAGAUCAUGUUUUGAUGCUUUCAGUUUGGGGAUCUGAGAUUAUUCUCGAUCGUCUGAAGCUCGUCAAAAGUACUGAUCAAUCUCAUGGCGGUCUCCGUCGAAGUCGAAGAUGAUGAAUUUAAUAAUUCCGCCCGAAUAUUUUGUGUUCUACCAAUUCCAUUCAGACAAUACAAAAGAGAUAUAUAUAUCUGCCUAAAAAUUGAAAACCGAAAAUCAUCUCUGAACAGCAGGCUUUGAAAAUUACUCCUACUAGUAGUUUAUAAAUAUAAAUACUUUGAAGAUUGUAAGAAGUUCAUAGCCAUCCACUAGUAAAAGUACUUACCAUUACUAAUUGAUGUCACGUUACCGCAAUUAGGACGGAGAGAGAAAGUCGGACCAACUCUUUUUUUUUUUCAAAUCAAACAUUAAUUUUUUAUUUCCAAAAUCAAAUCUUAAUUUUUAUUUUCAAAAUAAAAUCAAAUCUUAAUUUUUUAUUUCCAAAAUAAAAUCAAAUCUUAAUUUUUUAUUUCCAAAAUAAAAUCAAAUCUUUCUUAAUUUGAAAAGAGAUUUUUUUUUUUUGAAAAUGAAAUAAAAUAAAAUCUCUCUUUUUUUUUUUUGGCAAAUCAAAUCAAAUCAUUUUUUUUUAUCAUUCACGCAAAAGAUUUAAGUGCAUGAAUAAAAUAAAAUAAAAAUGCAUGAAUUUAAGAGUCAUAUAAUCUCACAGAUCUAAUGAAGGGGAAUUGCCACAUGCCUACGACAUUCUCUAUGAAAAAAAUGAUGAAUUAAGGCAAAACGAGAUCCAAUCAUGUAUUAUUUUUUUUUUGAAAAUAAAAUAAAUCUUAUUUUAUUAUCUUUCAAAAAAAUAAAAUAAAAUCUUAUUUUAUUAUUAUUAUUUUUUAAAAUAAAUAAAUAAAUAAAUAAAACAUUUACUUAUCUUAUUUUUAAGAAGUAAGGAGUCGAUGAGAAUGUCUUGUAUCCAUAUUGAAGCCUUUGAUAAUUCUUUGAGCAAAGAUGAUUAUAGCUUUUUGAUGAUUCUGACAUCUUUUAUAUGAGACAAGUCUUCACAUGCUUCCGAUUUUUAUUUGCCAUAAAGAAAGAAUCCAUUAAAGCUUCACAUGCCAGUUGCCACUCCUCUGUUAGCCAACAAAAAAAAAAAACAUUGUUUUGCUGCUUUAUUUGGGUGUUAUAGCCACAGGCAAGCCUCUUUCUAUCCACGCCGAACCCUACUGAUUCAAUUUUUUAUUAUUUUUUUUUUAUUAAAAAAAAUCAAGAACUUUUGGAACACUUAUAUUUAGAAGAAGCUUGUACGUAUGGGAAUUGAUGAUCCAAAAACCCACAACCCAAUUCUUAAUCUCAGUUUCUUUCUUGCUAAUCUUUCUCAGUUGAUGAACCCUUUGGAUAAUAUUAACGAUCCUCUUAGGAGGUUGCAAUAUUCAGAUCCCACUCAACUACUAGCCAAAAUCCAAAUUUUACAUAACCUAUUGCAGGCCAUAAAUGUGAGUCCUUCUUUCCCAAAUAUUAAAGUAGUAAACGUGAAUAAUCUCUUGGGAUCAUAUAAUUAUCUUAGCCAAUUUGAUGGAGUGAUCACGAGUGAAGCUAUCAACCCCAUGAUUAAUCCUAUCCCCAACAACCGGCCUUUAAUAUAUAUACUCCAAUCCCAAACUCAUUUGGAUUCUUUAGCCCACAAAUAUUUAACAAUGUUAAUAGCUUAAGUGGUGUUGCAUGCAAUAUUACUCAUCAAACUGAAAAUCAGCUUCCGGAAAGUUCCAAUACCAAGGAAAUGGACAGUAUGAAGCCUACAAACAUCCCCUCCGGUUCAACCAACUCUGACAAUAUCUUUGAGGUUUUGGAGAAAUUUGUUGAUUGUGAUCAAGCCAAUAGUACUUCCUUCUUGCUUCUUUUUUUUUUUUAUUCAGGUAACUCUAGUCUUUCUUUUGUCUUCCGAGCCCCAUUACCUUGAUCAUAUCUUGGUUUUUUCCCUCGGAUCAUAAAGAAAGAUUGGUAUUUUUUUUUUCUUGCAGGCCCUCCCUGUUGAACAUUCUGCAGACUUGGGAACAACCAAGGAGGCCCCGUUUCUCAAUAAUUGGGGAAGGGAUCCCCUCUUUUGGUCUUUCCGACGUCUUUUGAGAGCGAGUCUAGACUUAUAAUCGUACAACACUUCCUCCGCCAGAGAAGAAAGGCGUGUUUCUUUAUGUCGCGGCUUGCGGAGGUUUGGGUGACUUCCUCCCUUCCGAUCGCAUUCUCCGCAUGUGCAUAGAGAAACAAGAAUAGCCUUUCAGUCCCUUUCGCUUCCUGUCUGACUCAUCUGACCGCCUUCAAGGAUGGCAACAUUGGACCGACUUCCCGUUGUGUGCUCUUCUUCAUACACAUUCAUUACUACUUGGGGGGGAAUUCACCCCUAUUCUAGAGGAUGUCUCUGCCCUCCACCAGUAGGUCGUACUUCGGUUUGCCCCCUGCACGUGAGUCACACCUUUGGUGGGACAACCGUGCAUAAUUUCUCCAGCAUUGAAAUCUUGCUACAAAUUUCUUAAUGAUUCGCGGAGCACGAUGGUGCAAGCCUUGAACAUAAAAUCCCUAGGAGGGGAGACCUGUAGGGGGCGAGCCCUAGAGAAGCUCUCCCUGGCUAUCUUGGAAAAAAUCUUCUAUCUUAUCCUUCCGAAUAUUACUUUCUUUUGGAAGUUCUCUCAUUUUCAAAAUUAAGAAGUCAACGAGAAGGCACCGAGUGAACAUACUUCAAAUUGGGGUGAACAAGCGAUGAAGGAGAUCUUUCCUCUAGGUACCCGAAUCCUGAGCGGCUUCAUUCUGGAACAUUGAUUAACGAGCUAGGAGAAGUAAAAGGUAAGAGGGGAGAGCCUCUGUAGGUGUUUGAACCCCAGGGGCCGAACCCUAGAAGACUGCCUAUUCCUUCACUCUUUUUUUCCUUCUUCCUUUCACUUGAAUCUUGGUCGUGUCCUAGCUUGGUUCCCCAAUAUAGUUGAUCGGAUACAUCUUCAUAGGACCCUUCUCCAGAUUUUCUUGCUCGAUUGUCUUCUGAGACUUAUUCUCGAAAUGCACAUUCUCUCUCUAUUAUCUGUGAGCAGAAGACUUAGAGGUGUUUUAGUUGUGAAGUUGAUGACUUCUCGAUCCUUCUUGGGCCUUGACAUGUCUCCCUUCCGUGCUAAGCUGGAUCUCUUCACUUUCAGUUAUCAUGUCAUUGCACUUUGUUCGGAGGUCACUUCACGUCCUCAUGAGAAUGACUUUCUUUAUGUAAGGGCCUCAGGAGCUUCAGGACGUCAUGGAUAGAUUGAAGGCCAAGCUUCGGGAAAUUGAUUCAUCUGCCCAAGACCUUAAGGAACUGUUAGCCUGAAGUUCGAAAGGCUCGAGAUACUGCCAUUGUCGACUUGGAGGCUUUAGCUAUGCCCCCAGUUCAGUUUGAUGUAUCAUGACCUUUGGAUCAUGACUUCAUGUAGCUUUUAUUUCUUCCAUCACUUUUGAAGAUAAAGUGUAUUAUCGAGGAUUUCAGGGUCAAGUGUCUCAAUCACUUUUGAAGUUGAAAGUAUAACUCUUUUUUUUUUCUGGAUCGAGGGCUGAUUAAUCAGGUGCCUCAUUACUUUUGAAGUUGAAAGUAUAACUUUUUUGGGUCGAGGGCUGAUUAAUCAGGUGCCUCAUUACUUUUGAAGUAGAAAGUAUAACUUUUUCGAGUCGAGGGCUGAUUAAUCAGGUGCCUCAUUACUUUUGAAGUUGAAAGUAUUUUUUUUUUGGGUCGAGGGCUGAUUAAUCAGGUGCCUCAUUACUUUUGAAGUAGAAAGUAUAACUUUUUCGGGUCGAGGGCUGAUUAAUCAGGUGCCUCAUUACUUUUGAAGUUGAAAGUAUAACUUUUUUGGGUCGAGGGCUAAUUAAUCAGGUGCCUCAUUACUUUUGAAGUAGAAAGUAUAACUUUUUCGGGUCGAGGGCUGAUUAAUCAGGUGCCUCAUUACUUUUGAAGUUGAAACUAUAACUUUUAAGAAAUUUGCUCUGAUCAAAAUUUGAUGUAUUUAUUUAACGAUCAAGAUAUAAUACAUUUUUUUUUCAUUUUCUAGUCUGCUAGGGCAGUAGCUUAUUCAGCAUUAUGCUUCUUAUUAUAGUUCGAUUUCACCUGCCGCUAAUUUUUCAUGAUAAAUUCUCCUCAAAUUACGACAAUUCAUGAUGGAAUGUCCUGGGUAUUGAUGAUACACGCAAAAGUCUGAUCUCUUCUUCAUCUCCUCGGUCACAACAAAUCUGGGUUUUGGAGGCUUCACCAUUCCAUUUUCUACCCAUUUCUCAUACAAAUCUUUAAAUAUCUCCUCACCACAAGUGAUAGCUUCGGGCUCUAGCGAAUUUAUAUUCUUUUUGAUUCUUUCCCUCUUGCCCCCCUGUGGCUCUGACUGAGAGUCUGUCAAAGCCGUAGUAGCUGUCCUCUUACUCUUCCAGGUAGCAAUCGGAUGGUUCACAGAUACUGCCAUAAUUUCUCCAUGGUCCUGUGCAAAGGUGGAAAGUGUCGCAAAGGAAUCACAAGACUUAGUGAUCAAGUGGGGCUUGAAGGCGUCGAGGGCGCCGUUGUUGCAAAUACUCACUAAAUUCUUCUCUUCGAUUGGCUCCACACACUUCCGCGCCUGGGCCCGAAAGGUGGAAAGUGUCGCAAAGGAAUCACAAGACUUAGUGAUCAAGUGGGGCUUGAAGGCGUCGAGGGCGCCGUUAUUGCAAAUACUCACUAAAUUCUUCUCUUCGAUUGGCUCCACACACUUCCGCGCCUGGGCCCGAAAUCUGUCAACAUAAUCAGAUAACUCCUCAUUCGAAUUUUGUUGAAUUCUCAUAAGCUCUAUAAUUGACACUUCCUUCUGAACAUAAAAGAAUUUUUUGAAAAACUGGUGUUUCAUAUCAUCCCAAUCUCGAAUCGAACCCUUCUCCAAAUUGUAGUACCAGCUGAAGGCACCGUUAGUGAGCGUCUUGUUAAACUCCCUCAAUAGAAUAUUGUGGUUGCUCACUUCAUCUAUUCCCAACCACGAGGACAUCGACUCCACAAAUCUUGCAAUAUGCUCUCUCGCAUUCCCUUUCUCUCCACUAUACUUAGGGAACUGAAGUGGAUGUUCAAUGUACCCAGCAGGGUAUGGCUGUCUUCUCACAUGCGCCGGGUAUGGUGGGGUGAAAUCCAGUUCCGCAGGCCUGACUGUCUGUCUACGCAUCUGAUUGAUUACAUCCAUCAUGUCUUCCCUUGUCGCAUAUUGACUGGUUUCUGGAGCCUUUUGGGACGUCAUCGCAUACUGGUUUAUCUGAGGUGUAUGUGGAACACAUGUUGAUGCACACUUGCCUCAUGUAAGAUUGGUUGUACUUGCUGGAUUAUUGGUUGUAUAUGGCUUGGGAUGGUUGGUAUCUGCACUUGUGAAAAUGCUGGGAGUGUAAUCGGGAUGAUGUUUAGCUGAGGCUGGCUAGCUUCCAAUCUAAGUGGUGGUACAUCACCACUGUUCUGGGGCUCCAAGUUGAUGACUGGAAUCGGCUGACUCUCCAUUGCUGGAGGUAUAAUCUGAUUCUCUUUGUUGUUGUUGUUGUUGUCCUCCACUUCUCCUGCUCGUCCCCCUUGCGAACUUCCUGGGAACAUGGUCUUGAAAGUGGGGAUUUGCAUCAACUGCUGGCAAAAAUUCUCCAUUUCUUCUUGCUUUCUCUGCAUCUCUAGCAUCAUGGCCAUCAUCAUCCCUUGCCCUUCUCGUGCUUCUUUCAAUGCUUUAAGCAUCUCCAGUUGCACAGCAUUCGUCUGGUCUCCCCCUGCAUCUUCGCCUUGCCUUCUUGCAUUGGUUUGUUGUUGAUUGGCCAUAUGUGGUGAUGUCGAACUCCCUUCCAAAGCGUCUUCAAUAAUUGGUUGGUCAAAAUCCAGGUUUGCGCCUUGGAAAACUUGAGUUACUUGUCUUGGAACUGGAUCCGGUGACGUAAUGCUAUUUGUUGGUGAAGCAGCUCUUCCUGUAAUUCUCCCACUUCGAGUCGUGGGCAUACCCUUCACGAAUUAUACACCUCCCCAGCAGAGUCGCCAAAGAAAUGUGGGCAAGGAAAUUGUACCUUAGUAGGGUUAGGGUUUCGUGUUGGCUGAGGAGGAGAGAAAUCCACGAAGAGCACGGAAUUGAUUGGUUGAUUGAAGAGGGGAGAACGACAGGUGGGCGAUUACUCCAACGACGUGUGGCAGAACCCCUAGAAUACAGGAACCGUGUUAGGGUAGUAGGGUUUCCAAGAUCCUUCUUGAGUCCUUUGUUCUUGAGAGAAUGUCUAAACCCCUUUUAGUGCUUUUAGGUGGAAUCUCCGAGCCUUUAAGUCACCAAAAAGGGUCCUUUGAUCUUCCGAGAGUCCAAGUCUUGAGUCUAAAGAGAAGUCCCUUUCCCAAUGGAAUGGAAGGGGUAUUUAUAGGGUUUUCUGGAAAGUAGUCAUGUGCGAGGCACAUGCUUUCAGGGAAAUUCCAGAAAUGCCCUUUAGUCAUUAGAAUAAUGCCCAUGUUGCCCUGUCCUUCUAGCCACCAAUCCAAUCCCUCAAUCAAUUCCCACAUCGAGCCGCCUCCACGAGUCUUCUGCCUCGGGACACGUGGAGGCUUCUCCCAGGUCUAGCACAUUUAUUUAUGACUUUUUUGUCUUCAUUCCAUUCGGUUAUGCGAACCCUAAUUUGCACAUUUAAUGAGGUCGUGGAACCCUAAUUGCGCAUUUAAUUCAAUUAGGUCAUGUGAACUCUAAUUUUACACUUGGGCCCACACUAGUAAAUGAUGAUUUUCUUCUAACCAGAAGUAUGAGCAGGUUAAAAGUAGAAGAAUAAGCAUCUCGCAGGCCAAAAAUCAAUAAAAAAACGAAAAGAAGAAAAAGAAAAGAAGAAGACAGCAAUAGCAAGACCAUAUUUUUCUUCUUCUUUCUUUUUAUCUUUUCUUUCUUUCUUUUUUGUUUCUUUUUAGACGGAGGGUUUUAUUUCAUCUUUGAAAAUAAACCUAAGAAUUUAUCAAAGGAAAUAAAGGAUAAACGACAAUACAAAUAUAUAUUUUUAUUUUAUUUUCAAAUAUAUACGCAUGCAUGAUAAAGAUUCACAAUUAUACACACAUAUAUAAUAGGCUACAACCAACAAUCUACUAAACAAUUUGUAAACCAUCGAGGUGUUUUAGUGACAACCUACCGUCUACCAAAUCGUUAUUAGUUAACGAGUUAGUGUAAAUUUUCAUUUUGGAAGCUAGUAUAAACUAUCAUCUCUCAAAUUGUUAUUAGUAGAGGAGCUACGAAUGUAAACUAUCGUCUAACAAACUAUAUUAGCUGAUGAACUAGUGUAAACUAUCAUUUACUAGAUGUAUGAGCAUGUUAAGAGUAGAAGAAUAAGCAUCUCGCAGGUAAAAAAAUAGGAAAAGAAGAAGACAACAAUAACAAGGCCACAUUUUUCUUUUUCUUCCUUUUUAUCUUUUUUUUUCUUUUUUGUUUGUUUUUAGACGGAGGACUUCAUUUCAUCUUUGAAAAUGUGGGUAAAGAAAUUGUACCUUAGGUUUUCAUGUUGGCUGAGGAGGAGAGAAAUCCACGAAGAGUACGGGAUUGAUUGAUGAAUUAAAGAGGGCAGAAGAACAUGUGAUCAAUUACUCUAAUGACAUGUGACAAAACUUUUAGGAUCCGAGAACCUUCUUAGGGUGCCAAAGAUCCAGGGAGUCUUCUAGGGUGUGCUUCGGGUUGAGAGAGAAUCUCCAAGUCUUCAAUCUUUCGAAAAGCCCUCUUCUUCAUAGAAUAGAAGGAGUAUUUAUAGAGUUUCCUGGAAAGUGGUCACAUGACAGACAUAUGACCUCGAGCAAAUUCCAAAAAUACCCUUAGUCACCAGAGUAAUGCCCAGAUCGUCCUGUCUUUCUAGCCACCAAUCCAAUUCCUCAAUCAAUUCUCAAAAUGAGUUGCCUCCAUAAGCCUUUUACCAUGGAGGCUCUUCCUUGAUCUCAUGAUACAAAGCUCUUAUUGCUCAAACCAUGCUUACUUGCUCUUCCUUCUUUAUUUAAGAAUCUCGUCGCCAGAAAUCAUCGGAAGAACUCUGCGCAAGACCCGGGAAGCCGCGUGUUACAAACCAGUCCCACAUCGAAAGAUAUGGAAAAAAAUUAGUCUAUAUAUAAGGAAUUAUGUUACUACCAAUAAUAUACUUUUAAGUCAUGACCUUUUGGGUGAGCCUGUGGUGGGAUAAGAUGACCCAAUAAUAUACUAUUGGGUCAGUGGUUUAAGGCCUUGGGAUUCGGACUUGGGAUUUGACCCAAGAUUUGUUUUGGGCAAUUUUACUCAGGUUGUUACAUAUGGUAUUAGAGCCGACUCUCGAAAGCUCGGGUCGGAUCAUCCGAUCGGGUUGCCGGAAGUGGGGACACGAAACCAGCCGAUAUUAUCCCACAAUGGCUAAAGAGGCAAAGAUCUGUGGAACGUAUAUGUGAUCGAUUUUGAUGGAGAUGUCAAAAAUUUAAGUGGGGUAGUUUAUAACACCUCAGUCCCACAUUGAAAGAUAUGGGAAAUACUAUUGUGCAAUGAUUUAAGCUAUCCAGCUAUAUUGUUAUAGUUUGGAUAUAUUCCAGUAUGAGAAUUAACAAACCCUGAAAUGGGAUAUUUUUAUUGCACUCUGGGAGUGGUGACGUUGAACAUGGAAGUUGUUCUGGAUAAGAUAGUAUUGAUUAAUAAAGGGCAUAUAUAAAGGGCUGAUCAUCCAUCGUGCUCAUAAGAUAAGAUGGUUCACAAAUAAAUUUUUAAGAAAACCUUUUCAAGAAAAGAAAAAGCUUGUUCACGGUCUUAUGACCUCUCAGAUGUUCAAUAUUGAUAUGAUAUUCCAGGAAUAUGAAUGAUUCAAGAUUUAAUUGCUUUACAGUUUUGUUUCACUGUUAAAGCAUGUCUCAAAGAAAACAUUUAAUUAUUGUUAAGAUAUUAAAGAAUGCUAUUACUUAUUGAGCAAUUGAAUGCUCAUUCUUGUUUUGUUAUAAAUGUUUUCAGCUAAUCAGGCUCCAACGGAGGGGUCUAAUAGAGACAAAGGAAAAGGAAAAGCUACUGAGUAGUAGGUAUAUGUUGUAAUAAAUAGUUUAUAUGUUUGUAGAUAUUUAACUAUCAUGUAAUAAGCACUUAAUGGUUACGUACCUGGUAUUAGAAGAACUCUGAUAUAAUAAAUCUAUCAAGUUUGAUAUUAUAUUAUGUUGAAUGCUUGAUAUCUUGAAGCACUGAAUAAGGGUUUAAAAUACCCGAAUUUGGGGGCGUCACACGCCCGAUUCGCCUCCUUUGCGUAUGUUUAACAUGCUCAUACAACUUGUCUAAUACUCCAUUGAUUAAUUCUAAGUAUCAUUAUAUUUCAUAACUUUCAUGUUUAAUAACUUAGAAUAACAUAUUUUAUCGUCAAAAGCAUCCACGUAGUACGAGCAUGCCCGACGCCCUCCGAUCGCCUCCGAUCGAAUGCACAAUAGUCCUAAAAAUAGCCAUUUUAGCCCCUUCUCCCGACCUCAAAUCUCAAAACUUAUAAAAUAAAAGUUUUAGGUCAACUUCUAAUAUUUUCGAAUCAUCUUGAAUCACCUCAAUCAGAGUUCGUAUAAAAAGGUUAUGCAUGUUUUACUAAAGAACGUCAAAGCUGACUUUCUGCACUUUUGGUUCAGCGCCCAUCCUAGGCCUAUUUCCAACGCCCCGGGGCUGGACGGCAGUACGUUCUCAGCCAAAAACUUCAAUUUUCAAAAAUCUUCAGUUUUGAAUGAUUUCAACAUGUCUACUUUGAAAUAUCAUAAAUUUCUCCUCCGAUAUCGAAAUGAGCUCGUUCUUAAUGGGUUGAAAAGCUUGCAACACCCUCUACAAAUUUCUCAGGACAAAAUAAUUUUCUGGAUUCUCUAACAAUCCUUUAAACUUUCUCAAAAGUCCAUCGAGACUAAGAUUUUUAUCAUUCAACAUACUUUACCAAAAUUUUCUGCCAUGACUUCGUUUUAACAUAUUUUUACUCCGUUCCAAUUAGAAUAUCUUCAUAAAUUCCUUAUCUAUAAAUCCUUAUUCCCGAAUUUUAUUUAUUACAACCCUAUCAACAAUAUUAAAAUCCAAUUUAAGUACUCUAAAUAAAUAAUGUCUAUCCUUUAAGCUUUGGCCUACGAUUCCAUUCUUGUUACCACUUCUUAUGCAAUUUAACAAGUUAUUUAUCAUGAUCAAAGCACACAUAACUUUAUUUACUCAAGGUCCUUCAUACUCUUUCAUUAAACAACCAUCGCCAACAACUAAUGAUUCAAGAAAGACUUCACAGAAAUGAAAAGAUGGAUGGUUCUUACCUUCUUAGUUAUUCUUCUUCUUCCUAGCUUAUGCUUUGUUAGCAUGAUAUACAUUGUUGGGCCCUCCAUCUACCAACUUAAGCUUUUAAGAUAAGUUGGUUACUUAACAUGGUAUCAAAGCUUUGGGUGUGCAAGGUCUUGGGUUCGAAUUUUUCCAGCUGCACAAUUAUCUUUCUAUUAAUUUAACAGUGCAAAUGCACUUUAAUUUCUCCCUUCUCUAUAAAAAAAAGUUGCGUUUGAGAGGGAGUGUUAGCAUGAUAUACAUUGUUGGGCCCACCAUGCAUCUAACAGCUUAAGCUUUUAGAUGAGUUGGUUACUUUGCUCUUCUUUCUCUUCUUAUUGGUAUUCGGCCUCUCUAUUUCUCUCUCUCUCUCACUCUCUUGUUUUCUUUCUCUUCUCUCUAGUUUGCCCUCUCUUCCUUUUUUUUUCUUGCAAAUGAAAUGAAUUGGCUAAGUGAAAAAUCCUCUAGAUCAAUUGAAUUCUCCACUAACUAACUCAACCAUACUUCUAAGGUUAGGUUAACUCGUGUAGGGUUAGGGAAUGAUAGGAUGACACUUGUAAGCUUAAUGUUUAAGGAUGACAAGAAGAUAUAAGCUAGCAUUAAAUUAAAUUUUCACCUUGCUAGAUGAGUCACACAUACUCUCCCUUUUGCUUCUUUAAUUGGUUGGAUCACCCCUCCCUUUCUUAGCUCAUAUUUUAAUUAUCCCAUGUGGGAUAAACAUCAAUCCUCUCCCUUAUCUUACUUUUUCACCCAACUUAUCUUUUAUGAGAUAACUACUAAGUCUCAUUCCUUAUCUUUUCUUCGAUAAGCCUUGUCAUUAAUCCUUAUCUCUUCCUUGUUUUCCUUCAACCCAAACUUACCAUAAAUAGAAAGUUUCCAUCUCACCUUCUCUCUUCUCCUUGUCCAUAUUCAAAUCCCCACAUGUUUAAUUCUAGCAAAUGACACUUGCCCUCUUAUAACUUUGGCUCCUAGUUUGGCUCACUUUUUGGCUCAAAGACCAAGCCAUGGCUCCUAUCCUUUGACUCUAAGCUUAAGCCACUCAAACCUUAGGCUCAACCCUUAGCUAAGCCCCUUUAAAUUCCUAACCAAGUCAUUUAAACCUUAGGUUUGGUUAGACUAGAAUUAAUUUAAUUUCUCUUUUUCUUUUAAAUUAGUUAGAUUUCCUAAUUUUUUAGUUACAUUUUUCGUAAUAUGCUUGGUUAGCUGACAAUCCGACUUUUGAUUUUCAAAAAUCCAAUUUCGCCACCAUUCCUUCUUUCCCGAAUAAACGCUAUGUAGUUCUUCGAAAUUUUAAAAAAAACGAAGUUGGGUUUUUAGCGUGAAUAGUUUUUUUUCAUACGACUUUUUCUAGAAAAAUAUUUUAUUAGAGAUUUCAUCUCGCCUUCUCAAAUAAACACUAUGAUGUAAUUCAAAAUUCUCGAAAAAGUAUGUUUAUUAGCGUUUUUCUGUGAUUUUAAAAAUAGUAACUUUUUCGUCUUUUUCUCGAAAAAAUUAUAUUCUCCCAAAACUCCCAACACUUAUACAUAAUCACGUAACACGUAAACUAGGUCAUUAAUCGACCUAAAUCAUGUAACACAUAAUAAUAUCUAUAAAAUUUUAUUUUAUUAGAUAUUCACAAAUAAAACCUAUUUUCAAGCCUAUCUGAAUUCUCGGGUCGUCACAUAGUAUUUAUAGAGUUUCAUGGAAAGUGUUCACAUGCCAGGAACAUGACCUCAUGGAAAUUCAAGAAAUACCCUUAGUCACCAGAGUUAUGCCUAGAUCAUCUUGUCCUUCUAACCACCAUGCAAUCCAAUCCCUCAAUCAAUUUCAAAAAUGAGUUGCCUCCAUAAGCCUUCUGCCUUGGGACCCAUGGAGGCUCCUCCUCGAUCUCAUGCUUCAAAGCAAUUGUUGCUCAAACCAUACUUUCUUACUAUUCCUUCUUUAUUUGAGAAUCUCGUCGAUGGAAAUCCUCGGAAGAACUCUGCGCAAGAACCAGGAGGCCGCGCCUUAGGGGGGCAAUCCUUAGGGGGCGGAACCCUAGGGAGCUGAACCCUAGGGGGGCCUCCUUCAGUUCUUUUCGUUCGUUUCAACCUUUCUUGGUCAGUUUUCAUCAUUUUCUCAUGAUUCUUGGUCCUGUAAGAAGCCUUUCUUGUCAUAGAGAUUAUAAGGCUAAUCAUUAUUUGGAGUUUCACAAGAUUUUAGUUUAUUUUUGUAGUCCAGGCUUAUUUCUUUGUCAUUGCAUCGAUGAAACCCCUUCUAGCAUGCCAAUCGAGAAAAUGAGGUAGCAUAUGCCCUAGGGUGCCGAACCCUAAGAGGUAAUUUAGAUUUCUUUUGUCCAUCUUUUGUCUGUUUUCCUUUUUUCAUUACGAUAGUUCCAACCAAAUCCAGUCGGAGAAGAAAUUGGUUUUAUCUUUUCUUUAAGGAGAAGUCAUCUUGGAGUGGUUGAACCAUAGGGUGGCCGAACCCUAAGGGGCCAAAAUCCUAGGAUUUUUCCCUUUUUGCUGAUUUAAUGCUUCGUUCAUUAAUUGAAGUCUUGUUCAUUUACUUUCGUCUUUUCAUUUAAUUCAAUUAAAUCAUAUGUAAACCCUAAUUUGUACUUGGGCUCACAGAAAAUAAACCUAAGAAUUCAUCAAAGGAAAUAAAAGAUAAAUGACAAUACAAAUAUUGCGUUUUGUUUUGUCUUAUUUUUUUAAUUUUAUUUUCAAAUAUAUACGCAUGCAUGAUAAAGAUUCACAAUUAUGUAUAUAUAUAUAUACAUAUAGAUACAUAAUAUGGUAAAUAAUAGGUGGUAGUUGUUUUAUUUAUAAUAUGGUAAAUAAUAGGUGGUAGUUGAUUUAUUUAUUACAUGCUAAUAACAGCCAUGAGUUGAUAGUUGAUUUAUUUAUUAUAUGCUAAUAACAGCUAUCAGUUAUUGGUUGAUUUAUUUAUAUAUCGUGCUAAUAACAACCAUCAACUUGUAUAUAGUUUCUUGAUUUACUGCUGAUCGGAAGAUUACUGAUCGUUCAUUUAGGCGUUGGUGGGACUAAUGUUAACACCAUAGAUAACUAAACCCGUCUUCAUAGUCACGCUUUCAGUCCCGUCAAGAGCAAAUUUGAUAUCUCCAUAGUCAAACUUAUUGAAGAAUUCCCCAGCUUUGAGCGAAAAUGGUGUGUUUCUCGGAUAAUUCAUCAAUCCAUAUCCGUUCACUUGCGAGGAUCCAUUCGGAAGAGUAAGUGUAAGACUCACCGGACUUGCUAUGUUAAAGUUGUCUUUCAGCAGCACCACAAAAGAUACCUCAUAAGAUAAAUUUUCAAGCUUUUCUGUCAUAUAGUUUCCGUCAACAUGUAGGACUAAGCUACCAAUUAAUUCAGCACUGUCAGGACUGUAAAAAAUGAUAGUAGAAUUAAAGUCAGAAACUUUUGAUAUAAGGAGCUUAAAUUCAUUAAUAUAGUACAAUUAAUGCGAGUCCUUCUAUCUAACUAGACUUCAAUAAAAUUUCUUUAGUCCUUCUAUCACUUUAAUUUAAUGACAAAGUUGCUUAUAUCCCUAUUUUUAACUGAAUAAAAUUCAGGUGUUUAAGCACAAAUCUUGACCUUUGACGUCAAUUAAGUUAACUAAAUCUUAUUUCUACUUACGUAAACUUCCAGCCCGAAGGGUUGAAAUAAUUGAGUUUCUCAGCAGGUAUAUAAGCGCCAGAACUUUGAAUAAGACAAGAAAAAAAAAUUCAUAUCAUCCAUUACAAAAAAAUCUCACUUGCAAAAUUUACAAAUAUUAAGGAUUAUUUUUGUUCUAUAACCAACUUUAGCUAUAUAUAUGAUGUUUGUUUACAAUUUCAGUAGACUUACCUUCUGCCCUAUUCCGUUGUUUUGGAGCAACUCCAUUUCCUUGGCUUGGGACAACAAUGCCUUGAGGUCAACCUCAUUAUGCCUCACUACUUGUGCCAUCUCCUCGAUCGAUCGAUAACUAUCCUUUAAUUCUGCUAUAUAUAUAUAUAUAUAUAUAUUUUCUGUUUCUAUUCUUGAUGUCUAUAUAUCUCUCUUCCAAAGGCUAGCUCUAUUUAUACUGGCACAAACAGAGGGUACUGCGAUUAUUAUAUUCCAUAAUAUCCUAUCUUCAAAUAUUCCUUCCCUUUUCACAGUAGGGAUCCGAUCCCGAUAAGUUUAACAUCAGCAUCAUCAUCAUCACCAAGGAUAUAGAGCAGCCGAUUCUGUUUGAUAAUUUUGUUGGAAUAAUUCUUUUCCAUUUCUCAGUUCAAUAAUUCUUUCUUUAGCUUGUUGCGCAGGCAAAAUUCCAUGAAGGCGAAAGGUACGUAGGCAUCCUAGUAAAUGAUGAUUUUCUUCUAACCAGAAGUAUGAGCAGGUUAAAAGUAGAAGAAUAAGCAUCUCGCAGGCCAAAAAUAAAAAAAAAAUCGAAAAGAAGAAAAAGAAAAGAAGCCACCAAUAGCAAGACCACAUUUUUCUUUUUCUUUCCUUUUUAUCUAUUCUUUCUUUGAUUCUUUUUUAUAAUUUUUUUUAGAUGGAGUCUUUGAAAAUAAGCAUAAGAAUUCAUUAAAGGAAAUAAAAGUGUUGAAAGUUGUCUUGCAUUAGUCUUCUCCAAAUUCUGUUCCCCUUAGACUUUAGAAUUUAGCCUUUCCCAAAAUUCUGUUCCCCUCAGAUUUCGGAAUUUUGCUUUCCUCAUUUCUUGUUCUCCUCUCCAGAUUUCUCCUAUAAAAGGGAGCUUUGGUGUAAGACCCCAACUUUUAUGAAUAAAGACGAAUUUUUCUAUAAAUAUAAUUUUUGAUUAUUAAGAUGUGAAUUUGAAAAAAUAUUAUAGUUGUGAGUAAUAUUUAAAAAUUUUACAAAGUAAACAAGGUGUUAUAAAAUAUUCGGUUGGUCGAGGAAUAUUCGUUUUAACAGGGAAUAUUCAUACGACGACACAAUCAUUGGUGGACCCCACAACGAAAGUAUUGUCGGAGUUAGAAAACGACAGAAAUAUCUUAUUAUGAAAAUAAUGGCGAAAAUUUUACCGUUAACUGUUGAAAUACCCGUUAGUAAAAGUACAGUAAUACGUAUGGUUGCAUAGUAGUACACGGUAUUAAUUAUUGAUGCUUACGUGAGAAGUCACUCAGUUAUACUCAAUUAUUGUUACAGUAAUUGUUGUAUCAUAUCUCUUAUAUUAUUGAUUCAAUUAUUGUCAGUAUCAUCUGCAUAAUAUUUUAUAUUAUUAAAUCAAUAAUUGAGACGAUAAAGUUAUUCAUAUUAUUAUUUACAAUAUUGACGAUGUCUAGAAGUUCUGUCAAGGAGAGGUUAGGUCAUUUAAUUGCGCGCCAAUAGGGAGAAAUCCUUAUCGGAAAGCCCCUCUUUCCUGAAAACGAUCUGGUUGUUAAUAUUGCGAGUUAUAAUAAUGAUGAAUAAAUUGAAGGAAUUUUAUGAAAUAUUUGUUGUAAGUUUUGCUUAUUAUAUGGACCCCCAUUUAACCAUUUUUCAAAAUAAUCGGUAAAAAAUUAUUCAGUAUUUUUUUUAAUAAAAAAGGUGGGGCCACAUGUGGGGCCCACUGAAAGAAAAAUGGGGGGGGGGAGAUGUUUAUGUUUGUCAUGGGUGAAGGUUUGAUUAUAUAUAUAUAUAUAUAUAUAUAUAUAUAUAUAUAUUAUAAUAAGUCUUUUUUUUAUGAAAAAUAGAAUAUAUUAAAUUUUAUUUGCAUAGUAUUUUACUAUGCAGUGCACAGUAAAGUUUUGUGAAUUAGAAAUUCGGCGCCCGUGAAAUUUUCGAUUGUUUUGUCCGUGAGAAUUUCAAACAGUACCCCUUCCAUCAUCCUAUAAAUAUGACGCUUAUUUUGAAUUGAAAAUCACACAAGAAUCAGAGAAUUUUUUUCUAUAAUAUUGAGUAUAUUUCUUUCGAGUUUUAGAAAGUUUUGAGUGUAGAAAACAGUGAAAGUUUUUUUCAAGAAUAUCCCCGCUAUACCAGUCGAAAUACUCUUCUUAGGAUGUUUUUUUGUUCAAUAUUCGUAUGAAAUAAUAUUUUCUUCCAUACUCUGUAGUAUGUAAAUAAUAUUAUUUCGUUUUAGAUUUCGAAUUCUAUAUCCAUUUUGUUAAAGUUUUGGCUCCUAUACUCCAUGAAAUUAGUAGAAUAUCCUUAAAAUUUGCGUUUCAUCCAGUAUCUUUUCAUGGAAAUAUUAUUCUGAGCAUUCUUGAUAAGUUUUAAUUUUUUCAUGCCAGAGUACUAUAUACGGGGUACUAUUCUCAAAUUACUAUUCACGGGGUACUAUUCACUCGGUUACUAUUCAUCCGAGGCACUAUUCAUGACAAAAAUUAAUUUUUUUUCGGUCCAAAUCAUUUUUGUUACAAUAUUAUUCGUGAAUUUUACUCCAUAAUGCAGUAUCAUAUUGACAAUUUGGACAUUAUUAAAUUAUGGAUAAAUUAAAUUAUAAAUCUUUAAAAAUUUAUCUUUUGCUUUCAUUUAAUUGAAUUCUUAUAUCAUUGUCAUCAUCCUGAUGCUUAUAUUAUAAUGAAAGUCAUUUGUGGCCCGUAGUGCAUAGAUGGACUUGGUAUGAUUAUGACCAGGGAUUAUUUGGUAUAAUCAUGACUGUAAUAUUACAAAUGAUGUGGUAAAAGUCCUCAUUGGCCCGUAGUGCAUUGAUGAACAGUUGUUUUCAUGAUCAUGACCAUUGAUGAAAACACGAAUAUCUUUGGCCCGUAGUGCAUGAAUAAUUUGUGGUUGUGAUACUAAAGAAUAUCCUUGGCCCGUAGUGUAUGGAUAAUUCAGUGAUGUGUAUUAUUUAUUAAGCUGAGUCUCAGCGAUACAAUUGAUGAUAAACCUUUUAAAUAAUAGAAGAUAGUAGAUUUUAUGCUCUACUUAACUCUUCUAAUAGAUUGCUUGUUCCUCUGCAAUUAAACUUGAUGUUUAUUAUAUUUUAUCAGUUUAACAUUGUUGAAGGCUAAUGAUAAUUUAUUCUGUGUUAUCUUAGUCAUAAUAUUUCUUACUGGCUAGUUGAGCUCACCCUUUACUUUCAUUGUUCUCUUCAGGAAAUGAGAAUAUAGCUGGGAUCGACUAGUCGGGGAACGGAGUGACGGUCCAAAUGAUAACAUUAGUAGUCCUCACUAUUCUGUGAAAUAGUGUGAUAAUAAAUGUAAUGAGGACUUAUUUUGAGUUUGAAUACUGUCUAGAAGACAAUAUUUGUAUUAAAACUCACAACUCAUGUUAUAUAUUUAAGUUUAUAUUUGUAUUCUGUACCAUGUAUUUAACGAUUCAAAAUGGGUGAUGUAUACCUAUUCUGGGGGCGUCACAGUUGGUAUCAAAGCUUGGGGAUAUGAUCCCUGGCUGAGAUGAGAGACUAGAACUAGGAGGGGAGAGUCAGGUAAUUCCUUUGCUAGUAUGACCUACCUAAGUUUAUUUGUUAUUUAAUUAGUCGGUCAGAAUAUAGGGAUAAUAUGUUGCAUGUCAAUUAACCCUUGUUUUGUGGCAGUAUUUGAAAAUGACAUCCGAGAAUGUUGAGAAUAGCAAUGGAGUACAUGAGACCGUUGAAUCACCAACGAUCAAUAACCAGGAUAAUGUGCAUCAGGAAGGCAAUAAUCCUCAUGCAAACAAUAACUCCAACAAAAUAAUGAACGACAAAAUGUUUAUGAGCUUUCUUCAAUUCAUGCAACAUCAGGCAAGAGAGACUCCUGUUCAAAAUGUAGGUGGAAAUACCGGCAACUCUCGAACGGUCACCGCUAAGCAAUUCAAGGAGCUGGGACCACCGAAGUUUUUGGGAAAGCCAAAACCACUUAAGGCGGAGACAUGGUUAAAGCAGAUCACUAAGAUAUUUGAUGUCUUUGGAUGCUCCGAGGAGCAAAAGGUUCCCUUUGCCACCUUCAUGUUGCGAGGAGAGGCAGAUCAUUGGUGGAAAUCUGUAAAAUGUACCCAGCUUGCCACAUUAAAGAUGUCUUGGGAGAAGUUUCAAGAACUGUUCAACGACAAGUACUUUUUCGAAAGUAUUCGUUAGAUGAAGGAGGUGGAGUUCAUCAGGUUGGAAUAAAACAAUAUGACCAAGACGCAGUACGAGGCUAAGUUUGCGGAGUUAUCCCGGUUUGCAUCUCAUUUGGUUGUUAAUGAGGAGAGAAUGACGCGGAUAUUUUUAAGAGGUUUGAAACCUGAGAUAUGUCAAUAUCUCAUUCUCACAAACUUUGCUUGUAUUCAGAUGUUGUGAAUAUUGUAAUAACUCGAUAUUUUCUAUAUAAUUAAAUCAGAAAUUUUACGUAUGAAUUUUUUUAUUUAAUUAUUAAAGUUGGAAAUAUGUGCCAGGUAAUGUGUAUAUGUAUAUAUGUGAUAAAUAAAAUAUAUUUAUUACAUGAAUAAUUACCAAUAGUUUUAUUUUAGAAUUAUUGCUCAUUAUAAAUUAUAUUAUAAUAAUAAUUAGUUUUAUACUAAAAAUGUUUUCAUUAAUUCUAUUCUAUGAAAAUAUGUUUAUAUAUUAUUUAAAAAUUAUAUGAAAUGAUUAUAUAAUUAUUAUAAUGAUUAUUCUAUUUUAUUAUAUGAAUUUAGUUCAGAUUAUUUAAGUUAAUUAUUUUAACUUAAUUAUUAUUGUUAUGUAUGCAAGAUAAAUCAGAUAUGGAAUCCAAACCCUAAUUUUGGAUUUUGAACAAGGAAUGAGAAUAUUAAUAUAAUAUUAAUUAUAUUUUUAUUUUUCAGUGCUAUAAAUAUAUAUGUUAUGUUUGUAAGGUUAAUCUGGGGAGCAAUUUUCUUAUGACCUGAUAAAACCCUAAUUUGAAAGUCAAUUACGACUGUAAAAUUUGUUAAGUCAUUGUGAUAUGUGGUCUAUGAUUUGUAUUAUAAGUAUUAAUGUUAAUUCUAUAAAACCCUAAUUAGUAAUUUAAAACUCUAUUUUUCUUAAAUUAGGAACCCUAAACAGUACUUAGCUAUCCGCUAAGUGAAAACCCUAAUUUAAAACUCAGCUAUGAGUCGAGACUGUUAUGUAACUGUAUUAUUAUGUUUAAGGUUAAGUAUUAUAGAAUUUUAUAUUAAUUAAAGAAACCCUAAUUAACAUUUAGAAAUUCUAAUUUCUAGAAACCCUAAUUUCUAAAUUAGUAACCCUAAUUUGCUAAAACAAAACUCUAAUUGUUAAUUUGGCACGCUUAAUGAUAAUUAGUAAAAUUUAAACCUAAUUUUCAAGUCUAUGUAAUGAGGAAACCAAAUUAAUUAUGAAACCUUAAUUUGUAUUUUUAGAAACUAAAAAUUUCAAUUUUUUUAAAAUUAGAAAUCCUAUAACACUUUGUGCUAACCCUAAGGGUCAAACCCUAAGGGUUUGAUAAGUUACUAGUUUGCCCUUAAAUUGAUUAGCCAAAUGACAAAAAUACCCCUCUUGCAUUAUUGGACAUAACUUGUAAGACUAGCCAAUUUUGAGUUGCUCAACAACUCUUACCAGCCCCAUGUGACUAAAAUGCCAGCAAUCAAGCUCUAGAUAUCAGCCAACUUGAUUUCAUGUUUUAUAUAUAUAGACAUCAAGAGAGAGAAAUUUCAUUUAUUAGCCACAUUUGUACACAAACUCCUUACCAACUCUCUCUCCCAAAACCCAUGAAAUGUUGUAGUAGAUCAGUCCCGUAUUGAAGCCCCACUAACACACUUAAGCAAAUCAGCAGCCAGAAUCAAGAAUUGAUGCUUAAAGGUAUAAAAUCCUAAGUCAAAUUUUGAUCUUGUAUGCUAUAUUGGAUUUGUGGUUUUAAUGUUUAAUCAUGUUGAAUAAGGUGUUAAUAGGUGAUCUGGGUUGGCACAUGUUAGAUCCAUAACAUCAAAGUGCUCGAAAUCUAAGUUUUUCAAAAUAUGGAAAUUUUUGUUUUUGUUGUCUGACAGCGAAUGUCAGGCCUUGUAGAUCUGUGCUUAUUUAUUAUUUUGAUGAUUUAAAUGUUUGAAGUGGUAGUCUGGUAUGAGGUCUUUCAUAUGAAAAUGGAAUCACUGUUAUUGGAUGUCUAGAUCGAAAAUUAUUGAUGGUCAAAGGUCGUUGACUGACCAUGACCGAGUAUGAAUCUGGGCAACCUUGAAAGCUUUUUCAGCGUCUGAAAAUGUUUUGGAAGGCUUAGAUCUGUCAGUGUGUAAAUGAUUUGAUGAUGUUAUAAUAUCCAGUUUAUAGCUUGUCAUAUGUAAUUUAUAUUUGUGGCUUUAUAUCCUUUAAACAAACAAUUGAUCGAACUUAGUGGAUGGUCAAACCUGGCCCCUCGGUCACGAUUUCAUUUCUGGGAAUUUCCAGAAAAUCGAAAGAACAGCCCUCUGACAGGGUUUGACCGAGUAAUAUCUUGUAGAUCUGUUGAUGUUAAACUGAUUUGUUGUUAUAUUAUUGUUCCUGGACAUAAGGACUACAUCUUUGAGGCAUUAGAUCACUUGAAUCAUGAACGGAACCUAGAUUAAAUCGAGGAUGAAAGUGACUGGUCGACCACCUGGGUUUCUGGAAAACCCAGGAAUGCUCUGACAACAUAUUUGCAAGCCUAGAUCUCCUUGUGUGUUUGUUGUAUGACCUAGAUAUUGAUUGCUAGUUAUAGUGUUGUAUAAUGACUUCAAUAUUGAUGCUUAAGUUUGCCCAAAAACGAAUUAGACAGAGAAUUAUUAGUGGUCAAAGUUGACCCCUCAAACACGAAGCUGUCAGUGUUCUUGAGCUCAAGAACACCAACAGCGACGCUUAGUGUCACUAAAGGCCAAUAGCGAUGGUUUCUAAUAUUUUUAAUUUCUGAUUUUCUAGAAAAUACUUAAAAAUAGAAAAUAAAUUAUAAAAAUUACAAAAAUGGUUUUAAAAAUUAUUUUAAAUUAUGAAAAUUAACUUUUAAUUAUUUGGGAUAUUUUUUAUUAAUAUUUAUAAUUAUUUGAAUAUUAUUAAUAUUUAAUUUAUUUAAUUAGUGUAUUAAAUAAAUUAGAGAAAAAUGAUUUUAAUGUUAUAAAAAUCAAUUUAAAUAAGAAUAAAGUGUUUAAAAAUAUUUUUGAGUUAUAUAUGUAACUUUUAAUAUUUUUGUGAUGAAUUUCAUUAAUUAAUUAAUAUUAAUGAUAAUUAAGUUAUUUAAUAAAUGUAUUAAAUAAAUUAUGAAAAAUAGAAAUUAUGAUUUAAAAAUCAUAUAAAAGUGAUUUAAAGAUUAUAAAAAAAUAUUUUAAGUUAUAAAAUAUAACUUUUGAUAUUUUGUCAUGAAAAAUAUUAAUAAUUUUAUAUUAAUAAUAUUAGAUUUAUUUAAUGAUUAUAUUAAAUAAUUUAGUUUAAAAUGAUUUUAUUAUUAUAAAAUUAUUUUAAAUGAAAAUAAAGUGUUUAAAGAUAUUUUAAGUUAUAAAAUAUAACUUUUAAUAUUUAAAGGAUAAUUUCAUUAAUAAUUUAAUAUUAAUGAUAUUAAUUUAAGAUUUAUUGAUAUUAAAUUUAUUCAAUAAUUAUAUUAAAUAAAUAGUUUUAAAAUGGUUUUAUUAGUUUAAAAAUUAUUUAAAAAGGAUAUAAAUGAAUUAAAAAUAUUUUAAGUUAGAAUUAAUAACGUUUAAUAUUUGGAUAAAUAGUAGAUUAAUAUUUUAAUAUUAAUGGUAAUUAUUUAAAAAUGAUUUUAAAUGUUUAAAAAAUUAUUUAAGGGUAAUAUUAGCACUUUAAAAAUAUUUUGAGUUAUUAUUAAUAACUUUAAUAUUUUGGCAAUGGUUUCAUUAAUAGUUUAAUAUUAAUUAAAUAUUAAUGAUAAUAUGAUUAUUUACUAUUUAAAUCAUUUAAUUAUGAUUCUAGUGUUUGAAAAUUCAUAAUAAAUUAUAAUAAAUGUUUAAAAAUUAUUAUAAGUCAUUUAAAAAUAAUAUGACUGAUAUUUGUAGAUAUUGAGAUACAGGAUAGAGUCUUAGACUCGAUAUUUACCUGAUAAAGCCGUCGGUAGACCGACAUGUUUCAAAAAUUGAUCUAGACUUAGAUAUUUUGACUGUAUUAAUAUUUGUUUGUGAUUCAAUGACUGUUGAAUAUGUGUGACAAUGUGAUUAGGUUAUAUGCUGACUGCAAUAAGCAGUGCUAUGUUAUUCUAAUCGAACGAAUGAUCUUAUUAAUGAUAGAUUUUGGUAUUAAAGAUAAAACUAAGUUGCGUAUUGUAAGCAGCAGACCAGGCAAGUAUCAUAUAUUUGCAUUUUGUUUAUGUGACGCCCCCAAAUCCGGGUUAUCUUUAACUCGGGUUUGGUGCUUACGAUUCUAGAAUACCCAUUCAUACUAAAAAUAAAACUGUCUUAUAUUACAUAAACAUUGAACUUAAAUCCCAGGUUCUAGAGACCUUUACAUACAAGCCAAAUAUUAUUACAUCAUAGUGCUACAGUAUUUAUUACAUGCACUACUUAGGUUCAUUUAAGCACAUGCGCUUAAUAAUUGACUACUCAACAACCUUGCCCUUUCCUUUGUCUUUUCCAGAUGGACCGGCAACCUCAAUUUUAACUGAAAACAUUAUAUUUAACGCAAGGGUGGGCAACAAGUUUGCCCAGCAAGGAAAUAAGCAGCUAAAUAUAAGAGAACAAAAAUAUUACAGUAAUGGGGAUAUCAUACAGAAGGUAUAGAACAAAGUAAUUCUUAAGAGUGUUGAGUCAAAAGUCAGGAUUUAUCAUGCUGUAAGGUCAAAUGACCAGUGAACACUAUACUAGAAUUUACAGUAAUAAUACUGCAAUCUAUGAAUACAAACAGUUAUAAAGCUGUUUUAUAUCCUAGACUCGUACUUCAGGGGAUCAGCCUAAGUACCCUAUAUUGUGCACAACAUAACAGUCUAAUAAAACUUUACAUGUCCUUCAGAAUCAUAUAUACGGUACAAUACGCCCCUAAAAAAGGGUUGUUCGUUCACAGCAUUAUAUAAGAAUCCAUACCACAAUAACAAAAUGGUUUGGAAAGAAUUAACUGAUAAAUUCAUAAACAAUAUCAAUAUAUCUCAACCUUUGUCCAAGCGAAGUAAUGGUAUUGACAUACUUUCAAUAUAACUUUUAUUCAAGAUAGAAAAGUUGAUAUACUAUUCUUUUGAAGCUGAUUGGAAUAAAAAGGCUAUUUAACCUUAUAUUAUUCAUAAAUAAGGACAAACAGUUCAGAAAUUAAAGAACCUGUCCACUGCAGAAUAUUUGCUCAAUAAAGAGUAAGGAUUAGAAACUUGCCUUGUUUGUAGUCUAUCGUUUAGGAUUUCAGCUUAAUUGAAGUAUUUCUCAAAGUCCUACACAGUUAUUUGUAUUAACAAGCAUGUUAAUCACAUAGCUAUGUUAUAUAGUUUGUAAGCUCACAUAUCACAUAAUUUCAGUGAUUAUGGUUGUAGUUAAAUUAUUAUUUUUGAUACAUUUUUCAAAUAUCUCAUCCAUGCUUUCAAGAGACAUUUUUCACUUUGAUGGGUUUCAACAAGCUUUCAACAAGUAAUAGAAAUCAUAUUACAGUCAUCAUUUGCAUUAACCAAGUAUGUUAGCCACAUAGCUAAGUCAUAUAUCAUGUAGUUUUAAUGGUCAUGGUUAGAUUUCCUAUAUUUGAUACAUUUUUCAAAUACCUCAUCCAUGCUUUCAAGAGACAUUUUUCACUUUAUUAGUGUUCAAUAUGCAAUACUUUACAACUACCAUCUCCAUUUCCUUAGUAACAUAGUAUAUAAUCAUUUUAUGUUUCCUUUACUUAAUUUCUAGCAUAUAAGGUGUUUUCAUAGCUUAUUGUCGGUUUUGAAGGUAUUUCUUAUAUGUAUGGUUAACCUAUAGUCUUCCUCAUAGUUUAUAGAUUCAUUUUGACACACCAGUGUAUCAAUUAUCACUGUUUUCACCUAUGAUGCUAAAACAGCCCUUUGAGGCUUUAAUUUUUUUAAACAUGACUUAAUGAUCCCAAUUUAGGUUUACUGUUUAUAUUAGAUUUCAUUUAGAAUUUUUCUCCUACACUUGCUUGCAUCAUAACUCUACUCAUUUAGAGAAACAUAAUCUAUCCUUUAUAGAUAAUCUGGUUACUAAAACUAAAUUUGGAUUCAAACAUGAAUUUUACAAAACAGUCAUUAUUGUAGCUGCUAUACCACAACUGUUGUUUCCCAUUCUACUUGUUGUGGCUAUUGGUAUCAGCUAUAUGCUGCCACUAUUAGGCAGUAAGUCACAUCACUCAUGCCCAAAAAUGCUUCUAAAUUAACCUUUUCAGCUGGCUUUGCAGGCUUUGCAGCCCUUAAUUGAGCCUUACAGCUCAAUAAUCUCUGUAACACAUUUCAGUUAUUAGUCUUAUCUUAUAACUUGCUAUUCCAUUAACAUUUUCUAUGUAUGAAUGCACUGCCAACUGCUACUGCUGGUGUUGCUGUUGCUGCCAAUGGGCAGCGACUAUUAUUUUCUUACCAUAAGCUGUUUGGUCUGUUUCAAGUGCUGCAGUCACAUGUCAUCAUGCUCCAUCAACUAGAGUAAACAAAAAUGCAUGAACUUAACUUACUAACUGCAGCCCAAGAAAAACAAACUCAGCUGUCAAAAUGACAGUGCAGUCAUCUACUUGAAGUUGCCAAGGACAACAGCUAUCCGAAGCUUUUUGCUACUGUCAUUAGCAGCCUCCCUUGCUCCUUAACCCAUUCCCAACAAUCCUCUAACCUCAGUUUUGCUAUAUUUCUAGGAAUAGGCCUCAUGGCUAUAAUCUUUUAGAGUUAUAAGGUUAUCCCAGUUGGCCUAUUAAGCUUUGGCUCCUUGGUUUAGUGACUGUUUCAACAGAGUAGGCAAAGGAGUUUGUCAAGCUAGAAUUACUUAGCCUAAAAACUGAACUAUGCUAAAAAUUUCUAUGCCAAAACAUUACAGUCAUCACAUAUGUUGGGUAAAUCAGGUAAAUAGUGUACUAGUUCUACUAUUCAGUUUCUUUUUACUAAAACAGUCCUCUUAGGUCUUUUAUCAAACAGUUGGUGGGCAUGGUUAUAAGCUACUAGUUCCAUAGCCAUUUGUUUAUAUUCCAACUCAUAUUUUCCCCUUAUUACUCCACAGCCCACUUAUCUCCUUGUGCUUAAAUUAUAACAAUAUCAUAAUGGCAUAACAAUCAAUGAAAUGUUACAACAGUUUAUAUAUAGCAGCUUAACACCCACAUAGCAGUCCUCAAAUCCAUACUAGGCCUUUUAGGCUAAAUGAUCAAAACAGUCCUUAAGUUUUUAACACAAGGAUUAAUAUAACAUGUACAUACUAUGUUUUAUGGUUUAAAGACCCCAAUACCAACCAUCCUGUCUUGACACUAUAACAGCUUUAGACUAGCAAUUUGGUCAUGGUUUAUCACACCAAACCAAUAGCAAGCACUGAUAUGUAUGCCUUUCUAACACUAAAACAUUUUACCUACCAUAUUUUCAUGGUUUAAAGCAUCUAGAGGCAAGGUCCUUAAGUUUAAAAUCAAAACAGCCUCUCAUAGGCUUUUAAAGUAAUAUAAGAUAGCAUGCUUGGGCAACAUGAAAACAAGGACUGCCUACUAUGAAUAUAUUAGAAGUAAGGCAUGAUCAUCAUAAUAAACUUCUAAUAACAGUCCACAUAAUGCAAUAACAGUUCAUAUAAGGCAAUAAUAAUUUAUAUAGCAACUAAAGUCCUUCUAACAGUCAUUUAUGCUUAUUCUAGUCACCACAACAAGUAUACUGUCUUAGUCCAUUCUGUAUACUAGUUCUGGGCAUGGUAAUAUAUUUUACAAUCAUAAAUAACCAACCAUCUUGGACUCCUUUCCAGCCACACUGUUUUGCCAUUAUAGCAGUUUUAGACUAGCACCUUAGGCACAGUUCAUCACAGCAAAACAGUAGCAACAUAGCAUAGCGUAUCAGUCCAGUUAUUACAAUAACAGUUGGUAUAUCACAAGGAUGAUGCUACAGCUAUUCAAGUCUCUUUUAGGCCAUUUUGGCAAGGUUUUAGUAAUAAGUUAUCAAAGCGGUCAUUAGUGUGCAAUACAAAGAUUAUUACCUCAUGUACAUGCUAUAGAAUAUAUGUUCAUGUUUUAAGAGCCUAUAUACAAGGUUUCUUGCUGUUAGUUCAUAACAAUCCCUUAUAGGCUUCAAUUUAAUACACGGAAGCAUGAUCUGAAAAAUUUAGUUAUCAAAAUAACAUGUUUAAACAUAAACAUAUACUCGAGGUAUUCUUUUUCUUUCUAUAUAAUCAAGUAGACAUGCUAUUAGGCUCUAUUUACAGCUAGCAUACCUUGAUACCAUAACAGUCCAAUUAGAGCAAUAUUUUAGGCAUGGUCUAUUACAACAAAAUGGUAGCAAGCACUGACAUGUUUUCCUUUCUAACACAGGCACCUUUUAUUUAUCAUAUAUUCAUGAUUUAAAACAUCUAAAGGCAAAAUCUCUUUGCUUUAAGCCAACACAGCCCUCUUUAGGACCCACUUUCCAAAAAUAACCAUGGUUUACCCUUAUGUUUACAAGGAUAACAUGGAUGUGCAACAUAGAAGUUUAGACUAUCUUCUUUAUAUGGUAUUUAAGAUGCAAAAAUAUAUUUGGAUGUCAUAGAAUGCCUUACCCCAUAUAUAUCAGUCCUUAUUAAGCCUCAAAUCUAGCAUACCAGUUUCUCAGAAUAGUGGCCAAGUCUUGGUUAAUUGCUUAGAUUACAUAUAUGCUAGUAUACAAUAGUUAUACCCAAUACAUCAUGCCACAUAUAACAUAUAAGCAGUCCUUUAUUAAUAAUCAUAGCAUAACAGUCCAUUUAACAUCAUAGCAAUUCAUAUGGUAACACAGAUCAUGCUAACCGAAAUCAUAAUAUCAUUAACUUUUUAGCAGCUCCUUAGCUUGACAAAUUAUCAAACACCUAGAGUGCAGUCUAUAUACUUGCACUUAAUACAUAAUUUCUAGCCCUCUGCCCCCAGCCGUAUGGCUUAAACAAUAUCAAGCAUAAGACCACACUUAUCAGUACCAAACCCAGCAGUUCAAAUAACAUGAAAGCAGUCAGUUAUCAUAACAGCCAUACACGUUUUUGGUCAUUGACAAUUCAUUUUACUAAUUAAUUUAAUAGCCAUCCUAAUCAUUUAUCAAUUCAGUUGUUACCCGGAAUGAAUGGAAAGAUUAGAAAGGCCAGAAUUGGCUUACCUUGCUGAUUCGAAGGUAUCAAGUGGUUGAGCUGCUUAAUUCCUUUUCCCCUCUAGCCGAACUCUUCACUCUUACUCUAUAUGACCGUUGCUGCUAAUUCUUUUGGACUCAGUUAAGUGAUGAGGCUAAUUGAUUUUGGGUAAUAACCUGGCCUUUUUAUGGCUGAGCUUAGCUUCCUUACAGUUGAUCGCAUCACCUUCUACUUGCCCCCUAACAUAUAAUCUAUUACCUCUAGCAGUUAGACUGCUCUGCAGCCACCCUACAAGACCCUAGUCUCUCUGCCAUGCCUUAUCUGUUGCUAACCUGUCUACUAACUAAUAACUGACUAACUUAUAGACUAACUACUGCUAACAACAGAACAGCCUCAGCUCCUAAGUUUACCCCUGUGGGCUGUUGGAAAAAAUCCUAAGGCAAGGCUGGGCAGUGGUUUCAUUUUGGGCCUAGUCCCUUUAACCCAAAGUUUUACUUGUUAAUUUGCUAUACUCCAAUGGGUUUACAGGAUUGGGUUUUGGACAUCCAUUUCACUCUUUAACACUUGGAGCUGCCGAAUUGGGCUAGCAAAUAGACUACAUGCAACGAUCAUGGCAAAAUUAUUAAGGCCCAAUAUUUUAAUAUGGACUCUUGUUACAUUAAAACACAUGGACUAUUAUUUUCUCUAGCAACAAUAGUUAUAACAUAUAUCAUUAAAAUGACUAUUCUAUGUAAUCUUAAAUAAUUCAUGAUGGCACAUAAUUUCUUUGCCCUUUAUAACUCAAGAUGCUAAACGAACUAUUAAAUAAAUAAUAUUUUUAUCACAAUGAGAAUUAACAUAUCAUAAAAAAAAAUUUAUACUCAAAAAUUGACAUUACAAUAAUUAAAUAUUACAUAGGAUGAACUACAGGCCAAUGAGGACUUUUACCACAUCAUUCGUCACAUUACGGUCAUUAUUAUACCGAAUCAUCCCUGGUCAUAAUCAUACCAAGUCCAUCUAUGCACGUAAGCCAAAGAUGACUUUCAUCACAAUAUAAGCAUGAGGAUGAUGACAAUAAUAUAAGCAUUAAUCAAACGAAAAUAAUGAUAAAUUUUAAAGACUUUAAAUUUAUCCAAAUGUUUAUCAAUCACUUAAUAAACUCAUAAUCUAAUAUUAUUAAUAUUAUAACAAUAUUUUAAUCACUUCUUGAACUUAUAAACAAUUUAUUCUAAUUGUUUACACUUUCCCAAAUAAUACAUUUUAAUCAUUCAAAAAUACCAUACUCAUAAGAUUUCAUCACCAAUGAUCAAAUCCCUUAUCAAAAAUCUGCAUAUACCUUAUAUAGGAUUUCCAAGCCAUAAAAUCCAUUUUACCAAUUUUUCAACUUCACAUAACAUAUUUAAUUCAUAUGUUCGUAACUAAACUAUUUUCAUGAAAAAUACCAAAUCAGUCCAAAAAAUUAUUCUUUUUUGGGAUUUAGCAGAAUAUAGUCCCAUAUUGAACAUAUAUUUUUCUCAUAAUUUUUAAAAUUCAUUUACUAUUUUUCAUAUGGCCAAAACUGCCGAAUAUUUAGACAUUUAUCAUAAAUUGUACUUUUGUCCAAAAAUUCCGAAAUUUACAAGGUAUACUCCUAUUAUAUAUGUGUACUCCCAAUAAAAAUUUAACCAAUUUUGGAGUUAACCACAAGGAGUUAUAAGGGUUUACUUUUAAAAUAGUUUUUUCCCAUAAAAUUCAUAACUCCUAAUCUAUACAUCCAAAAAUUGCCAUUUUUGGACACAAUCUAGAAAUCUCAACAAACUAUCAUUUCAAAUGUUUCCAAAAUUUUUGAGGGUCAGAAAAAUUACGAAACUGCAAAUAGAUUUUCACCCGUCAUUCGGUAAUCCAGGUAGACAGAUCAUUUCCACAAUUUAAUAAGGAAUGAAUACAAAGGAUCAUUCACCAUGCAUGCGGUAAUCCACAUAGACAGGUUAUUCCAACAGAAUAAUAAAAAAUAGAAUAACAACAGAAUUCACCAGGCAUACGGUAAUCCGCGUAUACAGGUUAUUCCAAUAGAAUAAUAAAUAAUGGAACCAGGUCAUGCGUAAUCCGCAUAGACAGGAUAUUCCAACAGAAUAAUAAAGAAUGGAAUAACAACAGAAAUUCACCAAGCAUACGGUAAUCCGCGUAUACAGGUAAUUCUAACAGAAUAAUAAAGAAUGGAAUAACAAUAGAAUUCACCAGGCAUACGAUAAUCCGCGUAUACAGGUUAUUCCAACAGAAUAAUAAAGAAUGGAAUAAUAGAAAAUUUUCACCACGUAUGCGGUACUUCGCAUAGACAGGUUACUCCAAUAUAAUAAUAAAGAAUGAAAUAACAAAAGAAUUUCACCAUGUAUGCGAUACUUCGCAUAAACAGGUUAUUCCAACAUAAUAAUAAAGAAUGGAAUAACAACAGCUCUCUUCAUGAAUACGAAAGAAAUAAUAAUACCCCUUACCUUAGAAGAAACUGGAUACUGGAAUAGUGAGGUAGCAGGCUUCUCUUCUUCUUUCUCUCUAUAAUUUCUCUCUAUAAUAAUUGCUCUAUAGCUUUAGUGAAUUGGUGAGAAAUGAAGGAAGAAUGAGCUUCUGUUUAUAGGAAAACAUAGUUUCAAUAAUUGCACAUUUUGGGGCUCGAAAUAUUACAUUAUAAUACCUUCCUCUUUUUCUUUAUUUUUAAUUUAGCCCUGCAAGUAUUAUCAAACUUGCACCACCUCCUCUAAUAGUAAAUCAUGUGAAUUAAUAGUAAAUCAUGUGAAUCAAUAGUUCUAGACAUGUGAAAAUACGAAUUACAGUAUAGUACCUCCAUCUAUACCUCUAUUUUUAACUUAGUCAUGCAAGUAUUAUCAAUCUUGCACCAACUCCCCUAAUAGUACCAUAAUGUGAAUCAAUAGUACACACAUGUGAACAAAUAGUUAUAAUCAUAUGAAUUAAUAGCAAUUAAAAGCUCAUUUAUCCGGAUAAUUACCCGAUUGGUCAAUAUAACCUCCAGACAUCAAUUAUCAUCGAAAUAAAUGUCGAUUCCCACUAACACUAAUAAUUCCAACACAAUGGAACUAUCAAUUUCAUCUUUAAUCAACACAAAUUUAUUCAUCAUUAAUAUUAUAACUCAUAAUAUUUAACAACAAGAUCGUUCCCAGGAAAGAGGGGGCCUUCCGGUAAGGAUUUCUCCUCACUGGUGCGCAAUUACCUAACCUCUCCUUGACAGAACUUCUAGACAUUGUCAAUAUUGCAAUUUAAUAAUAUUAAUAAGUUUACCAUCUUAAUUAUUUAUUUAAUAAUAUAACAUAUUAUGCAGAUGAUACUGUGACAAUAAUUGAAUCAAUAAUAUGAGAGAUAUGAUGUAAUAAUUACUGUAGCAAUAAUUGAGUAUAACUGAGUGACUUCUUACGUAAGCAUUAAUAAUCAAUACCGUGUGCUACUCAAUUCGUCAGCUACCACGUUCGCUCUUUCAUGAUGAUAUUGAAUGGUACGAUCGUAAUCUUCUACAGCUCAAGCCAACGUCUUUGGCACAUUAUACGAUUAUUUUAGGUAAAGAAAUAUUUGAGGGUUUUAGAAAUGAGUUUUGUACUUGGGUCAAUACAAAAUAUGAUUUCACGCUCUGGGGUAGGCAAGGAAGUUCUUCGAGAAUACGUCAGAAUAUUUAUUAACAAUAGAAAUAUCAUUUAAAAACUGUGACUCUCAUCCAAGACUUGGACAACACAUGAAAUGAAGGUUUCUACUAACGAAGUUUCAACCAAUAAGUCAAAGUCUAACUUCUCUGGGGUCAAAUUUAAAUGUUGAGCGCAAGCAAGAGAGAUAAAAGAAUGGGUAGAACCGGUAUCUAAUAAGGUAUAGACUUCGCAAAAAUUUAUAAUUAACUAACCCGUGCUAACUUCGUUCGGGUUACUCGCUUUUUGAGAAGUCAUGAAAAACGCUCUUCCUGAAACCACCGACUUUGUUUUGUCCAUAUCCGCCUUUGGUGCCACCGUCCCAGCUGGACUUGACUUUGGUGCACGACAAAAUCGGGCUAAGUGUCCUUUUCCAUAAUUAUAACAUGUUUUGGACUGCAUCACGCAGUUUGGACUGAUAUGUCCCUCCCCUCCGCAUUUGAAGCAUACAAUUGGUGGUCGUUCUCCUUCCUUGAAAACGGGUGUUGGUGCUGCUGUCUUUGCAUCUUUGUUGAACCUUCUCUUCUUGAAAUUUCCACUCCUAUUAUCUUGGUCAUGAUUACCACCGAAGUGGUUACCAUUCUUGGUGUAAGACCCCAACUUUUAUGAAUAAAAAAUGAAUUUUCUAUAAAUAUCAUUUUUGAAUAUUAUGGAGUAAAUUUGAUAUAAUGUUAUAGUUGUGGGUAAUAUUUAUAAAUUUUGAAAAGUACGCAAGUUGUUAUAUAAUAUUCGUUUGGUCGGAAAAUAUUCUUUUUGUCGGGAAUAUCCGUACGACGACACAAUCAUUGGUGGACCCCCACAACGGAAGUAUUGUCGUAGUAAGAAAACGACAGAAUUAUCUUUUUAUAAAAAUAACGGCUAAAGUUUUACCGUUAAAACUGUUGAACUACUCGGUAGUAAAAGUACAGUAAUACGUGUGGUUGCAUAGUAGCACACGAUAUUGAUUAUUAAUACUUACGUGAGAAGUCACUCAGUUAUACUCAAUUAUUGCUAUAGUAAUUGUUGCAUCAUAUCUCUCAUAUUAUUGAUUCAUUUAUUGUCACAGUAUUAUCUGCAUAAUAUGUUAUAUUAUUAAAUCAAUAAUUGAGACGACAAAGUUAUUAAUAUUAUUAAAUUGCAAUAUUGACAAUGUCUAGAAGUUCUGUCAAGGAGAGGUUAGGUAAUUGCGCGCCAAUGAGGAGAAAUCCUUACCGGAAGGCCCCCUCUUUCCUGGGAACGAUCUUGUUGUUAAAUAUUAUGAGUUAUAAUAUUAAUGAUGAAUAAGUUUUGUUGAUUAAAGAUGAAAUUGAUAGUUCCAUUGUGUUGGGAUUAUUAGCGUUAGUGGAAAUCGACAUUUAUUUUGAUGAUAGUUGAUGUCUGGGGGUUAUAUUGAUAAAUCGGGUAAUUUAUCGGAUAAAUGAGCAAUUAAUUGCUACUAAUUCACAUGUUUAUAUAACUAUUUGUUCACAUGUGUGUACUAUUGAUUCACAUUCUGGUACUAUUAGGGGAGUUGGUGCAAGAUUGAUAAUACUUGCAUGACUAAGUUAAAAAUUGAGGUAUAGAUGGAUGUACUAUACUGUAAUUCGUAUUUUCACAUAUCUAGAACUAUUGAGUCACAUGAUUUACUAUUAAUUCACAUGAUUUACUAUUAGGGGAGUUGGUGCAAGAUUGAUAAUACUUGCAGGACUAAAUUAAAGAUAAAGAAAAAGAGGAAGGUAUUAUACUGUAAUAUUUUGAGCCCCAAAACGUGCAAUUAUCAAAACUAUAUUUUCCUAUAAAUAGAAGCUCAUUCCUUCAUUAUUUUUCACUAAUUCACUAAAGCUAUAGAGCAUUUAUUAUAGAGAGAAAUUAUAGAGAGAAAGAAGAAGAAAAGUCUACACUUCACUACUCCAGUAUCCAAUCUUCUUUGAGGUAAGGGGUAUUAUUCUUUCGUAUUCAUGAAGAGAGUUAUUUUUUUUCAAUACUCGUUAUUCCAUUCCUUAUUAUUAUGUUGGAAUAACAUGUCUAUGCGAAGUACCGCAUACAUGGUGAAAUUCUUCUAUUAUUCCAUUCUUUAAUAUUCUGUUGAAAUAUCUUGUUUGUGCGUUUUACGCAAGACCUGGUUCCAUUAUAUAUUAUUCUGUCAGAAUAUCUUGUCUGUGCUUUACGCAUGACCUGGUUCCAUUAUUUAUUAUUCAGUUUGAAUAACAUGUAUACGCGGAUUACCGUAUACCUGGUGAAUUUUGUUGUUAUUACAUUCUUUAUUAUACUCAGUUGGUUAAAGUUUUGGCUUUUAUACUCUAUGAAAUUAGUGGAAUAUCCUUGAUAUUUGCGCUUCAUCCAAUAUCUUUUCAUGGAAAUAUUCUUCUGAGCAUUCUUGAAUUUUACAUCACAAAGCAGUAUCAUGUUGACAUUUUGGACGUUAUUGGUUCCUGGAUAAAUUAAUUCUUGAACUUGUUUUAUUGAAUUCUUAUAUCAUUAUCAUCAUCCUCAUGUUUAUAUUCUGUUGAGAGUCAUCUGUGGCCUGUAGUGCAUAGAUGGACUUGGUAUGAUUAUGACCAGGGAUUAUUCGGUAUAAUCAUGACUGUAAUAUUACAAAUAAUAUGGUAAAAGUCCUCAUUGGCCGUAGUGCAUUGUUGGACAAUUGUUGGUAUGAUCAUGACCAUUGAUGAAUACACGAAUAUCCUUGGUCGUAGUGCAGGGAUGAUGUUGAUUAUUUAUUAACCUGAGUCUCAGCGAUGAAAAUGAUGAAAAACCUUUUUAAAUCAUAGAAGAUAAUAGAUUUUAUGCUCUAUUUGACUCUUUUAAUGGAUUGCUUAUUUUCGCUGCAGUUUUUGAUCUAAAACUUGUUGUUUAUUAUAUUCUAUCAGUUGUUAUACUGUUGAAGGCUAAGGAUAAUUUAUUCUGCAUUAACUUAGUCAUAAUAUUUCUUACUGGGCUUGUUGAGCUCACCCUUUUCUUUCAUGGUUCUCUUCAGGAAAUGAGAACGUAGCUGAGACUAGUCAGGGAACAGAGUGACGGCCCAGAUGUUUGCAUUAAUUGUCCUCACUAUUCUGUGAAAUAGUGUGAUAAUAAAUGUAAUGAGGACUCCAUUGAGUGUGGAUAUUGUCUAGAUGACAAUAUUCUUCUUAAAACUCUUAGAUUAUGUUUUGUCGUAUUUUACACGACUGUUGUAUAAUUAAGUUGUAUUUGAAUUUUGUACCAUAUAUCCGGCGACUCAAGAUGGGUGAUGUAUACCUAUUUUGAGGGCAUCAUAGUUGGUAUCAAAGCUUAGGGAUAUGAUCCCUGGUUGAGAUGUGAGAUAAGAACUAGGAGGGGAGAGACGGGGAAUUCCUUUGUUAGUAUAACCUACCUAAGUUUAUUUGGUAUUUAAUUGGUCGGUCACAAUAUAUGGAUAAUAUGUGACAUGUCAAUUAACCCUUGUUUUGUGACAGUAUUUGAAAAUGGCAUCCGAAAAUGUUGAGAAUAGCAAUGGAGCACAGGAGACCGUUGAGUCACCAUAGAUUAAUACCCAGGAUAAUGUGUAACAGGAAGAAAAUAAUCCUCAGGUAAACAAUAACACCGAUGAAAUGGGGAACGAUGGGAUGUUCAGAGGCUUUAUGCAAUUCAUGCAACAUCAGGCGAGGGCGGCUCCUGUCCAAAAUGCAGGUGGAAACACUGACAACUCUCGGACGGUCACCGCUAAGCAGUUCAAGGAGCUGGGACCACCGGAGUUUUUUGGAGAGCCAAAACCACUUAAGACAGAGACGUGGAUAAAGAAGAUCAACAGGAUAUUUGAUGUCUUGGGAUGCUCCGAGGAACAAAAGGUUCCUUUUGUCACCUUCAUGUUGCGAGCAGAGGCAGAUUACUGGUGGGAAUCCGUAAAGCGUACUCAACUUGCCGCACUGAAAAUGUCUUGGGAGAAGUUCCAAGAACUGUUCAACGAAAAGUACUUUCCCGAAAGUAUUCGUCAAAUGAAAGAGGUAGAGUUCAUCAAGCUUGAGCAAAAAAAUAUGACUGUGGCGCAGUACAAAGCUAAGUUUGUCGAGUUAUCUCGGUUUGCGUCCCACUUGAUUGAUAAUAAGGAGAGAAUGACGCGGAUGUUUUCAAAGAGGUUUGAAACCCGAGAUACGUCAAUACCUAAUUUCUCACAAACCGUGUUUGUAUUCAGAUGUUGUGAAUAGGGCUCAGUUAUUGGAGCGCGAUAAUGAAUCAACCCAACCAAGAGAGAGCAGCCGACAAGUCGAUAAUACCAGUGGUAGCAGUCAUCGAAGCGGUGACAACAAGCGUGGAGGGAAUCAACAUGCCAAAAAUGGUAAUCACUUCGGUGGUAAUCAUGGCCAUGACAAUAAGAGUGGACAUUUCAAGAAGACGAGAUUCAACAAUGAUGGAAAGACGUCAGCACCAGCACCUGUUGUUAAGGAAGGAGAACAAUCGCCGGUCGUAUAUUAUAAAUGCGGAGGGGAGGGACAUAUCAGUCCAAACUGCGUGAUGCAGUCCAAAGCAUGUUACAAUUGUGGAAGAGAAGGUCACCUAGGCUGAUUUUUUCGUGCACCAAAGUCAAGUCCAGCUGGGAUGGAGGCAUCAAAGGCCGUCCCAGACAAGACAAAACCGGUAGUUCAACGGAGAGCGUUUGUCGUAACCUCCCAAAAAGUGAGGAAUCCGAAUGAGGUGAUCACGGGUAAGCUAAUCAUAAACUCUAGCAAAGUCUAUACCUUAUUUGAUACCGGCUCUACCCAUUCUUUUAUUUCUCCUAUUUGCGCUCAACGUUUAAAUUUGACUCCGAAGAAGUUAGACUUUGACUUAUCGGUUAAAACUCCAUUGGGAGAAACCUUCAUUACAUCCACUAUUUAUAAGUCUUGUUUGAUUCAAAUCGGUAACCGUACAUUACCUGUCGAUCUUUUUUCUUUGAAAAUACUUGCAUUUGAUGUGAUUUUAGAGAUUAAUUGGUUAACUACUCAUCAUGCUAAAAUCGAUUGUUUUCGUAAGGUUGUUAGCUUUCAUAUUCCUAACCAACCUAUUAUGCGAAUUCAAGCAACCAAACAACUAAAAUCAAUCACUAUCAUAUCAAGCCAUAAAGCUAUUCAUUUAUUAAAAAAUGGAUGUCAAGCUUUCUUAGCCCAUGUCACGGAUUUAAAUAAAAAUACGUCAGAUUUGAAUGAUAUUUCUAUUGUUCAUAAAUUUCCUGACGUAUUCCUUGAAGAAAUUCCUGGCCUACCCCUAGAGUGUGAAAUUGAAUUUUGUAUCGACCUUGAAUGUGGUACAAAACCCAUUUCCAAAGCCCCAUAUCGAAUGGCUCCUAUUGAACUUCAGGAGUUAAAAACCUAACUACAGGAAUUAUUAGACAUCAGUUUCAUUCGUCCUAGUACAUCUCCUUGGGGUGCUCCUGUUCUAUUCGUGAAGAAGAAAGAUGGAAGUAUGCAACUUUGUAUUGAUUAUCGGGAGUUGAAUCAUGUCACCAUCAAAAAUAGGUACCCGUUGCCUCGCAUUAAUGACCUGUUUGACCAGUUGCAAGGAGCUAAAUUCUUUUCAAAGAUUGAUCUUCGUUCCGGAUAUCAUCAGUUGAAGAUUAAAACUGAUGACAUUCCAAAGACUGAUUUCAGAACUCGGUAAGGGCAUUAUGAAUUUCUAGUCAUGUCUUUUGGAUUGACUAAUGCUCCUGCUGCCUUCAUGGACAUGAUGAACCGAGUAUUCAAGGAAUAUUUGGAUCACUUUGUGGUCGUCUUUAUUGAUGACAUCCUCAUAUACUCCAAAAGCCGUGAAGACCAUGAUCAACACUUGAGGCUGAUACUUCAAAAACUUCGUGAGAACAAGCUUUAUGCCUAGUUAAAGAAAUGUGAGUUCUGGCUUGAGGAAGUUGCAUUCCUUGGGCACGUGAUAUCAAAUCAUGGAAUAUCUGUUGAACCAGCAAAGAUUGAAGGAAUCCAAAGCUAGGAGCAACCAAAGUCAGUGACUGAAAUACGUAGCUUUCUUGGCUUAGUUGGUUAUUAUCGGAGAUUCGUGGAAGGAUUUUCUCGAAUCGCUACUCCAUUAACUCAGCUGACUCGAAAAGAUACAAAGUUCAGUUGGAGCGAGAAAUGUGAGAAGAGUUUUCAAGAACUCAAGAGAAGACUCAUUUCAGCACAUGUUCUGACAAUACCAUCUGGCUCGGAGGGAUUUGUCAUCUACAGUGAUGCUUCAGGCAAAGGGGUUAGGAUGUGUUCUCAUGCAACAUGGAAAAGUCAUAGCCUAUGCCUCACGACAACUCAAAGAAUAUGAGAGGAAUUAUCCUACUCAUGAUCUAAAGUUGGCAGCAGUCGUUUUUGCGCUUAAGAUUUGGAGGCAUUACCUGUAUGGAGAGAAGGUGGAGAUCUAUACGGAUCAUAAAAGCCUCAAAUAUUUCUUCACUCAAAAGGAACUCAACAUGCGGCAAUGACGAUGGCUUGAGCUGUUAAAAGAUUAUGAUCAUACCAUCCAAUACCAUCCUGGAAAAGCGAACGUAGUAGCUGACGCAUUGAGUAGAAGAUCAUAUGCGGGUACGAGUGCAAUAUUGUCAACGCUAAGACCCAUUUUGUAUGACUAACGAAGGAUGGAGAUAGAGUUAAAAACUCCAGGGACCCAUGUGAUAAUGACGGAUAUACGAGUAGAACCGACUUUAAUCAAUAAAGUUAAAGCUGCUCAAGCUACAGACCUGGAGCUGAUGCAUAUGAGGAAGAAAGUGCAAGAAGGUGCUAUUCCAGAAGCAAGAAUCGAUGAAGAAAGAAUACUUCGAGUCAACUCCAGACUUUGUGUUCCUAACGAUUUUGACUUGAAGUAUAAAAUCAUGAUGGAGGCAAACAACACACCGUUUGCAAUCCAUCACGGGAGUACCAAAAUGUAUCGUGAUCUUCGACAUACAUUUUGGUGGAGCAAUAUGAAGAGAGAGAUAGCGGGGUUUAUCUCAAGGUGUCUAACUUUUCAACGAGUCAAGGCGGAGCAUCAAGUGCCAAAAGGUCCAUUGCAACCACUUGAAAUUCCAGAAUGGAAGUGGGAGCACAUUACCAUGGAUUUCGUUACUGGUCUUCCCAAGGUUUCCCAAGGCGUAGAUGCGAUUUCGGUCAUUGUUGAUAGAUUGACCAAGUCUACUCAUUUCUUACCGAUACGAGAAACUUAUACACUUGAACGUCUUGCUAGUAUGUACAUAAAUGAGAUUGUAAGAUUGCAUGGCAUGCCAGUAUCCAUAGUUUCUGAUCGAGACCCAAGAUUCACUUCAAGAUUUUGGGUUAGUGUGACGCCCCCAAAAUAGGUCCACACGAACCAUUCUGAGUCGCCAGAUAUCACACUAUAAAAAUCAAAUACAAACUUUAUUUAUACAACUGUUGAACUGUCGUGCAGAGUACGACAACAGUUAACUGUGAGUUUUAAUACAAAUAUUGUCAUCGUAGACAGUAUCCAAACUCAAAUUGUUACAAUGCCAUAUAAAAUACAGCAGCAAAUAUUUUAAGACCCCAAAGAAGAACGAGAAGAUUACUAUCAUAUUCAUUCUAAUGAGGUGCACUUUUGACGCUUUCAAAGUCGGGUUCUCAUCACCCUUAUUGUUGUUCACCAACAUCAAUUAUUAAGUGACGUAUAAAAUACAACACACACAUCUUAGGUCUUUAAUACAAUUAUCGGUUGCAUAUCAUGCCGUUUUAUAAUGUAUUGAGAAAUUUCGACAGUCUCGGACCAUCACACUAUUUUCCUGUUAUCCCCGCUCGACCCAGCUACACUCUUAUUACCUAAAAGGAAUUGUGAAGCAAAAGGGUGAGCACAAUUAGCCCAGUAAGGAAUAUCAUGGCUAAGAUAAUUAAUUUAUCAACAGCCUUUAUCAGAAUAAAUCAGAGAUUUAGAACAUAUGGUAGAUAAUAAAACGUUUCAACCAUAGUUGCAGCGGAACGAGUAAUCCAUUAGAUGAGUCAAGUAGAACAUAAUGUCUACUAUCUCCUCUAGAUUAAAAGUCCAUCGUUGAUAUUUUAUUCCUGUAAUACUCAUCAACAGUUCUUUGUUAUACUUAAGACAAAUAAAACUUUCAACACUUGUCUUCACCUGAACCACCAAAGAUGUUAGUUAAAUUCACAAUUCAUAUUUAUAAUAAUGUGAAUUAACAGUUCCUUCUUUCCACCAAGACUUAAUAGAAUGUUUACUCAAUAUCUUUACCCCAAAGGCUGAAGGUAUUCAAAUGUAAUAACAAUGAUCAUACCAAUCAGUUGUCUAUCUUUGCAUUACGGGCCAAAGAUAUUCAACUAUAGAACCAAUGGUCAUGAUCAUACCAAUCACAUCAUUGAAUUAUCCAUGCACUACGGCCAAGGAUAUUCGUUAGUAUCACUAGUGGUCAUGAUCAUGUCAUACACCUGUCCAUCUUCACACUACGGGUCAAAGCUAUCAAAUAACAGAUCAUCUUUGCACUACAGGCCAAAAAUAUUCAACAACAUAUCGUCUUUGCACUACAGGUCAAAGACAUACUACUGUAAAACCAAUAACCAACAAUAUAAUAAAGAAUGGAAUAAUAAAAGAAUUUCACCAUGCGUGCGUAAUCCGCACAGAAAGGUUAUUCCAACAUAAUAAUAAAGAAUGGAACCAGGUCAUGCGUAAAUGCACAGACAGGAUAUUCCAACAGAAUAAUAAAGAAUUGAAUAACAACAGACUUCACCAAGUAUACGGUAAUCCGCGUAUACAGGUUAUUCCAACAGAAUAAUAAAGAAUUGAAUAACAACAGACUUCACCAGGUAUACGGUAAUCCACGUAUACAGGUUAUUCCAACAGAAUAAUAAAGAAUUGAAUAACAACAGACUUCACCAGGUAUAUGGUAAUCCGCGUAUACAGGUUAUUCCAACAGAAUAAUCAAGAAUGGAAUAACAACAGACAUCACCAGGUAUACGGUAAUUCGCGUAUACAGGUUAUUCCAACAGAAUAAUAAAUGGAACCAGGUCAGGAGAAAUUCGCACCGACAGGAUAUUCCGACAGAAUAAUAAAGAAUAAAAUAAUAGAAGAAUUUCACCAUGUAUGCGGUACUUCGCAUAAACAGGUUAUUCCAACAUAAUAAUAAAUAAUGUAAUACAUAAGGAUUUCACCAAGUAAAGGGUAUGACGCUUAUACAGUUUAUGUAUAGGGUAUGCCUCAUAUACAGGUUAUUCCAACAGAAUAAUAAAGAAUGGAAUAACAGAAGUUCUCUUCAUGAAUAAGAAAGAAUAACACCCCUUACUAUAAUAAUAUUAUCCCUUACCGUAAAAAAACUGAAAAUAGAGGUAGUGAAGUAGCAGAAUAGUCUUCUUCUUUCUUUCUAUAAUUUCUCUCUCUAGAGUUUCAGUGAAUUCGUAAGAAAAUAAUGAAGGAAUGAGCUUCUAUUUAUAGAAGAAUGGAUUGCAUAGUAACUAACUCAUGAACGGUCCAAAUUGAUUUACUUUAAUCUGACGGUCCAUAUUUAAAGCAAAAUCUUUUAAAUAAAAUAUAAUAUAUUCUAUUUAUAAUCUAAUAAAAUAAAUAACUUUAUGUAAAUACUAUGCAGGCACUAUGCAAAUACUAUGCAUAAUAAAAUAUAAUAUAAUCUAAUUAUUGUCUAAUAAAACGAAUAACUUUAGAAAAGUAUUAUGUUUUAUAUAAAAAGAUUUUACUAUUAGUCUAAUAAAAUGAAUAACUUUAUAAAAGUAUUCUGUUUUAUAUAAAAAGUUUUUCUGUUUUAUUACGUUAAUAAUACGAAUAAAACAAAACUUCAUCAUCGCUUACUUUGAAAAUUUUUCAAAUGUCACCCUUAACUUUAAACUUUUAUCAAUUUAAUCAUUUACCAAAAUAGAAAAAUUGAAUACUUUUAUUUCAUAAAAUUCGGGGUCUCACAGUUAGUUUGCAAAAAGCUAUGGGCACGGAUUUACGAUUUAGUUCGGCAUAUCAUCCUCAAACGGAUGGGCAGUCGGAAAGGACUAUUCAAACUCUUGAGGAUUUAUUAAGAUUAUGUGUCCUUGACUUCAAGGGAAGUUGGGACAAGUUCUUACCAUUGGUGGAGUUUUCCUACAACAAUAGUUAUCAAGCAAGUAUUGGCAUGACUCCAUUUGAAGCGUUGUAUGGAAGAAAGUGUCGUUCUCCAGUAUGCUGGGAUGAGGUGGGUGAAGCAACGUUGUUGGGACUGGAGUUGGUACGUAUGACUACGAAAAAGAUUCAAACGAUCCGACAACGUAUAAAAACCUCACAAGAUNNNNNNNNNNNNNNNNNNNNNNNNNNNNNNNNNNNNNNNNNNNNNNNNNNNNNNNNNNNNNNNNNNNNNNNNNNNNNNNNNNNNNNNNNNNNNNNNNNNNUAUAUAUAUAUAUAUAUAUAUAUAUAUAUAUAUAUAUAUAUAUAUAUAUAUAUUGUCCAAAAUUAAUUUUUAGUUUUUGAGAUGGCAUGUAACCAUCACAUAUAUAUUUCUCCUUAAUGUGAUUGCAUUUAAGCCAUAACAAAGAAAAAAGUUUAAAAUAAUCUUUGGUGACAGCCAAGACCAUCACGAAAAGAAAACCACAUGUGAUGGACCUUUAUGAUUACAUUUAAAGUAAUCUCAACAAAUGGUAUUAUAUGAUGGACUUUUUCAACAAUCACAAAAUAAUAAUAUACAUGACGGCUCCUAGUAGUGGUUAUUUUUUCCAUCACCAUAAACUAUUUGUGACGGACAAGACAAUCACUAAAAAACAAGCAUAUAUGAACAACAAAUAUAUUAGGCGAGGAAUUUACUAGCAAUCACAAAAUAGUAGUAUAUAUGGUAGAUGUUACUCAAUGUCUAAUUGUGCCAUUAUUAUUAAAUAUUUAAGACAAUCAUUACAAUCACUAAAUUUUUCGCGUAAAUUGUACAUCUCUUUUUUAAGUCCCCAUUAAUCUUUAUUUUGCUUUGUUCUCUUUGUAAACUCAUUGUUUUUAUUGUGAAUUCAAAGGAUUUAGAGUUUAUCUCGUUUUUAUAUAACUAACUAUUUACGUUUGUUCUCUUUGUCUCGGUUGGUAUAUAUCUACUUCUUUCUAUGCAAGAAGUCUAGAGUCCAAAUCUCCACCCAAAAAAGAAACAGUGCAAAUGAUGGAGCAAAAUUCUUGCUGUUGGGGAAGAGCAGAUGGACUAAUUGAUGUAACCUUCAAAUUGGUGGGAAGAAAUCUGAAAUGGAAGGAGCAGUAAGCAGGAUUUUUUUUUUUACUAAAUUUAAAUUGUAUUAAAGGAGAAAGAAUGUACAAAAAUCAUGGGAAAACCCAAUCAGAAUAUAGUAUAUACAUCACCUCAAUCAGAAUAUAACAUAGACAUCAUAGGACAUGCCAUAUGAUGUCAUGACUAAAAAAGAAAAUAAGGCCAGAUGCCCAAACAAAAGAGAAACAAUCUCAACAUUCAUGAGAAUACAAUGCAUAGAAAUCAGACACAAAACCAAGAAAAACCUCAUCCAAAGUAGCAGCAGCCCACAAUAGCAGCAAAAGAAAAAUCAGUCCAAAGACCAAAAGGCAUCAUCCAUAACAGAACCGAAAGAGCCUACUGCAGACUAGCAGCACAAUAGAGCACAAGGCCCAACAAGAGAAGCCAACAACAGUUUAGCAAAGCAAAACAGCAGACAGGACAUGGAAAGCAAGAGCAACAAACCCCAAGAGCCCAAUGGCAGCCAUAGAAGUGCAGCAGCUGCAGCCGACAUCAAAUAAAACAGCAGUAAACGAUAGCAGCCAUAAGUACAGCACCACCCCCCAAAUCUGCAGCAUCAAGACAUAGAAAUAGUCACAAUACUGCAGACCAAAACACGCAAACAAUGCAGCAUAAGCAACAAACAGAGCAGCAAAUAGGUCUAUUUUCCUGCUUGUUUUCAAGGUUGUGUAGUAUUUAUUGUCAUUUUAGUAUUUUACAUAUAUGUCCAUUAUGGGUAAAAUAAGUUGUUUGGCAUGGGCAAUGAUGCCAGUGAAGGUUUUCUUUCUUCAGUGCUUGAUGGAAGCUCUCGAGCUGUAGUCACUACAAAGAUGAGGAGAUGCUGAAACCAUUUUCGAGCACAGUGAGAUAUAAUAGUUACAUAUAUGAAUAUGCCAUCUCAGAUGAUCAUGUUGGUGUAACACAGAAGCAUGUCUUCCAUGUGCUGGUACCAUUUCUCCUUCCUUUUCUGACAGUAGGCCUAUGAUUUCUUCUGGGAGUGCUGAGAAAGAGACUGCUAGACUAGAAUAUUGUAUACGGCACUAGAAAUAGGGCAGUCUUUCUGUAAACUGCAGAGCUAUGGUUCCUUGGAAUGAUCAUUGCUUUACAACGCAUUGAGUUUUUUUUUUCUACAUUUCUUUUUCCUGGAAAAGCCUAUUUGAGGGAGGAAAUAGGAGAAGUAGAAAUUUGUUGUGGGUAGAGAUGUUUUGGAUUUGUCCUUGGUUUCAGUAAUUAAACAUCUGCCAUUUUUAUUUGCGAUUAUAUCCGGAGGAAGCUUUUAUAUACUAGAUUCAUAAAUCAAGAAGUUCAAUAUAGGGAGCACCAGCUGCAACAGCAGCAGAGCAUGAGCAGCAACAUUAAUGUAGGUGGAAGCAUUGAAAGGACGUUCUAUUUGUUCAUGCCAUUUAAUCAUGGCAAUCAUUCUAUUUAUUCAUGGUAAUCAUUUUAUUUGUAUAUGCUUGUUCUUAUAUAGCUUAUAUUGACAGAAAAUUUAAAUGGAAGCUAUGAGAACCACAUUUUAUCAAGUCUUUCAGGUGGGUUAGCCUCUGCAUAGCUCUUACUAUUUCUUGCAGCUCGAGGAGCUAAAGCUUCCUAAAGUAUAGAAAUCACAAAACCAAGCAAAUAAGUUUAAAAAAAAAAAAGAACUAAAGAUAGAGUCGCAUGUCUUUCAAAUAUGUUUCAAAAAAAAAACACAUUCUCUAAAACACUGGUAACAGAGCUUCUCUAAAACUGAAUUUCAUGUCCAAGUUCAUGUUAUCAACUUAUAGUCUUAUAUGUAAUCAACAUAACUCAAACGACUUCCUCUUUUUCUAAUAAUUAAUAACAGGGAAAAAAUUUAAAAAUAUGGGUGAAUUGGAGAAAUAUAUCUUACAAUAACAAAGAAAAAGGGAAUCCUAGUCCAGAAACUUGUGCGCGCUCUCACGAAAGAUGUCUCAUGAGUAAGCCUGAAUCUUGACGGAUCUGCAUGUUCAUUGUAGGAGAAAUUUAACAUAAAGAGAUAGCCUCAUGUACACAAAUAUUAAAAUGAAUACUAAAUUCAAACUACAGAAUGAUAAAUAGUCAUUUCUUGAUCGUGCAGCGACAUAACAAUGGAAAACUCGGUCCUGAGAGGCAGUUUCCUGCUCCCAGACCUUCCAGCCACGAAUCUGUACAAGUUAAAAACUUAUUAGCAUUAUAUGUAGAAUCAAUCAGGUGAUAAUAUGAAGAGUGAUAGUGUUUUAUAGAAAAUGAAAAUAUUCGAAAAUUGUUUCGAACAUAUAUUAAAAUAAAUUAUUGUCCUUUUAUUUUAUUAAAUAAAAUAUUAAAAAAAUCAUUGUCUUCUUUAAUGCAGUUUAUAAAGAAACACGGGAAAAUGAAUAUAGGCCAAGUUAGUGAUAAAAGAAAGUGAAUGACAGACUUGGCAGGAACUCUAUUACUGUAGAAAAAUAAAGCAACAAUUGAAAGGAUUCUUAUUUCGAUAAUGAAAGGAAAUAAUAAUCGACUGAUAAUUAUCUGGAACAUGCCAACUACUAUAUAUAUAGGAAAACAUAACUAAAAAACUCAGCUACGUAGGCCUAAAUAUCAUCAUCUUCUUCUUCUUCUUCGAAAUAUUCAUCAUCAUUAAAAUAUUCAUUAUCAUCUUCAUCUUCAUCACUACAUUCUCUAUCUUCAUUUUCUGCUUCCGCUAAUGAUGGAUCCACUUCCGCCCACAUUAGGAUUACUCGUCAAUGGUUGAUCAAAUUUGAUAGAUUCGCCUUCUGAAACAAGAAGUUCUGGCCCUGGAGGGAUAAUAUCAACCACUUGACGUCCAUCCGAUGCAUCCGUUAUGGUUAUUUCGUAACCCCCCUUUUCUUUUCGUAUUAUUUUGCCUACUAUACCUGCUGCUGUAGCAUUAUAAACCGUAUUGUUACUCUUGCUCCCGUCGGGAUAAAUCUGACCCCUUCCCCUGUUUCCGCCUACGUAUAUAGGAUAUUUUAAGAAGUGAACAUCUUUCUUAGUAGCGGGGUCCGGGGAAAGAAUAGGAAAGGUGAUUUCACUAUAUUUUUGACCAGGAACAGGGCCUAUCACAAGAAUAUUUUUUUUAGUGGGGCGAUAGCUCUGAAAAGAAAGAUUGCCUAUCCUUUCUUUCAUCUCGGGAGAAAUCCGAUCAACAGGAGCUAAUUCAAAACCCUCCGGUAAAAUAAGAACAGCCCCUACAUUCAAAGCCCCCUUUUUACCAUUAGCAAGAACUUGUUUUAGUUGCAUAUCAUAAGGGAUUCGAACAACUGCUUCAAAUACAGUAUCAGGAAGUACGGCUUGUGGAACUUCAAUAUCCACGGGCUUAUUAGCUAAAUGGCAAUUGGCACAUACAAUACGCCCAGUCGCUUCUCGUGGAUUUUCAUAACCCUGCUGUGCAAAAAUGGGAUAUGCACUUGAAAUGGAUGUCCGAGUUAUGAUAUAUAUCAUGAGCGAUGCGGAAAUGGAUCGAGUAAUCUGUUCCUUUAUCCAAGAAAAAGUCUUUCUAGUUUGCAUGGUCCAACCAUUGAUCCCGAAAAUUUCUACAAUAAAUUGGGUAGGUCGCUAAUAUAGUUCCCUAUCCGCGAUUCUGCUAUUUACUGGAAUAAUAUAUNNNNNNNNNNNNNNNNNNNNNNNNNNNNNNNNNNNNNNNNNNNNNNNNNNNNNNNNNNNNNNNNNNNNNNNNNNNNNNNNNNNNNNNNNNNNNNNNNNNNGAGAAUCAUCAAGCAAUAUCAAAUUCUGAGUUUGCUCCUCAAUAUUAUAUAAGUCAAAAUCAUGAAACUCUUCCUCUUGAUAUGUCUCUUCAUUACUAUUUUCGGCAACAUCAUAUGUGUUUCUUGCUUUUGUUGUGAUUACAGUAGACCAACCUUUAGCUUUAGUCGACACUGGAUUAGCAUAGAACACUUGUACAACUUGUGAUGCAAUAACAAAUGGCUCAUACGGCUUGUGCCUUGAAUUUGUAUCAAUUGUAGUUAUCCCGUACUUGUUAAUAACUACCCUUUUUUCAGAAUCAUACCAUUCACAUUGGAACAAAAAUACUGAAUUCUCUUCUCCAUAGUAUUCUAGUUCAACUACUUUAAUUAAUUGUCCAUAAUAGUCUCGUUCUUGGCCUUCAAAAGUACAUCCCUAGACUAAAACACCACUAUUUUGAGUUACCUUUCUUGACUCCAAUUCUUUUGUAUGGAACCUAAAGCCAUUGACAAUGAAUCCAUCAUAACAUGUUACCUCUCUAGACGGACCCAUAGCGAGCGCUUUUAGACGCGUAUCAACGACAUCAUCAUUCUUGACUCUCUUUUCAAACCAUUUUAUAAAUGUCGAAUUAUGUUCCUUUUAUAGCACUUUAUCCGACAUGUUUGGACGUAAUUCUUUCAAUAAAUGCUUGUGCUCCCUAGAAGUAAUGAAAUAAAUUAGUAGAUAUAGAGUAAUGAUUUACAUAUCUAAAAGUAAUAAACUUUAUAAGAAUUAAAAUGUCAUACUCGAUGAAAUCAAAGACUUCCUCAUAAUUAGACAAGAUGUAUAAGGUUGCUGCCUCGAGUUCUUUAUCAGAUAGAUCUUCACGUUUUCGUUUUCCUCCAAUUGGACGACCAGGCCUAGGGUGGCUAAAUAUUGAUAACUUUCCAUUAGUUUCAGCUUGACCGCCAUCGUCAUUUCGAUCAGCUCGGUUGAACUUGGUUUGCACCCUAAGAUCAAAAUAUCGAGAAGAAAAGUAAACUAGUUCGUCUAUUAUGUAUGCCUCAGCUAUUGAACCCUCGGGGCAAGCCUUGUUACGCACCCUUUUCUUCAAAGAACACAUGCACCUAUAAUUAUAUUGAAGUUAGGUAAUCACUUUAACUAUAAAAAAGCCUUGGCAAGAAAAGAGAUAUAAUUUAUUAAAACAUCACCUCUCGAAAGGGUACAUCCAACGAUAUUGUACUGGCCCUCCGACCUUGGCUUUAUAUGCCAAAUGAACAAGUAGAUGCUCCAUUGAAUCAAAGAAAGAUGGUGGAAAAAUCAUCUCAAGAUUGCAUAAUAUUUCAGCAAUAAAUAGCUCAAGCUUCUCUAACUCAGCUAACUUAUACACCUUAGAGCAUAUGUCUCGAAAGAAUUUGCACAAAGCAUUUAUUGGUUCCCAUAUAGAGUUUGGUAAGAAAUCACGAAAGGCCAAUGGCAAGAAUCUCUGCAUGAGAACAUGGCAAUCAUGGCUCUUUAGCCCAAUUAUUUUGCAAUUGUCAAGGUUAAUACAAUGAGAGAUAUUUGAAGCAUAACCGUCUGGAACUUUCAACGAUUUAAGCCACUUGCAAACUUGCUUGACUUCUUCGCUUUUUAAAGAAUAUUUAGCUUUUGGCAAUUUAAAUUUCCCAUUACCACUCUCUUCAGGAUGUAAUUCAAAUCUUAUACCAAGCUCUUGCAAAUCUAAACGAGCUUUAAGGUGGUCUUUUGAUUUUCUAGUAAUGUUCAUCACAGUGUAAAAUAAAUUAUCAAAAAUAUUUUUCUCAAUAUGCAUCACGUCUAAGAAAUGUCUUAUUAGAAGCAAACUCCAAUAAGGCAAUUCAAAGAAGAUACUUUUCUUUGUCUAGUUAUGCUCGAUUCCAAACCCAGGAGUCUUAUCGGUACUAUUGUUUUUAUCCUUUCCAAAGAUGACCGAACUAAAUUGAGAUACAAAAUUUAACUCCUCAACACCUGUUAGUCGAGGCGGGGGAUUUCUCCGUUCGGUUUUAUUAUUGAACUUACUCUUCUCAGCUCGAUAUUUAUGAUUACGCUUCAACCAACGACGAUGGCAUCCAAAAUAACUCGGCUUCCUCCCAUGUUUAAGGUUAAAAGCUACACUUGGAUCCAUACAAGGACAUGACAAGGCCCCAUGUGUACUCCAACCCUUCAAUAUGCCUAGCGCAGGAAAGUCACUGAUUGUCCAUAUUACAGCUGCUUUCAUAUAAAAAUUUUGCUUUGAGAAAGCAUCAUAUGUAUCAACUCCAACAUCCCACAAAGUCUUUAGUUCUUCUAUAAGAGGUCGCAAAUACACAUCAAUCUCUCUUCCAGGUCCAUGUGGACCUGGAAUAAGCAGUGACAUAAACAUGUACUCCUCUUUCAUACACAUCCAAGGGGGGAGAUUGUAUGGAACAAGGAAAACUGGCCAUGUCGAAUGAGGUUUGCUAGAAUGCCCAAAAGGAUUAAAUCCAUCAGUAGCUAAGCCAAGUCUUAUACUACGAGCAUCUUCAGCAAAAGAUGGGUAAUUGAGGUCAAAAUAUUUCCAAGCCUCACUAUCAGCAGGGUGCCUUAGCUCACCUGGAAUAUCACAUCAUUUUUCUUUGUGCCACCUCAUAGGCUCGGCCGUUUUUGAUGACAAAUAAAGCCUUUGAAGCCUUGGUAUAAUUGGUAAAAAAACUUAAGACCUUCCUUGCUAUUGGUUUAUUCUUUUUCCCUUUAACACUGCCAUGGUUUUUAUACCUAGAUUCGUUACAAAUUGGGCAAGCAUCUAAAUCUGCAUAUUCUCCUCGAAACAAGAUACAAUCAUUAUUACAUGCAUGUAUUUUUUGUAGAGGUUGCCCAAGGUCCUUCAUUAAGGCCUUGCAGUGAUAAAAUGACUCGGGUAAUUUAUUCUUUUUAGGCAACAUUUCCUUGAAAGCUGAAAGAAAAGCAUCAAAUCCAGCAUUAGACAAACAAUACUUGGAUUUUAGGUGCAACAACAAAGUUACGGCUAAUAACUUGGUGUGAUUUUGACAACCAUCCCACAAGGGCUCGUCUGCAGCCUUUAGAAGGUCAUAGAACUUCUUUGAUUCGCUAUUAGGAUCCUCAUCAAAUUUAGGGCUAAUGCAGCUUGUAAUAUCCCUUAACAUGUCUUUAGGCCAAUUUGCAAUUCCCUCAUCAAUAUCGUCAUCUUAAUUCCCUACUUUCUUAAGUGACUCCCCAUGCUCCGUCCAUGUAGUGUAGUUUGGUACAAAUCCAUGCUUAUAAAGACACAUUUCUACAUCUUCACGUGAUUUAUAGUUUAUGAAAUCACACUUGGCACAAGGACACCGAAUCAUGCCAUCAUCUACGCACUCAGGAUUAGAAAAUGCAAAAUCAAGAAAUGUAUUGACCCCACUCAUAAAUUCAUGUAUAUGUUUAGACUUUUUCCCAACAUGCCUAUACAUCCAACUUCGAUCAUCCAUCUACCAUUUGUAAUUCAAAUAAUUGAAAAAUGUUCAUUUAUGGUGAUAAUUAACCCUUUUAUGAAAUAGAAAAGAAAAAAAAAACUGUACUGACUUUACAACUUAUUUUCUAGCACACUGUUCUUAACAUGGUCACAACUUAUAAUUAAAGAAAACAACAUAUACUACCUGAAUUCAAGAUAAUAUUGGUUAUGAGGUAGUAAAUCAAACAGAGAAAGCGUAAUCAGAGAAAGCAUAUUAGAUUUUCUAAUUAAUGUUCCUAAUUAGUUUUAUAUUAGAUUUUUUACAUGCUACACAGGAAUUGGGGCCAAAUUCGAACAGAGAAAGCAUAAUCAAAAUUCUAAAAUAAUUGGGGCCAAAUUGGAACAGAGAAAGUAAAGAGGGAGACAAUAAACACCCAAGGAAGAGAGGAUUUACCUUCAAAAUCACAAAGCUUAACUUGGAUCACAACUUUGGUACGUAGAAGAAAGGGAGAUGGUUUUAGUUACCGUCUAUGGAGAAGAUGGGAAGAGUUGUUUAGAGCCGCAGAGAGCACUGGGCAGAGGCCGUCGACUGAGAGGGAGUAGUCGACUGUCGACUUUGUCAAGAAAGAGGCAAGCAAGUAGCAACUGAAGCAAUCAAACAAAGAGUGAAGAAGGAGAACUGAAGAUAAGGGCUAGGGCAAAUGUCAAAUGUGAAAGUGAAAUCAGAAAUGGACCGCCGACUCGGUCACUUAGGAUUAUAGAUAGGAGUGAGAUAUAAUAAUAUUAUAAAAUUGUUUUUUUUAAGAAUUACGGUUCGGUUAUUCGGGUAUCCAAAUAACCAGUUUUUGAACACCGAAUCUGUAAUCGAAUACUAAAUAAUAAUUCGGAUAUAACUGAAAUUGUAAAAAAACCGAAAAACCGAAAUAAUUCGGUUAAAAAAUUUCGAUUCGGUUCGGUAAUUCGGUUUUAUUCGUUUUUUGCUCACUCCUAGUCACUGGACAUUUAAUUUUUGUUGGCUUGUUGUUGCUGACUUGCUGUAUUUUGGACAGUUAAUUAGGCUUGCAUUAUUAAGUCAUAAAUUUCAUGUUGGCUUGUUGUUGCUGCUGGACAAGUAAGUUAACAGUUGCUGCCUGCUGGGCAGUUAAUUUGCUAAAUAGUUAACAGGGAAUUUAUGUUGUAUGAUAUUUCGGUUAUUACCCGAAUAUCCGAAAUUACAAUUCGGUAUUCGGUAAUUCGGUUAUUUUCACAUUUCGAUUAGAAUUUUGGAUAGUGGAAUUGUCAUUAAUUCGGUUUUCGGUUAUAACCGAAUAGCUUAUUCGGUUCGGUUAUAACCGAAUGAUCACUCCUACUAAUAACUUGGUAUUUUGAAUCAAAUAUCGGCAUCGACACAUAAGGCUGUAAAAUGAGCAAACAGUUCGGGGUCGAUUCGUACUCGCUCGACUAAAAGUUCAAUUCGAGCUCGACUCUAAAUAUAAAUGAGUCAAAUAUGAGCAAAUUUUAAAGUUCUAUAAAUUACUCGAACCUCCUCAAAUUAUAAUUUUCUAUUGAUACUCGGAUCAUAUUCGUUCGAAAAGUUCAAACUGUUCAGGCUCGAUUCGGAAUCGUACUCGACUCGAUAGCUAAAUGAUCCUCAAUCAAACCUUAUAAUAUACUUGAUAAAAUUUGUGAACCAAAUCUGAUAGAAAUACAUUACGAAAAUUUAAAAAGAUUAUAAAAUGAGUUUUAGUUUUAGUUGGACCAGAUUAAGUAAUCUCAAGUACAUGAAAUUAAAAAUAAAAUAAAAUUAACAAAUUGAAAAAAACAACAACUAGUAGACUCGGGCGUAAAUUAACUUUUAAGGGUUUAAUACACUAUUUGUACGUUCCAAAUUUUAUAUUUGACUUUGUACCAUUGACAUUUAUUUUUUCGUGGGCAUAUAUUUUUAUUAUUAUUAGUUAUUGUCAAUUUUGGUGGAUAAAUUAUUUAAUGUUUGAAGACUAUUUGGGGGAUAUUAAAUAUAUCAUUACUCAUAAUGAUAUUAAAUAUAGUGGGUGCAGAUGAUAGUAAUGUUAUAAAAAAAUUUCAGGCUUCACAAAGAAGAAUAUAAGUUAUUGUAUUAAGCUUCAAUACUUUUUGUAAGAGUAAUAAUUGAUAUUAAAACAUCAUUUUUAUUAAUAAUAUUAUUUUAAAAUAAUAAAAGAGAGGAGACUUAAUUUGUAGCUUAAUCUAAAGAAAGUAUAUAAAUUUUUAAUAUUAUUUUAAUUUAUUUUACUUUUUUGAAUAACAAAUUUGUACUUAAUUACUAGUGGAUCAAUUAAUUCAUAUCUCACAAAUUUACUAAAAAUAAUAAUUAAAUGAUACUCUUUUUUUUGUAGAACAAAGGGUAUAUCAAAAGAUAAUUAAAUCAAAAGAAAUUUAAGCUAAUUAAAUUUAAUUAAAAGAUAAUUAAAAUUUAAACAAACAAAAAUAGACUAAUUUAGUGGCAUAUUCCACUCAUUUUGAAGAAAUGGCGGGAUCUCUGUUUCUAUCUUUAAUUUCAAGUACCAUUGUAUAAACUUCCCCAUCUUUUCCAUAGGCAGCAAACUGAAACCCUACAUCCAUCUUCUACCAAAAUUGUGAUCCCAGUUAAGGUUGUGAUUUCAAAGGUAAGUCCUCUCUUUGGGUGUUUAUUCUCUCCAUCUUUCCUUUCUCUGUUCUAAUUUGUCCCCAAUUCUUAUUUUAGAAUUGUGAUUAUGCUUUCUCUUUUCGAAUUUGGCCCCAAUUCCUGUUUUUAUAGAGAUGUUUUACGAACUGUUAUUGACAAUUUGAUUGUUCAUGUGUUUGUGGAGAUUUAAUAUAUAUAUAUAUAUAUAUAUAUAUAUAUAUGAUUUUGAUAGCGUAUUUACUAAUUUUAANNNNNNNNNNNNNNNNNNNNNNNNNNNNNNNNNNNNNNNNNNNNNNNNNNNNNNNNNNNNNNNNNNNNNNNNNNNNNNNNNNNNNNNNNNNNNNNNNNNNNNNNNNNNNNNNNNNNNNNNNNNNNNNNNNNNNNNNNNNNNNNNNNNNNNNNNNNNNNNNNNNNNNNNNNNNNNNNNNNNNNNNNNNNNNNNNNNNNNNNNNNNNNNNNNNNNNNNNNNNNNNNNNNNNNNNNNNNNNNNNNNNNNNNNNNNNNNNNNNNNNNNNNNNNNNNNNNNNNNNNNNNNNNNNNNNNNNNNNNNNNNNNNNNNNNNNNNNNNNNNNNNNNNNNNNNNNNNNNNNNNNNNNNNNNNNNNNNNNNNNNNNNNNNNNNNNNNNNNNNNNNNNNNNNNNNNNNNNNNNNNNNNNNNNNNNNNAUAUAUAUAUAUAUAUAUCCCUCGAUUUAUAUAUGUAUGUUAAUUAGGUACGUAUAUGUAUGCAUGAAUAUAUAUGAAACUUUGUUAGUUAAUUACUUUGGUUGAGAAUGGAUUGUAGUUUGUAAACAAAUCUAAUAUGAAACUGAUUAGGAAAAGACUUAAAUUGGAAUUCUUCUUUUGGUUGAAUGGAAGGGUUACUCAUUACUUCAUUAAUUUGACAUUAAUUUUGUAUUAUUUUGUUUAAUUAUGUUUUGGUUGGUUAUGUUUUUCAUUUAUUUUAUUCUAUUCCAAGUCAUUAAGAGCACAUGAUGUUUUAGGUAAAACACUGAUUCUACUGGACAGAUGAUUCAUGUACAAAACCAAAGUUAGUGCACACACCCUAUUAUUUAAUAUUCAAAACAUUGGGUUGCUGUUGGGGUGGGUCUGUAGGAGGGCAGGGGUGGAGUUGCAGGGGAGGCGAAUGGAAGAGGGCAAAAGUGCUGGAUGAAGGAGGGACGUUGGCAUGUUCUUGAAUGAUGGUAACCCAUUCUUUAUACAUUUUGAAUGAGAGUGGUUAAUUGCAAAAAAGCACUUGCAAUAGCUACAUUGAAAUUGGUUCCAUUUAUGAGGGACAAGAAAAGCAGCAGUGGGCAGUAAGGAACUGCUAUAACAGUUUUGGGUAUAUCAUUCUAGCUCUAGAAUCUAGUUUGAAGACUUAACCAUAGAGUUUUAGUUUUAGUUGGAGCUGUACAUUCUUUACCAUUAAUGAUUAGUGAUUCUAUUCAAAGUUACCAUGCUUUUUUAAGUUCUCACUUGGGUUUUUGUAAAUGGGUCAAGCUUUGCUUAUUGUGUGCAAGAAAAUCUGAUAUCGCUGUGAAAUCUAUAGUAAGAAAAUUAAAAAUGGUCACUUUGAUAUACUUGCACUUAAUUGAUGCCCACAAUUGUCGUCUUUAAUUGUACUAAUCCAUCAAAGGAGCAUGUCAAUAUUGUUCUAUUCAGCAGUACUAUGAUUUAAUUGAUGCCCUCAUAGUAUCCAUCAAAAGAACAUUUAAUCUUGAUGUAACCAGCAUGCCACGGAACCUGACAUGUGUAGCAAAAAAGCUUUUUACAGUUCAGACAUAUUAGAAAUGAUUGUUCCAUUGAAAUGAUUGUUUGGCAUAUUAGAGGAUCUAACAAGUGAUUACAGUCCAAAGUGGACGACAUUUAAUGCUGGCUACAUUGUCUUCAACUUUUACUUCGAUGUACUUGGUGAAGCAAUCCACACAAAAAGGAUGAAAACAUUCAUCAUUCUUCUUGAAAACAUUCAAUGCAUAUCUCACAAGUGAAAGUUGAACUCUCUUCUUCACCUGAUUUAUCCUCUUCUGUUUUCGCCAAACUCACCUCUUGUUUUUAGCUGUGUGUUCCCCAUUGUUUGUUCUGUUUCUGUUGCAAAAAAAUCAUCAGCUCAUGUGAGAAACAAUUAGAGAAAGUGGAAUUGUACAACAGAAACAUGCAUGAAGUUGUAUAUUAUUGCAAAAUAAAUGGCAACUCUUUCUACAAUUACAAAGAAAAUGCCAAACACAUUUUGAAUUUGCAGCUACAACUAUUACAUGUGUUAUACAAGAGAUGAGAAUACAUUUUGAACAUGCAUGUGUCAAUUUGUGAUCUACAACACAUUUUGAAAAUGCCUAACACAUUUUGAACAUGCAUGUGUUCUACAAUUACAUGAAUUAAUUUGCAUGUGUUGUACUUUGUGUUGUGCAUAUAGUAAUAGGUUCAAUUAAAUGUUGUGUCAAGUGAUAGUGCUAAUUUAUUUAUUUUUUGAUAAAAAAAUGUACAUGCUUGUGGUAUAAUUUCAAACUAGUUUUCCAAUGAGUCAUGAUUAAUUAUUGCUGAUUAAUAUGUUGGGUAUAUAAAUUGUUCUUUGUACGGUUGAAUGUUAUUGUCUUGACAGGUAAGAUGCUAAUUGAUUUUGGAGCUAGUAGAGUAGUGAAUAAUUUUGAAAUUGUAUUACAACAUCAUCUUGAAUAAUUUCUUUUAUUUAUCCUAUAUUUAAUUAUAAGUUUUUUUUCUUCUCCAGCUAUGGUGAGAACUAGAGGUGGGAGUAGUCUUUCCGGUAGGAGAUCAACUCUUCCUCAUAAUAGUGGCGAGACUGUUAACAUGAACAGAAUGAGAGAUGAGCCUAUUGUAUCUCAUGAUAGUGGUGAGAGUAUUGAUAGGGCUACACCGAAUACUACACAAGCCGAAAGGUUAUCUCGUAAGAAAAGGGGGCCAACUCUAGGGAUAAUAAAGCCUAAAACAGGCCAAACAAAGAUGCUUGUUAAUAUCAUUGGACAAAAGUAAGUUUUUACUAAUCUACUCGUGCUUGUCAAUAUGCAAGUUACAUACAAUCAAUUCUGGAUACGUUAAAGAUUCAUUUUCUGACACAUAAUAUAACGUCCGUUUUAACUAUAACAGGGUAAUCUAUGUAGCACAAUGUAAUCCAAAGAACAUAAAAGCAACUAAUCAUAUCAUGUUACUAUAAAAAGCAAUUAAUAGGGGUUCCAUUUAACAAGAUUUGAUUAAUCCUAUUGUGACAACUUUGUUUCUACUUUUCAUUAUUGUUGUACUAAUCAUAUCAUGCUAUGUUACCAUAUCUUGUAAUUAGCUUCCUUGAACCUGAAGCUCGAAGCAAGACUCACAUAUUAUUUCAAAAACGUUUUAAAGAAGCUCGAACCAAAUUCGAGCAAUGGCCAAAACAUGAAAUUGAACUUCUUUGGGGAGAAUAUUUGGUAUGUUUUAAUGAACACACAUUUUAAUUGUAGAAAAAAGUUUAUCAAAAAGUGUAUUAUUCAUUAUAUAUUAAUUAUUAUUUUUACUUGUGGAUGGUGUUAUAGAAAUAUUUUCGUUUCUCUUCAUCGAAGGAGGAGGGAAGGGGUCGAAUCAUAUGGGAGGAAAAUGCACGAAAAAGCUACCCAAACUAUUUAUGGAGAUGGAAAGAUGAUGCCAUUAAGAAGUUUGGCUCCAUUGAGGAAGCAAGGGAUAAAAAGCCUAAUUGGACAACUCUUGAUGUGUGGCAGGAGAUGUGUGAUUAUUGACUGAGUAAAGACUUUUUAGACUCUAGUGAGCUACAAAAAAAGAACAGAAACAUAACUACGUAUGUUCCUCACACAUCAGGCUCCAUAUCGUACGCCGUUAGGAGGGAACAAGAGGUAAAUUAUAAGUUGAUAAAAUCAAAUUAAUAAUAUGCGUAGUCGAUAAAUGCACAUGAUAAUGGUAAAAGAUUCAUAUCAUGAUGCUCUGUUUGGAGUUUUUAAGUGUUCAUGUGGUAUGUAUUGCUUAUUUUUAAUAUUAAUGUUUAUAAUUAAAAUAAUUAUUAUUUUGCUUGUUUUGUCUUAGAAACAAAGACUGCAUCGUCCGCCAACGCAAUAUGAGUUAUAUAAACAAACUCAUAUGAGGAAGGAGAAGGGUAGCGAGGAAAAAACGUGGGUUUGUGAUGAAGCAAAGAGGAAUUUGGUAUGAUUUUCUCUUGUAAAAUUAUAAACUUUGUUUACUCAUGCGAAAGUGAAGAUUGUUGUUCGUUCUUUUCAUAAUUAGUUAUGAGUAUUGUUAAUUAUAUAUACAUAUUUUAUGCAUUGUAUAGGAUGAUUAUGAGAGAAGACUCUUAGCCAAACAUGGUGAUACAGAUAAGCCCGUGAAUGAGUUAGAUGAUCCAAAUUUGGAGACAUGGCAGAAAACUGUUGGAGGCGUCAAAAAGGGUAGACUUGUUGGUCGACCAGGGGAAAAAUGGAGUUCUCGUCGUGGUUCGUAUUGUCCAUCUUUGGUUGCAGAUGAGAACUAUAUUAAAUUAAAGAAAAUGGAAAGCUACAUGACUUAUAUUCAUCAAUACACAAAAAAUAUGGCCGAAACACUUGCACUUGAUCCUCCUAUAGACUUUUGUGAUUUGUUUGCUUCAUCAAAUGCAUCAGCUGAUAUUCCAACGAAUAACUCAACCACGCAUGCUGAGAAUGACAACGGAGAUGAUGACGACUCUCAAGAAAACUUCAUGGAGAAUUCAGGAUGAUUUAGCUCUGCUUUACUUAUCAAUUUUAUUAGUUUAGGGUUCUUUGAUAGAUGUUGGGUUUGUUAAUUGUUUGAUGAACCUAUGACAUGUAGUUACCUAUUUAAGUAGUUGGUAAUGAAUUUAUUUUUAAUUAAAUGGAUCAGAUUUCUUCAUUUUAAUAAAUUUGUAUGAUUUUACGUUUCAAAUUUAUUGUAAUUUAUGUCAUUUAUAAAUUUGAAAUAUAAAAUUGGCAAUUAAAUAUAUUUUAAUAUAGGAAUUUGGUGAUGGCUUUACUAUCACCAAAACGUAUAAAAAGGUUACAAAAAUAGGAAUAAUUGUGAUUGCUUUAGCCAUCACAAGAGACUUAUGCCAUCACAAAAGAAUGUGAUUGUUUUGGCCAUCACAAAUAAUUGGUGAUUGUUUUGGCCAUCACAAAAAGAUGUGAUUGCUUUGGCCAUCACAAAUAAUUGGUGAUUGUUUUGACCAUCACACAAAGAUGUGAUUGCUUUAGCCAUCACAAAUAAUUGGUGAUUGUUUUUACCAUCACAAAAAGAUGUGAUUGCUUCGGCCAUCACAAAUAAUUGGUGAUUGUUUUGACCAUCACAAAAGAUGUGAUUGCUUUGACCAUCACAAAUAACUACUAUGCUAUCGAGAUUACUUUCGCCAUCACAAAUAACUUGUGUGAUUUCGUGAUGGUCAAACUAAUCACAAAAUACAUGUGCGCUAAUGUGACUGAUUUAGUCAUCACAAAAGGAUCGAAUGUUUUGGUGAUUGCCAAAACCAUCACGUAAAACCUUUCAUGAUGGACGUAUACAAAACGGCCAUCGUGAUGCUUAAAAUCAUCACGUAAACCUUUCGUGAUGGUUUUUUUAGUUUUUGUGAUGGAUUUUUGCCAUCACAAAUGACCAUUUUUUUAGUAGUGAUCGAAAGGACGUGGAAUUUAAUAUUGGAGAUCACGUGUUGUUACGUGUUGCUCCAUGGAAAGGAGUUACGAGAUUUGGAAAGAGAGAAGCUCAAUCCUCGAUUCAUUGACCCAUUUUUAAUCCUCGAGCGAGUAGGAACUAUGGCCUAUAGACUCGCCUUACCGCAAAGUAUGUCUCGUGUUCAUAACGUUUUUCACAUAUCUAUGUUACAUAAAUAUGUGAAAGACCCGAACCACAUUAUUGAAUUAGAACCAGACAAGAUAGAGGAAGAUUUAACAUAUGAAGAGUUACCUAUUAAAAUCUUGGAUAAGAAGGAUCAUAUUCUACGCUCCAAGGUUAUACCUCAAGUCAAAGUUUUAUAAGAGAAACCACGAUGUGGAGGAAAUGACCUGGGAGUUAGAAUCUGAGAUGAAGUCAAGAUAUCCUCGUCUCUUCGAUAUACCAGGUACGUACCCUAGUUUCGAGGAUGAAAUUUCAUAAGAAGGGGAGGUAGUAAGACCCCAACUUUUAUGAAUAAAGAAUAAUUUUCUCAAAAUAUAUUUUUGAAUAUUAUGGUGUGGAUUUGAUAUAAUGUUAUAGUUGUGGGUAUUAUUUACAAAUUUUGCAAAGUAAGCAAGUGGUUAUAUAAUAUUCGAUUGGUCGGGGAAUAUUCGUUUUAACAGGGAAUAUUCGUACGACGGUACAAUCAUUGGUGGACCCCACAAAGAAAGUAUUGUUGUAGUUAAAAAACGACAGAAUUAUCUUUUUAUAAAAAUAAUGGCGAAAGUGUUGCCGUUAAAACUGUUGAACUAACCGGUAAUAAAAGUACAGUAAUACGCGUGGUUGCAUAGUAGUACACAGUAUUGAUUAUUGAUGUUUACGUGAGAAGUCACUCAGUUAUACUCAAUUAUUACUAUAGUAAUUGUUGCAUCAUAUCUCUCAUAUUAUUGAUUCAAUUAUUGUCACAGUAUCAUCUGCAUAAUAUGUUAUAUUAUCAAAUCAAUAAUUGAGACGACAAAGUUAUUAAUAUUAUUAAAUUACAAUAUUGACAAUGUCUUGAAGUUCUGUCAAGGAGAGGUUAGAUAAUCUAAUUGCGCGCCAAUAGGGAGAAAUCCUCAUCGGAAAGCCCCCUCUUUCCUGGAAACUACCUGGUUGUUAAAUAUUAUGAGUUAUAAUAUUAAUGAUGAAUAAGUUUGUGUUGAUCAAAGAUGAAAUUAAUAGUUCCAUUGUAUGGAAAUUAUUAGUGUUAGUUGAAAAUCGACAUUUAUUUCGAUAAUAAUUGAUGUCUGGAGGUUUUAUUGACCAAUCGGGUAAUUAACCGGAUAAAUGAGCAAUUAAUUGCUAUUUAUUCACAUGCUUAUAACUAUGUGUUCACAUGUGUGUACUAUUGAUUCACAUGCAUGUACUGUUAGGGGAGUUGGUGCAAGAUUGAUAAUACUUGCAUGACUAAAUUAAAAAUUGAGGUAUAGAUGAAGGUACUAUACUAUACUUAAUUUUUUCACAUGUUUAGAACUAUUGAGUCACAAGAUUUACUAUUGAUUCACAUGAAUUACUAUUAGGGGAGGUGGUGCAAGUUUGAUAAUACUUGCAGGACUAAAUUAAAAAUAAAAAAAAAGAGGAAGGUAUUAUACUGUAAUAUUUUGAGCCCCAAAAUGUGCAAUUAUUGAAACUAUAUUUUCCUAUAAAUAGAAGCUCAUUCUUCCUUCAUUUCUUACCAAUUCACUAAAGCUAUAGAACAAUUAUUAUAGAGAGAAAUUAUAGAGAGAAAGAAGAAGAGAAGUAUGCUACCUCACUACUCCAGUAUCCAGUUUUCUUCUAAGGUAAGGGGUAUUAUUUCUUUCGUAUUCAUGAAGAGAGUUAUUUCUUUCAAUACUCGUAAGGGUUGUUAUUCCAUUCUUUAUUAUUCUGUUGGAAUAACCUGUAUAGGUGGAUUACCGAAUGCGGUGUGAAAUUCUUCUGUUAUUCCAUUCUUUAUUAUUAUGUUAGAAUAACCUGUCUGUGCAGAUUAUGCACGCCUGGUGAAUUCUUUUGUUAUUCCAUUCUUUAUUAUUUUGUCGGAAUAACCUGUCUGUGCGGACUACGCACGCCUGGUGAAUUCUUCUGUUAUUCCAUUUUUUAUUAUUCUGUUGGAAUAACCUGUCUGUGCGGUCUAUCGCAUGCCUAGUGAAUUCUUUUGUUAUUCCAUUCUUUAUUAUUUUGUUGGAAUAACCUGUCUGUGCGGUCUAUCGCAUGCAUGGUGAAUUCUUCUGUUAUUCCAUUCUUUAUUAUUCUGUUGGAAUAACCUGUCUAUGUGGAUUACCGCAUGCAUGGUGAAUGAUCCUUUGUAUUCAUUCCUUAUUAAAUUGUGGAAAUGAUAUGUCUACGUGGAUUACCGCAUGGCGGGCAAAAAUCCAUUUGCAAUUUUAUAUAUUCUAUUAUACUCAGUUGCUUAAAGUUUUGGCUUCUAUACUCCAUGAAAUUAGUAGAAUAUCCUGGAUAUUUGCGCUUCAUCCAAUAUCUUUUCAUGGACAUAUUCUUCUGAGCAUUCUUGAAUUUUACUCCACAAAGCAGUAUUAUGUUGACAAAUUGGAUGUUAUUAAUUUCUGGAUAAAUUAAAUUAUAAAUCUUUAAUAUUUAUCCUUGAACUUGUUUUAUUGAAUUAUUAUGUCAUUGUCAUCAUCCUCAUGCUUAUAUUGUGAUGAAAGUCAUCUUUGGCUUACGUGCAUAGAUGGAUUUGGUAUAAUUAUGACCAGGAAUUAUUCGGUAUAAUCAUGACUGUAAUGUGACGAAUGAUGUGGUGAAAGUCCUCAUUGGCCUGUAGUUCAUUGAUGGACAGUUGUUGGUAUGAUUAUGACCAGGGAUUAUUCGGUAUAAUUAUGACCAUUGAUGAUUACACGAGUAUCCUUGGCCAUAAUGCAUGGAUGAUUCGAUUUUAUUUAUUAAGCUGAGUCUCAGCGAUAAAGUUGAUGAAAAACUUUUUAAGUCAUAGAAGAUAGUAGAUUUUAUACUCUAUAAUUGACUCUUCUAAUGGAUUGCUUAUUCCGCUGUAGUUUUUUAUCUAAAACUUAUUGUCUAUUAUAUUCUUUCAGUUGUUAUACUGUUGAAGGCUAAGGAUAAUUUAUUUUGCAUUAUCUUAGUAAUAAUAUUUCUUACUGGGCUUGUUGAGCUCACCCUUUUCUUUCAUGGUUCUCUUCAAGAAAUGAGAACGUAGCUGGGACUAGUCGGGGAACAGAGUGACGGUCCAGAUGUUUGGAUUAGUAGUCCUCACUAUUCUGUGAAAUAGUGUGAUAAUAAAUGUAAUGAGGACUCCAUUGAGUGUGGAUAUUGUCUAGAUGACAAUAUUCUUAUUAAAACUCUUAGAUUAUGUUUUGUCGUAUUUUACACGACUGUUGUACAAUUAAGUUGUAUUUGAAUUUUGUACCAUGUAUCUGGCGACUCAAGAUGGCUGAUGUAUACCUAUUUUGGUGGCGUCACAUUAACCCUAUUGUUAUAUAUAUUAUAUCCGAUUAUUGUUUAUCAACAUAAUAUUAUACUAUAUAAUUCAGAUAUAUAUUCUGUUCAUUAAUUUCUAAAAAUGAUUAUACAAGUGUCUCCACCUGGAUAAUCAUUGUAUUUAAUCACAUGUUGAUAUAUAUAUAUAUAUAUAUAUAUAUAUAUAUAUAUAUAUAUAUAUACCUAUUGAACCCCAGUAUGUAUACAUUAAGUAAAAGUCGUCUAAGCUAUUCGACCAGCUAGACACAAAUUUAGUUAUAUCGUUUAAUAUGACAAAACUUUUUUGUAUCCAAUCAAAUUAUUUUGGUUCGGAUUCCAGACUAAGUAUGAACAUCCCGAACAUGAGAAAACUUUUAUGCGCCCAAGGCGGACAGAGUAAACGAUAAUAUCUUUCUUUCAUGCAGUAUUGAUCAAUACAGGGUCCAUGGGAUGUAUACCCUCGUGCCCGUAAGUUAUGACGGUUUGCAGAUGAAGUUCUGUUUAACCUUUUUGAAAAUAGAAAACAAUGUGUAUGUCACCCUAACCCUAUAUAUAGUCAAUACAUAGUUUCAAAAAUGUGAGAUAGAGUUGAUAUGUUAUUAUUAUCAGUUUAGUUUACUUCACAACUAUUGAAUCGUUGUAGAAGUAAUGUACAAAGAAAACAUUUAAUUCUUUCAGAUAAUUAUAUUUAUAAUUGUUAUUACUUGCUGGGCACUCAAAUGCUCAUCCUUGCUUAAUUUAAAUGUUUUCAGCUAAGCGUGAUCAACCUGAAGGUUUAGACAAUAAUAAGUGAAAAGGAAAGCAAACAGAAUAUGUUUAACGGUAUCUUUUGUAAUAGUUAAACUGUAUUAAGAUAAUGAUAUGUAUUAUCUAUCAUGUAAAGAAUUAUAGUAAAUGUUGCGUACUUGGGAUUAGACUAUGAUAUUUGUAAAUUAAGUUUGAUUUUUAUAUUAUUGUUAUUAUUAUUAUUAUUAUUAUUCUGCUCAUAAAAAUGGUAUCGUGAAGCACCGAGUUCGGGUUUCAAGUACCUAAAUUUGGGGGCGUCACAGUAUGGUAUUAGAGCUAUAGGUUAGAAACCUUAGGUGGGUUAAACCUUAGGCUAUAACCUUAGAACAGAGGGGAACGUUGAAAAUACAAAUAACUCAUAUAGAGUUUAUAAGGAGAUGAAUUUAAUAAAUUCAUCGUGAAACAAAAUAAAAGAUAACUAAUAAAACUAUUAUUUGCUAUGUGUUUAUACUUAGUGUUAAUCCGGAUAAUUUAUUUGUAUAGAUGUCAGAUAGAAAAAGAAUUAGAAUACCCUCAGAUCAUAAAGAAAGAGCAAAUCUCCAUGACCGAGCCAAUAUUAAAGCUAAUAGCUGAAAUAGAGGCACACAUUGAAAACUACCUCAAAGAGGAGGUUAUUUUGGAAAGUAUAAUACCAGAUCCAGAGACGAUAGUAUAACAGAUAGGUUGAGUGUAGUUAAAGAAUAUAUGGUGAAGCUUGAGUUCUUAAACUCAUUUAUUUGUGGUAAGUUCUUAAACUCAUAAUGUGUAGUAAGAAAAAGGGAAGUAUUUUAGAAUACCUCAUAUCAUUCUCGAAUUACUACUUCAUCUCCUCACCAGCUCUUGAACCCUUGACCUCUAGAAACUCAAUAAUCAAACGAGUACCAAAUGUCUACAAGGAGGACUAGUAUAGUUAUGUGUUAAUGGAUUAUUGAGGAUAAUAGAAUAUAUAGAAUGCUAAGCAAUUGAUCAUUAGUAAAGACGUAAGAAAUAGAUAGUGUUAGUAUUACUUGAAUAGGUAUGAUUCUAUGUGGUGUAAAUGAUAAGUAUGUCUGUGUAAGGAAAUAUUCUCAACUUUUGUAUAAGUUAUGGCUGCGAUUCCUGACUUGUGUGUUAUAAAGGAAUAGCGGAUGUUUAAAGCAGUAUGUGCUAUGGUAUGUCAAGUGAUAUGAAUAUGAGUCUAUGUUGGAUUAACGAAAUAAGUUGAUAUAAAGAUAGUAAUUAUUUAUCUGAACACUGGUUAAUACAGUAAACCGAAUUUUCAAAAUCUAAAAUUUUGAGUACAUGAUUAUUUGAAUAGAAAGUUUUGCGUUAUUUGAGAUGCAUGUACGAUAAGGCUUAGAAUGUAAGUUAAUAAGAAUAAUUUAUGAUAAUGCCAUCGAGAAGAAGAACCUGUCAAUAAAGCUAGAAGAUAACCAGACCCGCCAUAUAAUUUUGCGAAUGUGGACGCUCAAGCUAUGCAGAACGGAAUCCCAGCCGCGGGAAAUCGGCCAGAUAAUCGAUCGACAAACUUUAGAGACUUCAAGGCAAUCGUACUGCCAAGAUUUAGAAGAUCAACUGAUCCUGUUGACGCGUUUGUGAUAGUUAGGGUAACAUAGGGGCAAAAAGACAGCUUUUGCCACCUAUACGAUGAAAGGAGAUAGUUUUGAUAAUACCUGAAAUAAGCCAAGAGUGUGAUGGAAAGGAAAGUUUGUGUGUUGCAAAUGUGGACAGGAGGGAUAUAUCUCUCCUAACUCUCCCAAUCCAAAAGUGUAUAGUGGGUGUUUUAUUUGUGAGUUAAGGGAGCAUAAGGUGAAAGACUGUUUAAGAAAGAGAAGGGAGGCAAGGAAUGCGAAUACGAGGAGAGGCAGCAGGACAUUGACGACAACGAGACCAACUUCAACAAACAAACUGACGGAAUCAACCGCAAGAGUCAUCAACAUGACUGUUUAGGAUUCGGUAGCAGCCGGGGAUGCAACUCCAAGUAUUACUCGAACCAAUUUUAUUUUCUUAUAUAUGAUUUUCUUAUAUAUAUAGUAAAUUAUUUUAUAAAUUAUUUUGAAGGAGGAAUUUGAGUUCUUUUAGAAAUCAAAUUUCUGUUUAUGAAGAUAGAUAAGCUUUUUGCUGAAUAGUUAAAGAUCAGUUAGAUCAAUUAUGAUCGAGAUCUACUUGCAAUGAUUGUAUAGGUUAUGUACCCUUAUAUGUAUAGGUUUUAAAACGGUGAUUCCGGGGACGAAAUCUUUAUAAGGGAGGGUGAAUGUAAUAACCCGAUAUUUUCUAUAUAAUUAAAUCAGAAAUUUUGUGUAUGAAUUUAUUUAUUUAUUUAUUUAUUAAAGUUGGAAAUAUGUGCCAGGUAAUGUGUAUAUGUAUAUAUGUGAUAAAUAAAAUAUAUUUAUUGCAUGAAUAAUUACCAAUAGUUUUAUUUUAGAAUUAUUGCUCAUUAUAAAUUAUAUUAUAAUAAUAAUUAGUUUUAUAGUAGAAAUGUUUUUAUUAAUUCUAUUCUAUGAAAAUGUGUUUAUAUAUUAUUUAAAAAUUAUAUGAAAUGAUUAAAGACUUAUUAUAAUGAUUAUUCUGUUUUAUUAUAUGAAUUUUAGUUCAGAUUAUUUAAGUUAAUUAUUUUAACUUAAUUAUUAUUGUUAUGUAUGCAAGAUAAAUCAGAUAUGGAAUCCAAAUCCUAAUUUUGGAUUUUGAACAACGAAUGAGAAUAAUAAUAUAAUAUUAAUUAUAUUUUUAUUCUUCAGUGCUAUAAAUAUGUAUGUUAUGUUUGUAAGGUUAAUCUGGGGAGCAAUUUCCUUAUGACCUGAUAAAACCCUAAUUUGAAAGUCAAUUACGACUGUAAAAUCUGUUAAGUCAUUGUGAUAUGUGGUAUAUGAUUUGUAUUAUAAGUAUUAAUGUUAAUUAUAUAAAACCCUAAUUAGUAAUUUAAAACUCUAUUUUUCUUAUAUUAGAAACCCUAAACAGUAAUUAGCUAUCCGCUAAGUGGAAACCCUAAUUUAAAACUCAACUAUGAGUUUGAGACUAUUAUGUAACUGUGUUAUUAUGUUUAAGGUUAAGUAUUAUAGAAUUUUAUAUUAAUUAGAGAAACCCGAAUUAACAUUUAGAAAUCCUAAUUUCCAGAAACCCUAAUUUCUAAAUUAGUAAACCUAAUUUCUAAAUUAGUAACCCUAAUUUACUAAAAUAAAAUCCUAAUUGUUAAUUUAGCACGCUUAAUGAUAAUUAGUAAAAUCUAAACCUAAUUUUCAAGUCUAUGUAAUGAGGAAACCAAAUUAAUUACGAAACCUUAAUUUGUAUUUUUAGAAACUAAAAAUUUCAAUUUUUGUUUAAAUUAGAAAUCCUACAACACUUUGUGCUAAACCUUAUGGUCAAACCCUAAGGGUCAAACCCUAAGUGUUUGAUAAGUUACUAGUUUGCCCUUAAAUUGGUUAGCCAAAUGACAAAAAUACCCCUCUUGCAUUAUUGGACAUAACUUGUAAGACUAACCAAUUUUGAGUUGCUCAACAACUCUUACCAGCCCCAUUUGACUAAAAUGCCAGCAAUUAGCCAACUUGAUUUCAUGUUAUAUAUAGAGAGAUCAGGAAAGAGAAAUUUCAUUUAUUAGCCACAUUUGUACAAAAAACUCCUUACCAACUCUCUCUCUCCCAAAACCCACGAAAUGUUGUAGUAGAUCAGUCCCAUAUUAAAGCCCCACUAACACACUUAACCAAAUCAGCAGCCAGAAUCAAGAAUUGAUGUUUAAAGGUAUAAAAUCCUAAGUUAAAGUUUUGAUCUUGUAUGCUAUAUUGGAUUUAUGGUUUUUAUGUUUAAUCAUGUAGAAUAAGGUGUUAAUAGGUGAUCUGGGUUGGCACAUGUUAGAUCCAUAACAUCAAAGUGCUCGAAAUCUAAGUUUUUCAAAAUCUGGAAUUUUUUGUUUUUGUUGUCUGACAGCGAAUGUCAGGCCUUGUAGAUCUGUGCUUGUUUAUUGUUUUGAUGAUUUAAAGGUUUGAAGUGGUAGUUUGGUAUGAGGUCUUUCAUAUGAAAGUGGAAUCACUGUUAUUGGAUGUCUAGAUCGAAAGUUAUUGAUGGUCAAAAGUCGUUGACCAACCAUGACCGAGUGUAAAUCUGGGCAACCCAGAAAGCUUUUUCAGCGUCUGACAAUGUUUUGGAAGGCUUAGAUCUGUCAGUGUGUAAAUGAUUUGAUGAUGUUAUAAUAUACAGUUUAUAGCCUGUCAUAUGUACUUUAUAUUUGUGGCUUUAGAUCCUUUAAACAAACAAUUGAUCAAACUUAGUGGAUGGUCAAACUUGGCCCCUCGGUCACGAUUUCAUUUCUGGGAAUUUCCAGAAAAUCGGAAGAACAGCCCUCUGACAGGGUUUGACCAAGUUAUAUCUUGUAGAUCUGUUGAUGUUAAACUGAUUUGUUGUUAUAUUAUUGUUCCUGGACAUAAGGACUACAUCUUUGAGGCAUUAGAUCACUUGAAUCAUGAACGGAACCUAGAUUAAAUCGAGGAUGAAAGUGACUGGUCGACCACCUGGGUUUCUGGAAAACCCAGGAAUGCUCUGACAACAUAUUUGCAAGCCUAGAUCUCCUUGUGUGUUUGUUGUAUGACCUAGAUAUUGAUUGCUAGUUAUAGUGUUGUAUAAUGACUUCAAUAUUGAUGCUUAAGUUUGCCCAGAAACGAAUUAGACAGAGAAUUAUUAGUGGUCAAAGUUGACCCCUCAAACACAAAGCUAUAAGUGUUCUUGAGCUCAAGAACACCAACAGCGACGCUUACUGUCGCUAAAAGCCAAUAACGACGGUUUCUAAUACUUUUAAUUUCUGAUUUUUCGAAAAAUACUUAAAAAUAGAAAAUAAAUUAUAAAAAUUACAAAAAUGGUUUUAAAAAUUAUUUUCAAUUAUGAAAAAUAACUUUUAAUUAUUUGGGAUAUUUUUCAUUAAUAUUUAUAUAUUUUUUAAUAUUAAUAAUAUUUAAUUUAUUUAAUUAGUGUAUUAAAUAAACUAGAGAAAAAUGAUUUUAAUGUUAUAAAAAUCAAUUGAAAUAAGAAUAAAGUGUUUAAAAAUAUUUUUGAGUUAUAUAUGUAACUUUUAAUAUUUUUGUGAUGAAUUUCAUUAAUUAAUUAAUAUUGGUGAUAAUUAAGUAAUUUAAUAAAUGUAUUAAAUAAAUUAUGAAAAAUAGAAUUUGUGAUUUAAAAAUCAUAUAAAAGUGAUUUAAAGAUUAUAAAAAAAUAUUUAAAGUUAUAAAAUAUAACUUUUGAUAUUUUGUCAUGAAAAAUAUUAAUAAUUUAAUAUUAAUAAUAUUAGAUUUAUUUAAUGAUUAUAUUAAAUAAUUUAGUUUAAAAAUAAUUUUAUUAUUAUAAAAAUCAUUUUAAAUGAAAAUAAAGUGUUUAAAGAUAUUUUAAGUUAUAAAAUAUAACUUUUAAUAUUUAAAGGAUAAUUUCAUUAAUAAUUUAAUAUUAAUGAUAUUAAUUUAAGAUUUAUUGAUAUUAAAUUUAUUUAAUAAUUAUAUUAAAUAAAUAUUUUUAAAAUGGUUUUAUUAGUUUAAAAAUCAUUUAAAAGGAUAUAAUUGAAUUAAAAAUAUUUUAAGUUGGAAUUAAUGACGUUUAAUAUUUGGAUAAAUAGUAAAUUAAUAUUUUAAUAUUAAUGGUAAUUAUUUAAAAAUGAUUUUAAAUGUUUUAAAAAUCAUUUAAGGGUAGUAUUAGUACUUUAAAAAUAUUUUGAGUUAUUAUCAAUAACUUUAAUAUUUUGGUAAUGAUUAUAUUAAUAAUUUAAUAUUAAUUAAAUAUUAAUGAUAAUAUGAUUAUGUACUAUUUAAAUCAUUUAAUUAUGAUUCCAGUGUUUGAAAUUUCAUAAUAAAUUAUAAUAAAUGUUUAAAAAUUAUUAUAAGUCAUUUAAAAAUAAUAUGAUUGAUACUUGUAGAUAUUGAGAUACAAUAUAGAGUCUUAGACUCGAUAUUUACCCAAUAAAGCCGUCGGUAGACCGACAUAUUUUAAAAAUUGAUCUAGACUUAGAUAUUUGACUGUAUUAAUGUUUGUUUGUGAUUUAAUGAUUGUUGAAUAUGUGUGACAAUGUGAUUAGGUUAUGUCCUAACUGCAAUAAGAAGUGCUAUGUGUUAUAGUAUGUUAUUCUAAUCGAACAAAUGAUUUUAUUAAUGAUAGGUUUUGGUAUUAAAGAUAAAACUAAGUUGUGUAUUGUAAGUAGCAGACCAGACAAGUAUCCUAUCUUUGCAUUUUCAUUAUGCAAUGGACAUGAGUAAGAAGUUUAGAACUGUAUUACUACUGUAUCAGAUUAUUAACCCUAUUGUUAUAUAUGUUAUAUCCGAUUAUUGUUUAUCAACAUUGUGACGACCCCAAAAUAGUUAUACAACACCCAUUCUGAGUCGCCAUAAUACAUGGUACAGAAAGAAAACUACAACUUCACUAUUACAAUUGUCAUGCAAAAUACGACAACACAUACUGUGAGUUUAAAUACAAAUAUUGUCUUCUAGACAAUAUCCACAAUCAAAUAAGUCCUCAAUACAUUUAUUAAUACAUUAUUUUACAAAAAUAGUGAGGACUGCUAAAAUAACUAUCUUGAAUCAUCACUCCAUACCCCGGCUAGUCCCUGCUAUAUUCUCACCUCCUGAGAAGAAAAAUGGAACAACAAGAAAAAGGGUGAGUUCAACUAGCCCAGUAAAGAAUAUUAUGACUAAGAUAAUAUACAACAAAUUAUCAUUAGUCCUCAACAGGGAAAAAUCUGAUAGAAUAUAAUAGACAACAAGUUUUAGAUCAGCAAAUGCAGCGGAAACAACAAUCCAUUAGAAGAGUCACGUAGAGAAUGAGUUCUACUAUCUUCUAAGAUUUAAAAGUCCAUCAUCAAUAUUUUAUCCCUGUAACAACAAUCAAUAUACAUCUUUACACUACAGGCCAAAGAUAUUCAUUUAAAUCACCAGUCGGUCAUGUUCAUCUCAACACCUGUUCAUCUUUGCACUACGGGCCAAAGAUAUUCAUCAGUUUAUCAUUCAUCUUUGCACUACAGGCCAAAGAUAUUCAGUAAUAUCAUCAUUUAGGACUGAGGAUGAUGAAAAAUAUUUUUUUUUAAAGAAACGAAUCCAGUGAAACAAAAGGACAAGGAUUAAGAAUUCGUACUUUAGUUUGUCCAAAUUCAAAAAUACUCCAUAAUAAACAAUUAUGGGACAAAUUUUAAGAAUGAAGAUCAAAACAUGGAUAUAAUCAAAGCUAGUAUCAUAAUGGACAUUUUGGAUAAAAAGGAAAUUUUUUAUUUUUCGGUGAAUAAUGUCGUAUUCGUGAAUAGUGCUGUAUACGUGAAUAGUGCCGUAUACGUGAAUAGUAACCCCGACACAAAAAGUUCCAAAUUUGAUAAAAAGAUCAGAUCAAUAUUUCGACGUAAUGAUAUUGACGAAAAUAAUAUCAUUCAUGAAGAAAAUAAUAUUCCUUACCUCAAAGAAGCAGUACUUCGGAAUGAAAGGUCGGAAGUGAUGCUGAAUGAAACUUGUACUGAACAACAACUCUCAAAGUAUCUAAAUACUCACAAAAUACGCUCGAUAAUAUAGAGAGAAAGAGAGAAAGCUUAUGUUUCUUGUGUGAUUUUCAAUUCUAACUUAGCCAUCUAUUUAUAGAAAAAUGUUAACCCGCCGAAGCAGACUUGACCUGCUACCUGAUGGCUUUACCUGUUACUAUUGCCACCCACCACAUUUAAAAUUCAAUUUGAGCACAUUUCUCACCAACCACAAGUGGGGCCCAUUCAAUUCUAGAAUUUUCCACCAAAAUCAUUUAUAACCCUAAUUUCCGAAGCAGUCACCUCUUAAAAUUCAUAACAAAUCAUUCGUUCAUUUUUAACGGUUCAAAAUUUGUGGACAUAUACCCAACUUAUAUAUGUAUAACAUAACCAAAAAUCACAACAAUCCAACGGUCAGAGUAAAAAUUAUAACUCACGCAAUAUAUCGUAAAAAUACUGAUUUGAUUUUUAAUACCUCCAUUCCGACAAAAAUAUAGAUAAAACACCUCAACAUUAACUCCUUCAAUUAUAAUCACAUAAAAUAAACAAAUCCAUCAUUUAUAUAAAAUAAAUAUUUCCUUAUCAUAUAAAUCAAUAAUUAAUUAUUCACAAAUAAUAUUAUAGAAUCACAAUUAUGACAACCAAGCCGUUUCCAGGAAAGAGGGGGCUUUCCAAUAAGGAUUUCUCCUUACUGGCGCGCAAUUAGAUGACCUAACCUCUCCUUAACAGAACUUUCUAGACAUUGCCAAUAAUGCUAUCUAAUAAUAUUAUUAAAGCAAUAUGAAUUAUUGAUCUGAUAAUGGGAAAUACUGUGCAGUAACAAUAAUUGAAAUAAUAAUAAUAUAAAAUAUCAACGCAGCAAUUAUUGAAUCAAUAAAAUAAAAUAUUAAACAGUAACUACUGUAACAAUUAUUGAGUAGUGCCUUCUUACGUAAGAAUCAAUAAUUCAACUAUACUGUGUAAUACCGUGUGCUACUGUGCAACUACGCGUAUUACUGUAUUUUAACCACCAGGUAAUCCAACAGUGUUAACGGUAACAACUGCGCCGUUAUUUAUAAAAACACAUACUUGUCGUUUUCCUUCAUCCAACCAUUUUUCAUUAUGGGGCCCACAAAUGGCUGCGCCGUCGUACGAAUAUUCCCUGACAGCAAGAAUAUUCCACGACGAAACGAAUAUUCCCCGACAACAAUGAAUAUUUUAUAACCACUUGCUUAUUUUGCAAAAUUUGCUUAUCUCAUCCAUAACCAAAAUAUUAUAUCAAAUUAACACCUUAUUAUUCACAAUAAUAAUAAUUAGAGGAAAUUCAAUUUCAUUUAUAAAAAGUUGGGGUCUUACAAACAUGAUAUUAUAUUAUAUAAUUCAGAUAUAUAUUCUGUUCGUUAAUUUCUAAAAAUGAUUUAAUCACAUGUUGAUAUAUAUAUAUAUAUAUAUAUAUAUAUAUAUAUAUAUAUAUAUAUACCUAUUGAACCCCAGUAUGUAUACAUUAAGUAAAAGUCGUCUAAGCUAUUCAACUAGCUAGACACAGAUUUAGAUAUAUCAUUGAAUAUGAUAAAACUUUUUUGUAUCCAAUCAAAUUGUUUUGGUUCGGAUUCCAGACUAAGUAUGAACAUCCAGAACAUGGGAAAACUUUUAUGCACCUAAGACGGACAGAGUGAAUGAUAAUAUCGUUCUUGCAUGCAGUAUUGAUCAAUACAGGGUCCUUGGGAUGUACACCCUCGUGCCCAUAAGUUAUGACGGUUUGCAAAUGAAGUUCUACUUUACCUUUUUGAAAAUAGAAAAUAAUGUUCAUAAUAUGUCACCCUAACCCUAUAUAUAGUCAAUACGUAGUUUCAAAAAUGUGAGAUAGAGUUGUUAUGUUAUUAUUAUCGGUUUAGUUUACUUCACAACUAUUGAAUCGUUGUAGAAGUAAUGUACAAAGAAAACAUUUAAUUCUUUCAGAUAAUUAUAUUUAUAAUUGUUAUUACUUGCUGGGCACUCAAAUGCUCAUCCUUGCUUAAUUUAAAUGUUUUCAGCUAAGCGUGAUCAAUCUGAAGGUUUAGACAAUAAUAAGUGAAAAGGAAAGCAAACAGAAUAUGUUUAACGGUAUCUUUUGUAAUAGUUAAACUGUAUUAAGAUAAUGAUAUGUAUUAUCUAUCAUGUAAAGAAUUAUAGUAAAUGUUGCGUACUUGGGAUUAGACUAUGAUAUUUGUAAAUUAAGUUUGAUUUUUAUAUUAUUGUUAUUAUUAUUAUUAUUAUUAUUCUGCUCAUAAAAAUGGUAUCGUGAAGCACCGAGUUCGGGUUUCAAGUACCUAAAUUUGGGGGCGUCACAAAUAUGGCUCAGUUAUUGGAGCGCGAUAAUGAGUCAACCCAACCAAGAGAGAGUAGCCGACAAAAUGAUAAUACCAGUGGUAGCAGUCAUCGAAGCGGUGUCAACAAACGUGGAGGGAAUCAACAUGCUAGAAAUGGUAACCACUUCGGUAGUAAUCAUGGCGAAGAUAAUAAAAAUGGAAAUUUCAAGAAGAGGAGAAUCAACAAUGAUGGAAAGACGUCAGCACCAGAACCCGUUGGUAAGGAAGGAGAACGACCAGCGAUCGUAUGCUACAAAUGCGGAGGGGAGGGAUACAUCAGUCCAAACUGUGCGCAGCCGUCCAAAAUGUAUUAUAAUUAUGGAAGAGAAGGUCACCUAGCUCGAUUUUGUCUUGCAAGGAAGCCAAGUCAAGCUGGGAUGGAGGCACCAAAGGUCAUCCCAGAAAAGUCAAAACCAGUAGUUCAAGGGAGAGCGUUUUUCGUGACCUCCCAGAAAGCAAGGAACCUGAACGAGGUUAUCAUGGGUAAGCUAAUCAUAAACUCUAGCGAAGUAUAUACCUUAUUUGAUAACGGUUCUACCCAUUCUUUUAUUUUACUAUUGGCACUCAACGUUUAAAUUUAACUCUGGAGAAAUUAGACUUUGACUUAUCUGUUAAAACUCCGUUGGGAGAAACCUUCAUUACAUCCACUGUUUAUAAGUCUUGUUUAGUUCAAAUCGGUACCCUCACAUUACCUGUCGAUCUUAUUUCUUUAAAAAUACUUGCAUUUGAUGUGAUUUUAGGGAUUGAUUGGUUAACUACUCAUCAUGCAAAAAUUGAUUGUUUUCGUAAGGUUGUUAGCUUUCAUAUUCCUAACCAACCUAUUAUGCGAAUUCAAGCAACCAAACCACUAAAGUCAAUCACUGUCAUAUCAAGCCAUAAAGCUAUUCAUUUAUUGAAAAAUAGAUGUCAAGCUUUCUUAGCCCAUGUCACAAAUUUAAACAAAAAUACGUCAUAUUUGAAUGAUAUUUCUAUUGUUAAUAAAUUUCCAGAUGUAUUCCCUGAAGAACUUCCUGGCCUACCCCCAGAGCGUAAAAUUGAGUUUGUAUUGACCUCGAACUCGGUAAAAGACCCAUUUCCAAAGCCCCAUAUCGAAUGGCUCCUAUUGAACUUCAGGAGUUAAAAACCCAACUGCAGGAGUUGUUAGACAUCUGUUUCAUUUUUCCUAGUACGUCUCCUUGGGGUUCUCCUGUUCUAUUCGCAAAGAAGAAAGAUGGGAGUAUGCGACUUUGUAUUGACUAUCGGGAGUUAAAUCAUGUCACUAUCAAAAAUAGGUACUCGUUGCCUCGCAUUGAUUACCUGUUUGACCAGUUGUAAGGAGCCAAAUUCUUUUCAAAGAUCGAUCUUCGUUCUGGAUAUCACCAGUUAAAGAUUAAAACUGAUGACAUCCGAAAGACUGCUUUCAGAACUCGGUACAGGCAUUAUAUAUGAAUUCCUAGUCAUGCAUGUCCGUUGGAUUGACUAAUGCUCCUGCUGCUUUCAUGGAUAUGAUGAACCGAGUAUUCAAGGAAUAUUUGGAUCAUUUUGUGGUCAUUUUUAUUGAUGACAUCCUCAUAUACUCCAAAAUCCGUGAAGAUCAUGAGCAACACUUGAGGUUUAUACUUCAAAAGUUUCGUGAAAACAAGCUUUAUGCCAAGUUGAAGAAAUGCGAGUUCUGGCUUAAGGAAGUGGCAUUCCUUGGGAACGUGAUAUCAAUUCACGGAAUAUCUGUUGACCCAUUGAAGAUUAAAGCAAUUCAGAGCUGGGAGCAACCUAAGUCAGUGACCGAAGUACGUAGCUUUCUGGGCUUAGCUGGUUAUUAUCGGAGAUUCAUGGAUGGAUUUUCUCGAAUUGCUACUCUAUUAACUCAGCUGACUCGAAAAGAUACAAAAUUCGGUUGGAGCGAGGAAUGUGAGAAAAGUUUUCAAGAACUCAAGAGAAGACUCAUUUCAGCACCUGUUCUGAUAAUACCAUCUGGCUCGUAGGGAUUUAUCAUCUACAAUGAUGCUUCAGGCAAAGGGUUAGGAUGUGUUCUCAUGCAACAUGGGAAAGUCAUAGCCUAUGCAUCAUGACAACUCAAAGAAUAUGAGAGGAAUUAUCCUACUCAUGAUCUAGAGUUGGCAGCUGUCGUUUUUGCGCUUAAGAUUCGGAGGCAUUACCUGUAUGGAGAGAAUGUGGAGAUCUAUACGGAUCAUAAAAGCCUCAAAUAUUUCUUCACUCAAAAGGAGCUCAACAUGCGACAACGACGUUGGCUUGAGCUAUUGAAAGACUACGAUCAUACCAUUUAAUACCAUCUUGGAAAAGCGAACGUAGUAGCUGACGCAUUGAGUAGAAGAUCAUAUGCGGGUACGAGUGCGAUAUUGUUAACGCAAAGACCCAUUUUGUAUGACUUACAAAGGAUGGAAAUAGAGUUAAAGACUCUAGGGACCCAAGUGAUGAUGGCAAAUAUACGAUUAGAACCGACUUUAAUCGAUAAAGUUAAAGCUGCUCAACUUACGGACCUGGAGCUGAUGCGUAGUAGGAAGAAAGUACAAGGUGCUAUCCUGGAAGCAAGAAUCGAUGAAGAAGGAAUACUAUGAGUCAACUCUAGACUUUGUGUUCCUAACGACCCUAAUUUAAAGUAUAAAAUCAUGAUGGAGGCGCACAACACACCGUUUGCAAUCCAUCCUGGGAGUACCAAAAUGUAUCGUGAUCUUCGACAUAUAUUUUGGUGAAGUAAUAUAAAGAGAGAGAUAACAGAGUUUAUCUCAAGAUGUUUAACUUGUCAACGUGUCAAGGCGGAGCAUCAAGUGACAAAAGGUCCAUUGCAACCACUUGAAAUUCUAGAAUGGAAGAGGGAGCACAUUACCAUAGAUUUUGUUAUUGGUCUUCCCAAGGUUUCUCAAGGCAUAGUUGCAAUUUGGGUCAUUGUUGAUAGAUUGACCAAGUCUGCUCAUUACUUACCUAUACGAGAAACCUAUACACUUGAACGUCUUGCUCGUAUAUACAUAAACGAGAUUGUAAGACUGCAUGGUAUACCAGUAUCCAUAGUUUCUGAUCGAGACCUAAGAUUACUUCACGAUUUUGGGUCAGUUUGCAGAAAGCUAUGGGCACGGAUUUGCGAUUCAGUUCUUUGAUGCCCCCAAAAUAGGUAUACAUCACCCAUUUUGAGUCGCCAGAUACAUGGUACAAAAUUCAAAUACAACUUAAUUAUACAACAGUCGUGUAAAUACGACAAAACAUAAUCUAAGAGUUUUAAUAAGAAUAUUGUCCAUCUAACAAUAUCCACAAUCAAUGGAGUCCUCAUUACAUUUAUAAUCACACUAUUUCACAGAAUAGUGAGGACUACUAAUACAAACAUCUGGACCGUCACUCUGUUCCCCGACUAGACCCAGCUACGUUCUCAUUUCCUGAAGAGAACCAUGAAAGAAAAGGGUGAGCUCAACUAGCCCAGUAAGAAAUAUUAUGACUAAGAUAAUGCAAAAUAAAUUAUCCUUAGCCUUCAACAGUAUAACAACUGAUAGAAUAUAAUAGACAACAAGUUUUAGAUCAAAAACUGCAGCGAAAUAAGCAAUCCAUUAGAAGAGUCAAGUAGAGCAUAAAAUCUACUAUCUUCUAUGAUUUAAAAAGUUUUUCAAAAUUUUUAUCGCUGAGACUCAGCUUAAUAUAUAUAUAUAUAUAAAAGCAAUAAACGCACCGGAUGUAGACUUACAGUGGACUGCCAAAGUAGACUUCUUGGACUGCAAAUGGAUGAACACUCGUCUCUCGCCGGACUAAAAGUAGCUAUAUACGAGCUAACUAGUGUUUAAAGAAAAGGAAACACUCAAAAGAUGUGUAUGCAGAGCUAAACGGACAGGGCUUCCUCGCCUUUUUCCCUCUCUUCCUUCUCUCAAAUGGCUGACCCCCCCUCUAUAUUUAUAGACGGAUGGCCGCAGGUCUACCUGCGGCUGGUCGUGGUGGGCCCGGGCAUCGCGGGUCUCGUCGUCUUGUAGUACGUGCACUUGCGCACGGUAAUGUCCAAUCGAACUUUCAGAACUUCAAUCCUAGCAUCCAAACGAAGCGUGUCUGUACUUCUUCGGACCGCUGGUGUCGAGAGUUACGUAAUGACAUGGAUUAGAGGUUGUACGAAGUCAGGAAGCGGGGUAUAUGCCCAUGGUCUUCAGGCUUCAAAUUCUAUCCAAAGUAUUGUCACAGGUAAUAGUCACUCGGGAUUGUCAUUCCUCGGUUAUUUGGGACAUUGUUGUAUGUAUGUAUGUCUGAAAGGUUGAGACGACGUGCCAUUUGUUGGACGAACAAGAUGAUGUUUGACUCUUUGCCGGAGUUAUCGCCUGGUUGAGCUGAAAGUAACCGUUGCUCAGGUUACAUCUGAGAUUGGACUACUUGUUGGUAUGCUGCUAUAUCAUCUUGUUACGAGAUGACGUUGGUGACUCCUCACCGGGUUUAUCGCCGGUUUAAGCGGAAAGCAGACGUUGAUCAGGGUUACAGCUAAGAUUGGACCGCCUAUUUGUAUGCCUCACUGUCAUCUGUGAUUGAAGCUGAUUGCAUGUGUUUGCAACAAGCAAUUCUGGAGUUAUCGCCGGAACUGCGAUGGCAUCACUUGGGGUUAUCACCAAGGAUGGGACUACUACUCCCAAUGUUGUCUCUGGGACUGGAACUGAACGUCGCGGUGUCAUCACCGAGACAGGACUGUCCUCUCCGGUGUUGUUGCCGGUCUUUUGAUCUGCACAUCUCGGGGUUAUCUCCGAGAUUGGAAAUGACGUGCCCGGUGUGUGUUCCGGGUUUGGAACCGAUGCUCCCGGUUUGUGUUCCGGUUUGGAGCGAAACUUCCGGUAGUAUCUGGACUUGUUGUGAGCUGUCUUUCAGGGUUAUCUCCAAAAGACGAAUCUACCCUCCUGCAAUGUUAGUAAUAGGAGUGCAGAAAAUUUCGAGUGUCUACAACACCUAGCAACCCAGAUCAUCACUAUAGACUAAAAACAACAUAUUCUAACACCCAAACAUAACAUUUAACAACAUAUCAAAGGUCAGAUUUUUAGGUUUAGUGUUAUACCUUCUUGCUCAAUUUCUUGAUUUUAUGUUACUGAUUUGUUAUGGGAUUUCGUGGGGCUUGAAAAUGGGACAAAAAUGCUAUAGAUUUUCGUUGGUUCUAGUGAGAGAAGCUCUUGGUUGAGUGUUGUGCAAUUUUUAGUGAACAAAUGCAUUUUCUCUAUCCUUAAAUCUAUUUAUAGACAAAUUAGAUACAUGAAUGGCUGAGCUAGAACUUGUUGUUGUCAAUUUAGUGUCACAUGGCUACUCUAGGGUUAGCCAACCACUCCAUCUAGACCUAUUUCUACAAGCAAGCUUCAAUAAUACAAUAGGGCACAAAAGUCUUUUGGCUAGCAAUUUUAAGGGCAUUUUUAUAACUUGUCAAACCCUUAGGGUUUAACCCUUAGGGUUUAGCACAUAACACAAAUGAUUUUUAGCAACUUAGGGUUUGAAUAAAAUAAAAUUAUUUUAGCUUCUAAAAUUUGAAAAUCAAGAUUUGUUAAUUAGAUUAAGUUAGUAAUUAUAUUAUACAUGAACAUUAGGGUUUAGUACCACUAAUCAUAAUUAACCUUGCCAAAAUAGCAAUUAGGGUUUAAGAUUUUAAUAAUUAGGAUUUCUAAAACUCAAUUAGGAUUUUCUAAUUAUCCAAUUAGGGUUCUGAACAUUAGGGUUUUAAUUUAAUAAUUAUGUUUACCAUAAUUAGCAAUUAAAGUCUAUUGUACGUGUUAUUAAUCACAGUAACAUAAUUUUUGACAGAUAAAAUUCUUCAGUUUAAGUUUUGAUUUAGGGUUUCUAAUAUCAGAAAUUCAAAUCUAAUUAGGGUUUGACAUUUAUAAUUAGGGUUCCCUAAUUGGCAUAUCAUUAUGUAACACAACAUAUAACACAGUUAUAUAACAGUCUCAAAUUUCCCAUUUAAAUUGAAAAACAGGGUCAAACCAAUUAAUGCUAGGGUUUGGUCAAUAUACACCAUAAUUGACCAACCAUCAACAGUACGUACAUACAGUACAUAUUUAUGGCACUGAGAAAUUAAAAUAUUAUAAUAUUAUAUAUUAUUCUCAUGCCUUGAUCAAAACCCAAAAUUAGAGUUUGGAUUCCGUAUCUGAUUUAUCUGCCAUAAAUAACCUUAUUAAUUAAGUUAAAAUAAUUAACUUAAUAAUCUGAACAAAAUUCAUAUAAUAAAAUAAUUAUUAUAAUUAUUCUAACAUCAUUUCAUAUAUUACUUAUAUUUUCAAGGAAAAUAAUUAAUAAAACAUUUCUAAUAUAAAAUUAACUGUUAUAAGAAUAUAAUUUAUAAUAAUUAAUAUUUCUAAAAUAAAUCAAUUUGUAAUAAUUAAUGUAAUAAAUUUUAUUUAUCACACAUAUAAUUAUACACAUAUUACCUUGGCACAUAUCACCCAUAUUUAUUUUAAUAAAUAAUAAAAAAAAAAUUUAUACGCAAAAUUUAUGAUUUAUUUAUAUAGAAAAUAUCGGGUUGUCACAUUCUUCACAUUCAUCAGAUUCGGGUGUGUAGCUUGAGCGGCUUUAACUUUAUCGAUUAAAGUCGAUUCUGCUCGUAUAUUCGUUAUCUUCACGUGGGUCCUUAGAGUCUUUAACUCUAUCUUCAUCAUUUGUAAGUUAUACGAAAUGGGUAUUUGUGUUAACAACAUCGCACUUGUAAACACAUACGAUCUUCUACUCAAGGCGUCAGCUACUACGUUCGCUUUUCUACGAUGAUAUUGAAUGGUAUAGUCGUAAUCUUCAAUAGCCCGAGCCAACGUCUUUGGCGCAUGUUACGUUCGUUUUAAGUGAAGAAAUAUUUGAGGGUUUUAAAAAUGGGUUUUGUACUGGGGUCAAUACAAAAUUUGAUUUCACGCUCUAGGGGUAGGCUAAGAAGUCUUCAGGAAUACGUCAGGAAACUUAUUAACGAUAGAAAUAUCAUUCAAAACUGUGACUCUCAUCCCAAGACUUGGAUAGCCCGUCAUAUUGAUACCUAUCAACUUGCCACCGUUAUUCACGGCGUCCCCUACGGAUAGUCUGGCUUCGGUGUAUUCCAAGACUUGGAAGUCAUCAGCGAAAGGCUUAGGUCUCUUUACUUAUGGCUUGAUAUGACAAUGAUUGGCUUUAGUGGUUUGGUUGCUUGAAUUCGCAUAACAGGUUGGUUAGGAAUAUGAAAGCUAACAACCUUACGAAAAGCAUGAUGAGUAGUUAACCAAUCGACUCCUAAAAUCACAUCAAAGGCAAGUAAUUUCAAAGAGAUAAGAUCGACAGGUAACGUGAAAGUGUCGAUUUGAAUUAAACAAGAUUUAUAAACAGUGGAUGUAAUUAACGAAGGUUUCUCCUAACAUAGUUUCAACCGAUAAGUCAAAGUCUAAUUUCUCCGGAGUUAAGUUCAAACAUUGAACACAACUAGGUGAAAUAAAAGAGUGAGUAGAACCGGUAUCUAACAAGGUAUAGACUUCGCAAGAGUUUAUGAUUAACUUACCCGUGAUAACUUUAUUCAGGUUUCUCGUCACGAAAAACGCUCUCUCUUAAACUACUGAUUUUGACUUGUCUGGGACAUCCCAGUUGGACUUAACUUUGCUGUAGAGUACAUUCCACCCUUAAUUGCUUCAUCACAUUCCUGAUCCAUGAUUCGAAUCAUUACUCUCUGAUCCAUAUCGAAUUGGGGUUAACCGCUCUGCACAGGGUAAUUUCGAAUUCGAUGUUGGAUUCUCCCAAUUGUUGUCCAAAAAGCAAAAUCCAUUUCAUCUAUUUUAGCCUUAUUGGAUCUGACGUCUUUUUCUACAAUAUCUACACGUCGUGCGACUUUUACCCAUGCAUCAUCUAUUCUCAUUCGUUCAGUUGUUUUUUCUUUCAUCAGAACUUUGAUCAUAGCAUUCUUAAAUUCCAGCUCUAAUAUCUUAUACUCUGCCAAAGAGUGCUUCUGUUCGAGCAUCGUACAUCGGGUAACACAAUUUUGAAUUGCUACAUCUCUUUGCUCCACGACCGCCUGUCGUUCUUCAGCCUGCUCUUCUAGCUCAUGAAUACAAUUUUGUAAUUCUAAAUUUCGAUCAUAAAAUUCUUCUAAUAAAUUCACCUCAGGUUCCUCUUCUUCCUCACUCUCAGCUGCUACCUCUGCAACUAGCUCGAGUGCAACUAUUAGUUCUUCACUCACCAUGUAGAUAUCUCUAAUUUCUUCUUCGUUUGACAUCACAUUAACCUGGUUAGUGAUUAAAGGUGUCUCAACGAUCUCAUUCACUGCAUUGUUAAUAUUUUUAGCCGCCAUUUUUAAAUACUGUCAUAAAACAAGGGUGAAUUAACAUAUCACAUAUUAUCAAUAUAUUAUGACCGACCAAUUAAAUACCAAAUAAACUUAGGUAGGUCAUACUAGCAAAGGAAUUCCCCGUCUCUCCCCUCCUAGUUCUUGUCUCACAUCUCAGCCAGGGAUCAUAUCCCUAAGCUUUGAUACCAACUGUGACGCCCCCAAAACAGGUAUUCAUCACCCAUCUUGAGUCGCCAAAUACAUAGUACAAAAUUUAAAUACAACUUAAUUAUACAACAGUCGUGUAAAAUACGACAAAACAUAAUUUAAGAGUUUUAAUAAGAAUAUUGUCAUCUAGACAAUAUCCACACUCAAUGGAGUCCUCAUUACAUUUACUGUCACACUAUUUAACAGAAUAGUGAGGACUACUAAUGCUAACAUCUGGACCGUCACUCUGUUCCCCGACUCGUCCCAGCUAUAUUCUCAUUUUCUGAAGAGAACAGUGAAAGAAAGGGUGAGCUCAACUAGCCCAGUAAGAAAUAUUAUGACUAAGAUAAUGCAAAAUAAAUUAUCAUUAGCCUUCAAUAGUAUAACAACUGAUAGAAUAUAAUAGACAACAAGUUUUAGAUCAAAAACUGCAGCGGAAUAAGCAAUCCAUUAGAAGAGUCAAGUAGAGCAUAAAAUCUACUAUCUUCUAUGAUUUAAAAAGUUUUUCAUCAUUUUUAUCGCUAAGACUCAACUUAAUAAAUAAAAUUGAAUCAUCCCUGCACCACAGCGAAGUUUAUUCAUGUAAUCAUCAAUGGUCAUGACUAUACCGAAUAAUCCCUAGUCAUAAUCAUACCAACAACUGUCCACCAAUGAAUUACAUGCCAAUGAUGACUUUUACCACAUCAUUCGUCACAUUACAGUCAUGAUUAUACCGAAUAAUCCCUGGUCAUAAUCAUACCAAGUCCAUCUAUGCACGUAAGUCAAAGAUGACUAUCAUCACAAUAUAAGCAUGAAGAUGAUAACAAUGACAUAAUAAUUCAAUAAAACAAGUUCAAGGAUAAAUUUUAAAGAUUUAUAAUUUAAUUUAUCCAGGAAUCAAUAACGUCUAAUUUGUCAACAUGAUACUGCUUUGUGGAGUAAAAUUCAAGAAUGCUCAGAAGAAUAUUUCUAUGAAAAGAUACUGGAUGAAGUGCAAAUAUCUAGGAUAUUCUACUAAUUUUAUGGAGUAUAGAAGCCAAAACUUUAACCAACUGAGUAUAAUAGAAUAUAUGAAGCUGUAAAUGGAUUUUCGCCCGCCAUGCGGUAAUCCAUGUAGACAGAUCAUUUCCACAUUUUAAUAAGGAAUGAAUACGAAGGAUCAUUCACCAUGCAUGCGAUAAUCCACAUAGACAUGUUAUUCCAACAGAAUAACAAAGUAUGGAAUAACAGAAGAAUUCACCAUGCAUGCGAUAGACCACACAGACAGGUUAUUCCAACAGAAUAAUAAAGAAUGAAAUACUAAAAGAAUUCACCAGGUGUGCGUAGUCCGCACAGACAGGUUAUUCCAGCAGAAUAAUAAAGAAUAGAAUAACAGAAGAAUUUACCAGGCGUGCUUAAUCCGCACAGACAAGUUAUUCCAACAGAAUAAUAAAGAAUGGAAUAACAGAAGAAUUCUCCAGGCGUGCGUAAUCUGCACAGACAGGUUAUUCAACCAGAAUAAUAAAGAAUGGAAUAAUAGAAGAAUUUUGCCACGCAUACGGUAAUCCGUGUAUACAGGUUAUUCCAACAGAAUAAUAAAGAAUAGAAUAACAGAAGAAUUUCACCACACAUACGGUAAUCCGCGUAUACAUGUUAUUCCAACAGAAUAAUAAAGAAUGGAAUAACAACCCUGACAAGUAUUGAAAGAAAUAACUCUCUUAAUAAAUACGAAAGAAAUAAUACCCCUUACCUUAGAAGAAAACUAGAAUAGUGAGGUAGCAGACUUCUCUUCUUCUUUCUCUCUAUAAUUUCUCUCUAUAAUAAUUUCUCUAUAGCUUUAGUGAAUUGGUGAACAAUAAUGAAGGAAUGAGCUUCUAUUUAUAGAAAAAUAUAGUUUCAACAAUUGCACAUUUUGGGGCUCAAAAAAUUACAGUAUAAUAUCUUCUUCUUUUUCUUCAUUUUUAAUUUAGUCCUGCAAGUAUUAUCAAACUUGCACCACCUCCUCUUGGAAGUCCUUGAAUCAAUCAGCUCGAAACAAUCCUUCUUGGACUCAAAUUCUAGUUAAAAUUACCUUUUCUACGCGUACCCAAGCCCCAGCUUGGGUAUUGCCUUGUAAAUAGUAAGCCCCGGCUUGCUAUGCUUCUGAUUUUGAACUCAGGACCCCAAGCCCCGGCUUGGGUAUAAAGCUUAAAAGAGCAAGCCCCGACUUGGGUGCAAGCUGCUAAUAGUUUUUUCUGCUGCAGUGUCCUCAGGUAAAAUGGCCAUAACUUUUGAUCCGGGAGGAGUUACGGGGCCUGCCACCUAUCAAAUCAAAGAUAUCGACGAGAUCUACAACUUUCAUUCUUUGAGAAUUGAGUAAUAACGAACGAAUGAAGGUAGAAAUUGGACUAGAAAUGACUGUUAUGCAAAUGGCCACCCAAAAUAGCGAAGUUAUUCAACAGUCUCCUGUGCUCCAUUGAUAUUCUCAACAUUCUCGGUUGUCAUUUUCAAAUACUGCCACAAAACAAGGGUUAAAUAACAUCACAUAUUAUCUCUAUACUCUGACCGACCAAUUAAAUACCAAAUAAACUUAGGUAGGUCAUACUAGUUCCCCGUCUCUCCCCACCUAGUUCUUAUCUUACAUUUUAGUCAUGGAUCAUAUCCCUAAGCUUUGAUACCAACUGUGACGCCCCCAAAAUAAGUAUACAUCACCUAUUCUGAGUCGCCAAAUACAUGAUAUAAAAUACAAAUACAAUCUUAAAUAUACAACAUAAGUUGUGAGUUUUAAUACAAACAUUGUCUUCUAGACAGUAUUAAAACUCAAAAUAAGUCAUCAAUACAUUUAUUAACACACUAUUUCACAGAAUAGUGAGGACUACUAAUGCUAUCCUCUGGACCAUUACUCCAUUCCCCGACUCGUCCCAGCUAUAUUCUCAUUUCCUGAAGAGAACAAUGAAAGAAAGGGUGAGCUCAACUAGCCCAAUAAGAAAUAUUAUGACUAAGAUAAUGCAGAAUAAAUUAUCAUUAGUCUUCAACAAUGUUAAACUGAUAAAAUACAAUAACUGCAGCGAAAUAAGUAAUCCAUUAAAAGAGUCAAGUAGAGAAUAAAAUCUACUAUCUUUUAUGAUUUAAAAGGAUUUUCAUCACUUUUAUCGCUGAGACUCAGUUUAAUAAAUAAUCCACAUCAUCGAAUCACCCCUGCACUACGGCCAAGGAUAUUCUUUAGUAUUACAACCAUAAAUAUCCAUGCACUACGGGCCAAGGACAUUCGUGUAUUCAUUAAUGGUCAUGAUCAUGCCAAAAACUGUCCAACAAUACACUACGGUCAAUGAGGACUUUUACCACAUCAUUUGUAACAUUACGGUCGUAAUUAUACUGAAUAAUCCCUGGUUAUAAUCAUACCAAGUCCAUCUAUACACUACAGGCCACAGAUGACUUUCAACAGAAUAUAAACAUGAGGACGAUGACAAUGAUAUAUGAAUUCAAUAAAACAAGUUCAAGAAUUUAUUUGUCCAGGAACCAAUAACGUCCAAAUUGUCAACAAGAUACUGUUUUGUGGGAUAAAAUUCAAGAAUGCUCAGAAGAAUAUUUUCAUAAAAAGAUAUUGGAUGAAGCGCAAAUAUCAAGGAUAUUCCACUAAUUUCAUGGAGUAUAGAAGUCAAAACUUUAACCAACUGAGUAUAAUAAAGAAUGAAAUAACAAAAGAAAUCACCAUGCACGUGGUACUUCGCAUAGACUGGUUAUUCCAACAGAAUAAUAAAUAACGGAACCAGGUUAGGCAAAAUUCGCACCGAUAGGAUGUUCCAACUGAAUAAUAAAGAAUGGAAUAACAACAGAAAUCACCAUGCAUACGGUACUUCGCAUAGACAGGUUAUUCCAACAGAAUACUAAAUAACAGAACCAGGUCCGGCGUAAAACGCACAGACAGGAUAUUCCAACACAAUAAUAAAGGCGGAACCAGGUCCGGCGUAAAAGUCACAGACAUGAUAUUCCAACAGAAUAAUAAAUACGGAACCAGGUCCGGCGUAAAACGCACAGACAGGAUAUUCCAACAGAAUAAUAAAGAAGAAAAUAACAGAAGAAUUUCAUCAAAUAUAGGGUAGCCCGCGUAUACAGGUUAUUCCAACAGAAUAAUAAAGAAUGGAAUAACAGAAGUUCUCUUCAUGAAUACAAAAGAAAUAAUACCCCUUACAGUUACAACAAAUAAUAUCCAUUACCGUAAAAGAAACUGGAUAUAGGAAAAUAAAGUUAGCAGACUUCUCUUCUUCUUUCUCUCUAUAAUUUUCUCUCUUUAAAGUUUCAGUGAAUUCGUAAGAAAUAAUGAAGGAAUGAACUUCUAUUUAUAGAAGAAUGGACUGCAUAGUAACUAAUUCAUGAACGGUCCAGAUUGAUUUACUUUUAAUCGAACGAUCCAUAAUUAAAGCAAAGUUUUUUAAAUAAAAUAUAAUAUAUUAUAUAUAUAACAUGUGCAAGAAAAGAAAAAUCACGGGUGGAAGACCCGUGAAUUCAUCUUACUCCCUCUGUCCAUUUUUUCAAACUUACAUAUAUAUAAUAUAAUAUAAUAUAAUAUACAUAAUAAUACUCCUCCCGUCCAUUUCAUCCAUACCCCCCCACCCAAGACUUUUCAUCACAUAUAUAAUAUAAAACAUAUAUAUAUAUAUAUAUAUAUAUAUAUAUAUAAUACUCCCACUAACUUUUCCUUCAACCAACCCGUGACAAACAUAACAUUUCACCCAAGACUUUCCUCCACAAAUGGGCCCCACCCGUGGCCCUCCUAAAAUAACUUCUAUCGAUUAUUUUGAAAACUGGAUAAAUAGGGAUCCAUAAAAUACGUCAAAAUUCACAACAAUUACUAUAACAAUAAUUGAACAAAACUGAGUAGUUCAACAGUAUUAACGGUAAAACUUCCGCCGUUACUUUCAAUAAAAUAUUUUUGUCGUUUUCUCAAUCCGACAAUAAUUCUGUUGUGGGGUCCACCAAUGAUUGUACCGUCGUACGGAUAUUCCCUGACAAAAAGAAUAUUUCCCGACCAAUCGAAUAUAAUAUGACAACUUGCAUACUUUGCAAAAUUUAUAAAUAUUACCCACAAUUAUAAUAUUAUAUCAAAUUAUUCCAUAAUAUUCAAAAAUGAUAUUUAUUGAAAAUUCAUUUUUAUUCAUAAAAGUUGGGGUCUUACAGUAGUUAAAUUCUUAUUUUUGACAUUUUUCAAAUAUUUCAUCCAUGCUUUUACAAUAGACAUCUUUCACUUUGAUGGCGUUUGACAUGCUUACAACAAGUAAUAGAAAUCAUUUUACAGUCAUUAUUUGCAUUAAUCAAGCAUGUUAGUCACAUAGUCAAGUCGUAGUUUCAAUGGUAAUGAAUAGAUUUCUUAUAUGUAAUACAUUUUUCAAAUAUCUCAUCCAUGCUUUUAUCAUCACCAUUUUUCUCUUUGAUGGGGUGUAGUAUGAUAAUAACAUGCAACCAUACAUAUGUAUAGUUACACCAUAUUAAGAACUUAGUUACAUGAAGUUUUCAUGCUUUGCUUAGAGACUUCUAGCAUACAAGGUGCUUUUGUAACUUAUUUUAUGCCUUUGAAAAUAUUCACAACUUGGUUGAGUAAUUUAUAGUUCUUAUAACACUUUUUAGCUUUAUUCUUGUAUACAAAAGUGUAUCAUUCUUGAUUUUCCUCUCUUUCCCAAAAUAGUCCUAACAUGAUCUAUUUGGGGCAAUCAAGCUAGCUUCUCUUGACCAUUUGGGCUUAGUCAGGCUUGGGGUAGCCUAGAUUGGCCUUGCAGUCCCAAUUGGCCUCUAUCUAUGGCAUGAUUUUAUUAAUACCCUCUUCUAUUAAGGUUUACUCUCACCUAUAUCACCAUUUGAUUCUGUUAUUUAUAGGUGAGGAUUUCUUUGAACUGCUACAUGUUUGCUACUUACUUGAUUUUGUUUUCUUUCCGUUUGUAGCUAACUACUCACUAGUAGCAGCUCUCUACUUUAGAUACUAAAUUUACUAGCUUUUAAUCUCCCACUAAACUUUUGGGUCAGCAGCUAGGGGACACAACUCCCUAAUAAUAGAGCAUAUUGGUUAAUUAUCUUAAGCAAUAUAGUUGUAUUGUCUGAAGGUCUAAAGGACAAGUUCAUUACCCAGCUCAGCUACUGUUGCUAUUAGUUGUUAUUUUUCAGUAAUAGAUUGACAGUCUUCAAACUUACCAUGUUUCUUCUUUAAUAACUUUUGUCUAGAAAAUUUCUAUUGCACUAUGUGCACCUUUGAAUACUUGCUUAAAUAAGUAACAAUUACACUCUAUUUAAUUCUGCAGUUUGCAUUUCAAAUCCAAACUACGUUGCCUAUAGCAGUUUAUUGAGGAUGUUUAUUAUUGCCUUAUAGCAACAACCCCCCCUAUUUUGUAAAAUUUCCCAAAUCACAAUUUUAGAUUAACCUAGACUGCCCAAAACCAUUUUAGUAAUGGCUCAUAGCUACAGUUUUAAGCCAACUGUUGCUGCUCCUAGGUAGCAGCUACAUUUGAUUUUGUUUCAUGCCUUGAACUCUCCCUAAUUUUGGUUUACUUGCACUUUAUUUGAAAGUUAUAUAACUAACAUUUUCAACUAAUAGGGAAACUUUAAAUCAAUAGUGAAAUUAUAAUCUAUAUGAUCCAACAUGUUAGCUAAACUGACCCUAGCGAGUCCAGAACAAUGGUCUACAGUCUUCUUUUGUUUUUCUAUGCCAGCAACCAAGCUUGGCUUGGCCCUGUAAGGCUGAUCACCUAAGCUUGGUGUGGCCCUGCUUGGCCUCACGGUCCCUAAGUCAAAUCCAAAGUUGUUAUAGCAGCUGCUAUCUUGGCAACUGCUGCCAUCAAGGAAUAACAGCCCUGCCACUCUUCUUUAAUUCUUAUACUUGCAAACCCCAGAGGAAUGUUUAUACACUAACUUCAACCAUACAUCCUAGUUAGCUCUUAUAAAGUUAUAUUAAUUUGUUAAACAGACUGCCCAAAACUGCUUUAGCAGUCAUUCACUUGUCGACUGUCGCUGCUUGUUUCUAUAACCAGUAGGCAGCCGUCCCAAGUCUUAUGCCACUAAAAGCUUUUACCUCUUAGAUUGAUAUGAAAUCUUGGCAUGUUAUAGGUGAUUCAAAUUCUGAUUAUUUUUAGCUACCAACUAGACUAGGAGAAAAGCUUGCUAGUGCCACUAAAGGUUAAUAUUUCUGCUGCUGCGACAUGCUUUUUGCUGCUGCUUGCAGCUAAUUGCUGCUGCCAAUGGGCAGCUGCGCCCCUUACUUCAGGCCAUUUUUGGCUUCACAUCAAUUAGCCUAUUCACAACCCACUUUCAUUGAUCAAUAAAUGGUACACCUGCCUUCUAAGCUAACUUAGCAACUGUGGCCCAAAUGUACUAUAUGUAAAUCAAAAUGGUGUGCUAACCUUCCUGCUCGGCUCUGCAGAGCAGUGCAGCACAACGCUGGGCGUUUACUGCCAAUGCCUGCAGUAGCCUCAGCUAGCUUUGCCCAAGCUCAAACAUUUUUUUUUCUUAAAAUUUGUUUUUCUUUCCAUUAAUAUGUCAAAACAUAUUUCCUAAUCUUAUAUAAGACGUCCAUAUAUAACCCCAACUUUAAUUCCCUCUAGAAUUCUCUUUUUAGCCAAAACAGUCCACUUGGGACUUUUAACAAAUAUAUGGUGUGCACAGUUUUAAUUUACUCUUUCCAUAGCCAUUUACUUGUGUUAUAAUCUCAUGUUAGCCUCCUUAUUACUCCACAGCCACCUAUCUCCUUGUGCCUAAAUUACAUACAUCUAGCAUGCUAGUGAAUAACCUUUACAACAAUAAAAAAGUAAAAUAAAUGCUAUGUGACUUUACCAGGCCAUUCGGCCAUAACAGUCCAUCACAACUUGCACGAAAUAGUGUUAAACAAGAUAGUUUAUUACUUGAUAACUUUUCCUUAAAAGUUUGAUAUCACAACUUUUACAGAAGAUUACAAUUACCCAUGACAAGUAUAAUUUACUAACACAUCUACAUUACAACAUUAAUAAUACUAACAAUAUAGCAGCCCCUUCUUUUUUCUUUUCAGGCCAUUCGGCCACUGUAGAUUACUAGCAGCAAGAAACUAAAGUGGAAAAGGAUUGGAAAUCUUACCUUAUUGAUUCGAAGGAAACAAAGAAGUUAUACUGCCCAGCUUCUCCACCUACUCUUAGCCGAACUCUUCCACCCUCUCUCUAUAUGACCGAAUUGCUAUAGCUAUUUUGUCUCUACUAAGUGAUGAAGCUAAACUAGUUAAUAAGCUUGGCCCCUUUUUUAUGGCUGAGCUUGGUUCCUUCUACUGUUAACUGCAUCACCUCCUAGUUGGCCCCUACACAGUCAUCAUUCCUAACCUAGCUUCACAGCCACCCUAGCAGACUCUACUUACCUGCUAAGCCUUAUCUUCUGCAAGCUUAUCUAACAUAUUCUUUGUCUGUUAUACAAACUAACCUACCUGUUAACUAGAACCAACUUAGAAACCAUAUGCUUACAGCCUGACUAUGUACUCACGUUAUGCCACUGCUUUUCUUAUUUAGUCUGAAACAGUUAGCUUGUUAUACACCACUGGGUUUACAGGAUUGGUUUAGGUAGGAGUUUGAUAAAUACUUAAUUUGGGCUUAAACCAAUCCUCAAUGGUGGCUGCCGAAAUUGGGCUAGAAAAUGAGUUAGAAUUGGCUUUAUAUUAGACCCAAUACCAUAACCCUUAUUCCUACAUUAAUUAAAGGAGACUUGCAAACAUACAAUUGCAAAAAUUUAUUAUGGCCUAAUAUUUUAAUAUGGACUCUUGUUAAAUUAACACAUGGACUUUUAUAUAUUAUUUUCUCUAGCAACAAUAGUUAACACAUAUAUCAUUAAAAUGUCUAUUCCAUGUAAUCUUAAAUAAUUCAUGGUGGUACAAUAUUUCUUUAUCCUUCAUAAUUUAAGAUGUUUAAUAACCUAUUAAAUAAAUAAUAGUUUUGUCACAAUGAGAAAUAACAUAAUUAAAAUAAAAUAAAAAAUAUACUCACAAAUUGACAUUAUAAUAAUUAAAUAUUACAUAGGAUUUUUUGAGUCAUUACAUACGCGAUAACUCUGCCGUUCUGCAAAAGCACACAGCCUUGUCCUUUAUGCGAUGCAUCAUUGUAUACCACAAAAUUCCCUGUAUCAUCAGGCAAUGACAACACAGGUGUUGAACUCAACCUUUUCAUUAAUUCUUGAAAACUUUCCUCCCACUUCUCUGUCCAAACAAACUUAACCGUUUUCUAGUUAAAUUCGUCAACGGAGUUGCGAUCUUGAAAAAGUCUUGAAUGAAACGCCUAUAGUAACCCGCCAAUCCUAAGAAACUCCUUACUUCUGACGGUAUCUUCGGCUGAUCCCAGUUUAUUACAGCUUCAACCUUUGAUGGAUCUACCGAAAUUUCGUCCUUAUCAAUAACGUGUCCGAGAAACUGUACACGUUCCAACCAAAACUCACAUUUUGAAAAUUUUGCGUACAACUUUUCUUUUUUCAACGUCUCUAACGUCAAUCUCAAGUGUUCAACAUGUUCCUCUUUGGUCUUGGAAUAUACCAAUAUAUCAUCGAAUCAAAUCCAUGAUAUAUUGGUAUGAACAGGGUGUUUAUAUCAUUUGUCUAAGAAUGGUUUAAACACCUUGUUCAUCAAAUCCAUGAACGCUGCAGGUGCAUUGGUUAAACCAAAAGACAUAACCAGAAACUCAUAAUGACCAUACCGAGUUCUGAACGCUAUUUUUGGUACAUCCUCUGGCCUCACCUUUAACUGAUGAUAACCACUCCUCAAGUCUAUCUUUGAGAAAUAGCUUGUUCCCUUCAGUUGAUCGAACAUGUCAUCGAUUCUAGGUAAUGGAUACUUAUCUUUAAUCGUGAUCUUAUUCAAUUCUCGAUAGCAAUGCAGAGCCGUAUCGAUCCAUCUUUCUUCUUAACAAACAACAUCGGCGCUCCCCAUGGCGACACACUCAGUUGAAUAUACUUUUUGUCGAGUAAUUCUUGCAAUUAUACCAUCAACUCCUUCAUCUCUACUGGGGCCAUUCUAUAUGGUGCAUUAGAUAUCGGGGUCGUUCCUGGUAAUAAGUCAAUUACGAACUCGAUUUGUAGAUCCGGCGGAAGACUCGGCAAAUCGUCUGGAAAUACGUCUGCAAAAUCUCUUAUGAUUGGUAUCUCUUCUAACUUCGCACUCUUCUUUUGUGUAUCGACUAUGUAGGCUAAGUAUCCUACACAUUCUUGUCUCAACAACUUCUUGGCUUGCAUCACCGUUAGACAACUUGCUUGUCGAGGUGACUUGCUGCCGUAGAACACAACCUUUGAUGGAGUCAUAAGGUUAACACAUUUCCUUUCGCAAUCAAUUACUGCUCCGUAAUUGAAUAACCAAUCCAUUCCCAGUAUAACAUCAAACUCACAAAGUCUAAUUGGUAUCAAAUCUACCAUCAUCUCGUGACCUUUUAUAACCACCCUACAAUUCCUAUAUAUAAAUCUAACAGGAAUCACUUCCUUAUUCGCAAUCUCUAUGCUUAAGGGAAAUUCUAAUUCUUCCUGAGGCAAAUCUAAAUUUUGAGCAAAUUCAUUGGAUAUAAAUGAAUAAGUAGCACCCGAAUCAAAUAGUACAUAAGCAUUAAUACCAUUAAUCUAAAUGAUACCUGAGACCACAUCCUUAGACUAUAUAACAUCCUGCACGGUCAUAUUAAAAGUCCUCGCAGUAGGUCGACUUUGUGACGCCCCCAAAAUUAGGUAUACAUCACCCAUCUUGGGUCGCCACUUACAUGGUACAAAAUACAAAUACAACUUAAUUAUACAACAGUCGUGUAAGCUACGACAAAAUAUAAACAAUGAGUUUUAACUCGAAUAUUGUCAUCUAGACAUUAUUCAAACACAAAUAAGUCCUCAAUACAUUUAUUGUCACACUAUUUAACAAAAUAGUGAGGACUACUAAUGCUAUCAUCUGGACUGUCACUCCGUUCCCCGACUCGUCCCCGUUACGUUCUCAAUUCCUGAAGAGAAUAGUGAAAGAAAGGGUGAGCUCAACUAGCCCAACAAGAAAUAUUAUGACUAAGAUAAUGCAGAAUAAAUUAUCAUUAGUCUCCAACAAUGUUAAACUGAUAAAAUACAAUAGACAUCAAGUUUAACUGCAGCGGAACAAGCAAUCCAUUAAAAGAGUCAAGUAGAGAAUAAAACCUACUAUNNNNNNNNNNNNNNNNNNNNNNNNNNNNNNNNNNNNNNNNNNNNNNNNNNNNNNNNNNNNNNNNNNNNNNNNNNNNNNNNNNNNNNNNNNNNNNNNNNNNNNNNNNNNNNNNNNNNNNNNNNNNNNNNNNNNNNNNNNNNNNNNNNNNNNNNNNNNNNNNNNNNNNNNNNNNNNNNNNNNNNNNNNNNNNNNNNNNNNNNNNNNNNNNNNNNNNNNNNNNNNNNNNNNNNNNNNNNNNNNNNNNNNNNNNNNNNNNNNNNNNNNNNNNAAUAAUUAAAACGGAACCAGGUCCGGCGUAUAGCACAGACAGGAUAUUCCAACAGAAUAACUGAAUAAUUAAAACGGAACCAGGUCCGGCGUAGCACAGACAGGAUAUUCUAACAGAAUAACCGAAUAAUUAAAACGGAACCAGGUCCGGCGUAUAGCACAGACAGGAUAUUCCAACAAAAUAACUGAAUAAUUAAAACGGAACCAGGUCCGACGUAUAGCACAGACAGGAUAUUCCAACAGAAUAAUAAAGACAGAAUAAUAGAAGAAUGUCACCAAGUAUAGGGUUGCCCGCGUAUACAGGUUAUUCCAACAGAAUAAUAAAGAAAUGGAAUAACAGAAGUUCUCUUCUUGAAUACAAAAGAAUAAUAUUCCUUACCAGAAAAGAACUUAAUAUAAGAGUAGUUUCAGUAGCAGAAUACUUUUCUUCUUUCUCUCUUACAAUUUAUCUCUCUAGAGUUUCAAUGAAUUUGUAAGAAAAUAAUGAAGGAAUGAGCUUCUAUUUAUAGAAAAAUGGAAUGCAUAGUAACUAAUUCAUGAACGGUCCAGAUUGAUUUACUUUUAAUCGGACGGUCCAUAAAAUAUAUUAUAUAUAUAUAAUAUAUAUAUAUAUAUAUAAUAACAAUAAUACUCCCUCCGUAUAAACCAAAAAAAUAAUUUGACAACUUUGAAAAAAACUCCCAACCUUUCAAUUUUCAAUACCGUGGGCCCCACAUGUUCCCCUCCCCCCAACAUGUCAAUAUCACAAGGGUCUCAUUAUAUGUAAAUAACUUUCUAUCAAUAAUAUUGAAAAAUAGGUAAAUGGGGGUCUAAAUAAUACGCCAAAUUUACAACAACUACCUCAUAAAAAUCCCUUCAAUAUUUUUAACAAUAUUUAUCAUCUUUAUUACAAUUCACAAUAUUAAUCGACCAGGUCGUUCCCAGGAUAGAGGGGGCUUUCCAAUAAGGAUUUCUCUCUAUUGGCGCGCAAUUAGAUUAUCUAACCUCUCCUUGACAGAACUUCUAGACAUCGUUAAUAUUGCAAAUAAUAACAUUAAUAACUUUGUCGUCUCAAUUAUUGAUUUAAUAAUAUAAAGAAUAUCAACAAUAAUUGAAUCAAAUAACGUGAGAUACUAUGCAACAAUUACUAUAACAAUAAUUGAAUAAAACUGAAUGACUUCUCACGUAAGCAUAAAUAAUCAAUACCGUGUGCUACUAUGCAACCACGCGUAUUACUGUACUUUUACUACUGAGUAGUUCAACAGUAUCAACGGUAAAACUUCCGUCGUUAUUUUCAUAAAAAUAUUUUUGUCGUUUUCUCAAUCCGACAAUAAUUCUGUUGUGGGGUCCACUAAUGAUUGCGCCGUUGUACGAAUAUUUCCUGCUAAAACGAAUAUUCCCCAACCAAUCGAAUAUAAUAUAGCAACUUGCAUACUUUGCAAAACUUAUAAAUACUACCUUCAACUAUAACAUUAUAUUAAAUUUAUUGCAUAAUAUUCAAAAAUGAUAAUUAUAGAAAAUUUAUCUUUAUUCAAAAAGUUGGGGUCUUACAACCCCCCCUUCUUAAGAAAUUUCGCCCUCGAAAUUAGGGUACGUACCUGGUAUAUCGAAGAGGUAAGGAUACCUUGAUUUCAUUUUAGAUUCUAACUCCCAGGUCAUUUCCUCAACAUCGUGGUUUCUCCACAAAACUUUGACUUGAGGUAUAACCUUGGAGCGUAAAAUAUGUUCCUUGUUAUCCAAGAUUUGAACAGGAACCUCUUUAUACGUUAAAUCUUCCGCUAUUUCGUCUGGUUCUAGCUCAAUAAUGUGGUUCGGGUCUUCCACAUAUUUACGUAACAUGGAUAUGUGAAAAAUGUUAUGAACACCAGACAUACUAGGCGGUAAAGCGAGUCUAUAGGCCACAGUUCCUACUCGAUUGAGGAUUAAAAAUGGGCCAAUGAAUCGAGGAUUGAGCUUUCUUAUCUUUCCAAAUCUCGUAACACCUUUCCAUGGAGCAACAUGUAACAACACAUGAUCUCCAAUAUCGAAUUCCACGUCCUUUCGAUGAAGAUCAGCAUAACUCUUUUGUCGAUCUUGUGAGGUUUUUAUACGUUGUCGAAUCGUUUGAAUCUUUUCCGUAGUCAUACGUACCAACUCCGGUCCCAACAACGUUGCUUCACCCACCUCAUCCCAGCAUACUGGAGAACAACACUUUCUCCCAUACAACGCCUCAAAUGGAGCCAUGCCAAUACUUGCUUGAUAACUAUUGUUAUAGGAAAACUCCACCAAUGAUAAGAACUUAUCCCAACUUCCAUUGAAGUUAAGGACACAGAGUCUUAAUAAAUCUUCUAGAGUUUGAAUAGUCCUCUCUGAUUGUCCGUCCGUCUGAGGAUGAUAUGCUGAACUAAAUCGUAAAUCUGUGCCCAUAGCUUUUUGCAAACUAACCCAAAAUCAUGAAGUGAAUCUUGGGUCUCGAUCAGAAACUAUGGAUACUGGCAUACCAUGCAGUCUUACAAUCUCGUUUAUGUACAUACGAGCAAGACGUUCAAGUGUAUAAGUUUCUCGUAUAGGUAAGAAAUGAGCAGACUUGGUCAAUCUAUCAACAAUGACCCAAAUUGCAUCUAUGCCUUGAGAAACCUUGGGAAGACCAGUAACGAAAUCCAUGGUAAUGUGCUCCCACUUCCAUUCUGGAAUUUCAAGUGGUUGCAAUGGACCUUUUGGUACUUGAUGCUCCGCCUUGACUCGUUGACAAGUUAGACACCUUGAGAUAAACACCGCUAUCUCUCUCUUCAUAUUGCUCCACCAAAAUGUAUGUCGAAGAUCAUGAUACAUUUUGGUACUCCCAGGAUGGAUUGCAAACGGUGUGUUGUGCGCCUCCAUCAUGAUUUUAUACUUUAAAUCAGGGUCGUUAGGAACACAAAGUCUGGAGUUGACUCGAAGUAUUCCUUCUUCAUCGAUUCUUGCUUCCGACAUAACACCUUCUUGCACUUUCUUCCUCAUACGCAUCAGCUCCAGGUUUGUAGUUUGAGCAGCUUUAACUUUAUCAAUUAAAGUCGAUUAUACUCGUAUGUUCGCCAUCAUCACAUGGGUCCCUGGAGUCUUUAACUCCAUCUCCAUCCUUUGCAAGUCAUACAAAAUGGGCCUUUGUGUUGACAAUAUUGCACUCGUACCCACAUAUGAUCUUCUACUCAAUGCGUCAGCUACCACGUUCGUUUUUCUAGGAUGGUAUUGGAUGGUAUGAUCAUAAUCUUUCAACAGUUCAAGCCAACGUCGUUGUCGCAUGUUGAGUUCCUUUUGAGUGAAGAAAUAUUUAAGGCUUUUAUGAUCCGUAAAGAUCUCCACUUUCUCCCCAUACAAGUAAUGCCUCCAAAUCUUUAGUGCGAAGANNNNNNNNNNNNNNNNNNNNNNNNNNNNNNNNNNNNNNNNNNNNNNNNNNNNNNNNNNNNNNNNNNNNNNNNNNNNNNNNNNNNNNNNNNNNNNNNNNNNNNNNNNNNNNNNNNNNNNNNNNNNNNNNNNNNNNNNNNNNNNNNNNNNNNNNNNNNNNNNNNNNNNNNNNNNNNNNNNNNNNNNNNNNNNNNNNNNNNNNNNNNNNNNNNNNNNNNNNNNNNNNNNNNNNNNNNNNNNNNNNNNNNNNNNNNNNNNNNNNNNNNNNNNNNNNNNNNNNNNNNNNNNNNNNNNNNNNNNNNNNNNNNNNNNNNNNNNNNNNNNNNNNNNNNNNNNNNNNNNNNNNNNNNNNNNNNNNNNNNNNNNNNNNNNNNNNNNNNNNNNNNNNNNNNNNNNNNNNNNNNNNNNNNNNNNNNNNNNNNNNNNNNNNNNNNNNNNNNNNNNNNNNNNNNNNNNNNNNNNNNNNNNNNNNNNNNNNNNNNNNNNNNNNNNNNNNNNNNNNNNNNNNNNNNNNNNNNNNNNNNNNNNNNNNNNNNNNNNNNNNNNNNNNNNNNNNNNNNNNNNNNNNNNNNNNNNNNNNNNNNNNNNNNNNNNNNNNNNNNNNNNNNNNNNNNNNNNNNNNNNNNNNNNNNNNNNNNNNNNNNNNNNNNNNNNNNNNNNNNNNNNNNNNNNNNNNNNNNNNNNNNNNNNNNNNNNNNNNNNNNNNNUCAAAAUCCAAUUUCUCCGGAGUCAAAUUUAAACGUUGAGCGCAAGUAGGAGAAAUGAAAGAGUGGGUAGAACCAGUAUCAAAUAAAGUAUAAACUUCGCUAGAGUUUAUGAUAAGCUUACCCGUGAUGACCUCGUUCGGGUUCUUUACUUUUUGGGAGGUUACAACAAAUGCUCUUCCUUGCACUACCGACUUUGACUUUUCUGGGAUGGCCUUUGGUGACUCUAUCCUAACUGAACUUGUCUUCGGUGCACGACAAAAUCGAGCCAGGUGACCUUCUCUUCCACAGUUGUAACAUGCUUUGGAUGGCAUCGCACAGUUGGGACUGAUGUGUCCCUCUCCUCCACACUUGAAACAUAUGAUAGGUGGUCGUUCCCCUUCCUUAACGACAGGUGCUGAUGUUGACGUCUUUCCAUCAUUGUUGAAUCUCCUCUUUUUGAAAUGUCCAUUUUUAUUGUUUUGGCCAUGAUUACCACCGAAGUGGUUACCAUUUCUGGCCUUUUGAUUUCCUCCACGCUUGUUGUCACCGCUUUGAUGACUGUUCUCACUGGUAUUAUCAUUUUAUUGGCUGCUCUCUUUUGGUUGGCUUAACUCGUUAUCACGCUCCAAUAACUGAGCCCUAUUAACAACAUCCGAAUACAAACACAGUUUAUGAGAGAUAAGAUAUUGACGUAUCUCAGGUUUCAAACCUCUUAAAAACAUUCGCGUCAUUCUCUCCUCAUUAUCAACCAAAUGGGACGCAAACUGGGACAACUCGGCAAACUUGGCUUUGUACUGCGAUACUGUCAUGUUGUUUUGUUCCAGCCUGAUGAACUCUACCUCUUUCAUGUGACGAAUACUUUUGGGAAAGUACUUGUCGUUGAACAAUUCUUUGAACUUCUCCCAAGUCAUCUUCAGUGCGGCAGGUUGAGUACGCUUUACAGAUUCCCACCAGUAAUCUGCCUCUCCUCGCAACAUGAAGGUGGCAAAGGAAAUCUUUUGUUCCUCGGAGCAUCCCAAGACAUCAAAUAUCUUGGUAAUCUACUUUAUCCAUGUCUCCGCCUUAAGUGGUUUUGGUUCUCCAAUAAACUUCGGUGGUCCCAGCUCCUUGAACUGUUUGGCGGUGACCAUCCGAGAGUUGCUAGUGUUUUCACCUGCAUUUUGGACAGGAGCCGCUCCUGCCUGAUGUUGUAUGAAUUGCAUGAAUCCUCGAAACAUUUUGUUGUUCAAUAUUUGGUCAGUGUUGUUGUUUGCAUGAGGAUUUUUGCCUUCCUGAUGCACAUUGUCCUGAUUGUUGAUCUGUGGAGACUCAACGGUCUCCUGUGCUCCAUUGAUGUUCUCAACGUUCUCGGAUGCCAUUUUCAAAUACUGCCACAAAACAAGAGUUAAUUAACACAUCACAUAUUAUCCCUAUACUCUAACCAACCAAUUAAAUAACAAAUAAACUUAGGUAGGUCAUACUAGCGAAGGAAUUCCCCGUCUCUCCCCUCCUAGUUCUUAUCUCACAUCUUAGCCAGGGAUCAUAUCCCUAACCUCUGAUACCAACUGUGACGCCCCCAAUAUUAGGUAUACAUCACCCAUCUUGGGUAGCCACUUAUAUGGUACAAAAUACAAAUACAACUUAAUUAUACAACAGUCGUGUAAGAUACGACAAAAUAUAAACAAUGAGUUUUAACUCGAAUAUUGUCAUCUAGACAGUAUUCAAACACAAAUAAGUCCUCAAUACAUUUAUUGUCACACUAUCUAACAGAAUAGUGAGGACUACUAAUGCUAUCAUCUGGACUGUCACUCCAUUCCCCGACUCAUCCCCGCUACGUUCUCAAUUCCUGAAGAGAACAGUGAAAGAAAGGGUGAGCUCGACUAGCCCAGUAAGAAAUAUUAUGACUGAGAUAAUGCAGAAUAAAUUAUCAUUAGUCUCCAACAAUGUUAAACUGAUAAAAUACAAUAGACAUCAAGUUUAACUGCAGCGGAACAAGCAAUCCAUUAAAAGAGUCAAGUAGAGAAUAAAAUCUACUAUCUUUUAUGAUUUAAAAGGUUUUUCAUCACUUUUAUCGCUGGGACUCAGCUUAAUAAAUAAUCCACAUCAUCGAAUCACCCCUGCACUACGGCCAAGGAUAUUCUUUAGUAUCACGACCACAAUUAUCCAUGCACUACGGGCCAAGAAUAUUUGUGUAUUCAUUAAUGGUCAUGAUCAUGCCAACAACUGUCCAUCAAUGCACUACGGGCCAAUGAGGACUUUUUCCACAUCAUUUGUAACAUUACGGUCAUGAUUACACCGAAUAAUCCCUGGUCAUAAUCAUACCAAGUCCAUCUAUGCACUACAGGCCACAGAUGACUUUCAACAAAAUAAUAACAUGAGGAUGAUGACAAUGAUAUAAGAAUUCAAUAAAAUAACUUUCAAGAAUUAAUUUGUCCAGGAAUCAAUAACGUCCAAAUUGUCAAUAAGAUAUUGUUUUGUGGUGUAAAUUAUUCAAGAAUGCUCAGAAGAAUAUUUUCAUGAAAAGAUAUUGGAUGAAGUGCAAAUAUCAAGGAUAUUCCAUUAAUUUCAUGGAGUAUAAAAGUCAAAAUUUUAACCAACUGAGUAUAAUAACGAAUGGAAUAACAAAAGAAAUCACCACGCAUGCGGUACUUCGCAUAGACAGGUUAUUCCAACAGAAUAAUAAUAACGGAACUAGGUCAGGUGAGAUUCACACCGACAGGAUGUUCCAACAGAAUAAUAAAUAAUUAAAACGGAACCAGGUUCGGCGUUUAGCACAGACAGGAUAUUCCAACAGAAUAACUGAAUAAUUAAAACGGAACCAGGUCUAGCGUAUAGCACAGACAGGAUAUUCCAAAAAAAUAACUAAAUAAUUAAAACGGAACCAGGUCCGGCGUAUAGCACAAACAGGAUAUUCAAACAAAAUAAUAAAGACAGAAAAAUUGAAGAAUGUCACCAAGUAUAGGGUUGCCCGCGUAUACAGGUUAUUCCAACAGAAUAAUAAAGAAAUGGAAUAACAGAAGUUCUCUUUUUGAAUACAAAAGAAUAAUAUUCCUUACCGUAAAAGAACUUAAUAUAAGAGUAGUUUCAGUAGUAGAAUAAUUUUCUUCUUUCUCUCUUACAGUUUAUCUCUCUAGAGUUUCAAUGAAUUCGUAAGAAAAUAAUGAAGGAAUGAGCUUCUAUUUAUAGAAAAAUGGAAUGCAUAGUAACUAACUGAUGAACGGUCCAGAUUGAUUUACUUUUAAUCGGACGGUCCAUAUUUAAAGUAAAAUCUUUUAAAUAAAAUAUAUUAUAUAUAUAUAUAUAUAUAUAAACAAUAAUACUCCCUCCGUAUAAACCAAAAAAAUAAUUUGACAACUUUGAAAAAAACUCCCAACCUUUCAAUUUUCAAUACCGUGGGCCCCACAUGUUCCCCUCCCCCAACAUGUCAAUAUCACAAGGGUCCCAUUAUAUUUAAAUAACUUUCUAUCAAUAAUGUUGAAAAAUAGGUAAAUGGGGGUCUAAAUAAUACGCCAAAUUUACAACAACUACCUCAUAAAAAUCUCUUCAAUAUUUUUAACAACAUUUAUCAUCUUUAUUAAAAUUCACAAUAUUAAUCGACCAGGUCGUUCCCAGGAUAGAGGGGAUUUUCCAAUAAGGAUUUCUCCCUAUUGGCGCGCAAUUAGAUUAUCUAACCUCUCCUUGACAGAACUUCUAGACAUCAUUAAUAUUGCAAAUAAUAACAUUAAUAACAUUGUCGUCUCAAUUAUUGAUUUAAUAAUAUAAAGAAUAUCAACAAUAAUUGAAUCAAAUAACGUGAGAUACUAUGCAACAAUUACUAUAACAAUAAUUGAAUAAAACUGAAUGACUUCUCAUGUAAGCAUCAAUAAUCAAUAUCGUGUGCUACUAUGCAACCACGCGUAUUACUGUACUUUUACUACCGAGUAGUUCAACAGUAUCAACCGUAAAACUUCCGCCGUUAUUUUCAUAAAAAUAUUUUUGUCGUUUUCUCAAUCCAACAAUAAUUCUGUUGUGGGUUCCACCAAUGAUUGCGUCGUUGUACGAAUAUUCCCCGCUAAAACGAAUAUUCUCCGACCAAUCGAAUAUAAUAUAGCAACUUGCAUACUUUACAAAACUUAUAAAUACUACCCACAACUAUAACAUUAUAUUAAAUUUAUUCCAUAAUAUUCAAAAAUGAUAAUUAUAGAAAAUUCAUCUUUAUUCAAAAAGUUGGGGUCUUACAGACUUGACUGUGCUGAUCCAGAGAUAGUUAAUGUACCACCAACGUUGUUGUUUCCUUUUCCACCACUUGCACUUCCUGCUGGCUUCUUAGGGCAAUCACGAGCCAUGUGAUCCUACGAACCGCAGGUAAAACAUGCUCCUUUAUUUGGACUAAAACAGUUCAGUGUAAUGUGUCCCUCCUGACCACAGUUGAAACACACCCGCUUUCCCUUCAAACAUACUCCAUUAUGAUUGUUUCCAUAAGUCGCAUAAGCUUCAAACUUUUUCUUCUGCUGAUUUCCUUGUUGUCCUCCCGCAGUCGAAUUUUCACUCCACUUCCUCUUCUGAUUGUUAUUUCCAACGUUACUUCCACCAGCCUUAUUUUCAUUCUCAGUCUUCCUCUUCUUAUAUUCUUGGUUGUACUUGGUCAAGGCAUCGCUUUCACCUUCUGCGAUAAUUGCCUUUUCCAGUAUAACCGCAAAUGUAUUUAACUGAAAUAUUGAAACCUUGCUAUACAGCCAGGGUUUCAAUCCAUGUUCGAACCUUAUCGCCUUUCGUUCAUCAGUAUUGACUUAAUAAGUGGCAAACCUUGCCAAUUCAUUAAACUUCGCAGCAUAUUCUGGCACCGUCAUAGUUCCUUGUUUCAGUUCCAGAAAUUGCAUUUCCAACUUAUUCUGAGAACUCGCUGGAAAGUACAUUUCAAAAAAUAUCUCCUUAAAUCUAUCCCACGCUAUCACUCCUUGUCCCCCACGAACCUUAUUUGCCUGCCACCAGUAGCUAGCUUCAGACUUCAGCAUGAACGUUGUGAACGCAGUCUUCUGAUCCUCGUUGACUCUAGAAACGUUGAACACUUUCUCCAUUUCCAUGAUCUAGGUUUGGGCUUCUACUGGAUUCAUAGACCCUUGAAACUCUGGCGGUCCAACCGCUUUGAAUUCCUUAAAGGUCAUGACUUGAGCUUGCGGUUGAUUCGCAAGUGCACCUGUUAACAAGGUUACCAACUGCUGAACCGGGUUAGCAUUGGCCUCGUUAUUAUUUUUAGUAGACCCCUCAGGAGGUGGUUGUUGACGUGUUUUUCUUCUUCUAGGAGGCAUUUUCUGUUAAGAUAUACGCUCAUUAGUUCAUUACUCAACUUCUUGAUUAUUUGAAGUUUAACUUAAAUAUUCUAAGAUUAAAGUUAUAACACAUAACAUUUCAAAUAAACUCUGGUAUUUUAUUCAUUCAUAAUGUUUUAAAACAUAUUAAAGAUAGCAUAACCGCUAUUAACAUUCACUUUCCUGAACUAAGCAAGUUUUAGGAUUACAUAUUCAUACUACCCCUUUAUUUAUCUCAAAAUAAGGGAUUCACAGUUUAUAUACUCACUUACUUAACCACGUAUUAUUAUUCUCAUUCUUUCUAUCUAGACAUAUUAAGAUGUCGUAAGGCUUCUCUAUGUUCUUCCUCCAUAAUUCGAUACAUCGUUCUACGAUCCAUCAUGAACUACAACGAAUCUUCAAAUUGAGGUGGAUAAUAAAAGACUCGAUCCUGGGCCCUAUCAAUUGCAGAAUUAAAGGCAUAAUCCAUCCCAUUCAUCUUGGCCUUCUUCACUUGAACUUUAUCCUCGGCACGGUCUGCACGUUAAGUCACCUUUAUCCAAGCGUCCUCUGCUCUCGUACGUUUAGUUGAAUCCUCUUUCAAGUCAUCUUUUAACUUCUCCACAUCAGUCUUCAUCUUCUUGUUCACUGCCAACAAAUCUUCAUGCUGACCCUUGGUAUGAAAUAGGUCCCACUCCGUGUUUCCAAGUCUUGAGUCGAGUUCUUGAAUCUCCGCAUCCUUCUGCUCUAUCGUAGCGUGAUGCAUCUCAACCAACUCCUUCAGCUCCUGAACUUUGUCUUGUAAUUCUAUGUUACGAUCGUACAGAGCAUCAUACAUCUCAGCUGAUAUGGAGCUUUGUGGAAACGCCACAGGAUCCUCUUCCUCAUCAUCCAACUCUAUCUCUUCAGAACUAUCCUCCUCGGGAUCGGUCACAGGUUCAUCCUCCUGGAUCAACUGUUCACGCAUAACAUGAAUAUCCCGGGGUUCCUCAUCUCUAGGUAUCUGAGGUAUUACUUCCCUAGCUGGAAUGGAUCCUCCUUCAUUAGACAUCCUAACAACAAAAUAUUUUAAGUUUACUUAACAUUUUUCGAUACUCGCGAGCACAUAAGUUAUUACACAUAGCACAUAAUGUCUUUUAUUAUUUAUCUUCAAUGGAUAGCUUAAUCCAUUCAUUAAAACUCGAUAAGAGUUAGACACCUCUAUAUUUUCUGUCUUCUUAAAGGUUACUUCCUAAGGUUUCCCCACCUAAGGUUCAUAACCUAAAGCUCUGAUACCAACAUGUGACACCCCCAAAUCUGGGUAUUCCUUUUCCACAGGAUUUGGUGCUCACUAUCCAAAACCAUUACAUCUAACUACCCAUAACAAAGGAUAAAGACAUAAUUUAAAUAACUUAACAAUAAUCUUCCCAUUAAAGGGUUACAUCGUCAUAAAACAAUCCCAAAUAAUUUAAUCUUAAAUUAUUACAUAAGUUUGCGGAAUACAUCAUAAAAUAAAACAAGUCUUAUAACAUAAACAUUUAAAUAAACUUUCAUAAAUCUUCAACACUUGGACAUCUUUCCCUUUUCUUUGCUAGUAGAUGGCUCAUCGACUUUCUCAACUUUAGCUGCAGUGUUAAAUGCAAGAGUGAGCAAACAAUUGCUCACUGAUAUAGAGAGUAGUAAUGAUAACAACAUAAGAUUAAACAACGAAUGCUGAACAAUAAUGAAAUUGUUCUAUGAAUAAAAAAUAGAAAACAAGUUCAAAUUUAAUAUCUGAGGGUCUUAAGACCACGAACUAUGUCCCCGAUAUUUAGGUAUUAUUACCCAACCUUAACAGUCAUUUAGACUAUACAAACCCUUCUUAACGUACUUAGGGGGAUCAGCCCUUUGUACCAUGUAUUGUGCACAAACAUCUAAACGUUACACGUACAAAAUCCCCUAUGUUAGGGUUGUUCGUCUCAGCUUGAAUUUAGAAUUUCUGCACUAAAGAGAGUUUAGCUCGGAACUAACUUAUCAAUGGUUCUAGAAUUUUAGAACACUACUCAAUUAUAGACUAAUUCAAUCAAUAAGAGUUUGCUUGCUACUUGAAGAUUUAAUAUAACAAAAAUAGAAUUGAACAAGGCUAUCAAAGUCAAAGAUCGAAUAUCAACAAUAUACAGUUGAGCACUACAACAAAAAAGCUUAUCAGCGACCGCCUAUCAGCGACCGCCUGUGGUCGCUGAUAUCUAUCUGCGACCGUCUACUCGAGUAAACAUGAUAUACAUGCAAAGUACUAUAUCCAAAAGAGUUAGAAUAAUCUCCUUUGAAUCAAUGUAUUAGAACAAUAUAUUCUUUUGAAUAACAAUAUCAAGAUUUAGGAAAGUGAAACUCGCUCAAUGUAACAAACUAGAUUACAAGAGAUUGUACGAUACACGAGAUAGAAUCAAUAGGCUUGCUGAACUUUAAUGUAAAAUUUAGAAUUAGAAAGCUUGUUUGACAUAAAAGAUAACAUAGCUAUGAAACUUGCAUUCAUUAAUAAAAGAAUGAAGUUAGAAAACUUGCUCAAUAAAAGUUUAGGAUAAGAAACUUGCCUUGUAUGUAAGCUACACAAGUGUAAUAAUGUUCGCCAAUUACCCUACACAUAUCAUUGGAAUCGCAAUAACAAUUAGUUGUAUUAUUAUUAGCUUUAAGGGUUUAAACCACCAUUUAGGUCAUAACCUUAACUUAACAUCUAACCAUGUUGGUUAACACCUUUAACAAAUCUAAAAUCCCUCUAUAAACUAACAUAAACUUUAUCAUUCAUUUCUUACUUUCAUAAACAUUAUUUUUUUAUUCAUUACAUAACUUAAUUAAAUAAUCACUUAAAAUCUUCAUACUUUAUAUUACAUCACGUUGAAAUAUGUUAUUGUAGUUCACGUUAACAUGUAUGCCAAACUAGAUUAAGUCCAUUAAUCAUAACCUAUAAAUAAGCAGAAGUCAUUGCCUAGGCUCAGGGCACGGCGCAGCUGCGCUGUCCCAAGCCUUGGCAUCGGCACAGCUGCGCCGUACACGGACAGGAACUGCAGCAGCAGCUCUGUUACACAGCACACACCAAAACUCAAUCAAAUUUCACAGAAAUCAUAAAACUCAACAUCUAAAACUUUGUGAUAACAUUAAUAAUGAUGUUAUUCAUCAUUCUCACUACCUAAACAUUAUAUAUAUUAAAUUUUAAAAGAUCAAAACCCCAAUUUUUCCAAUUUCAUCAUUUUUUUACGCUUUUAGCGAAUUCGAUUGCUACGAAUUCAUUUCUUAAUCAAUUGACACAAUUCAAACUACGUUGUUUUCGUUUCUUAACAUACUAACACAUUCUAACAUCAAAUUACAGAUUAUAGCAAGUAUUGAUCAUGAAAUUUCGUACUUUCUAAAGCCAUUUUUCAAAAAUAAACACUAUUAUUAUAACUUCUUCCUUACAAAGCCAAUUCUCACAUGUUUGGAAAUCAAAUAGCACUCACAUAUAAUGAUUAACAGAUUAUAAACCAUAUAUACAUGUAUUUGUAUUAAUCCAUCGUAAUUAUCAAUAGAAAUUUCAAACAUAAAAGUUAGAAUUAGAGUUAUACCUUACUCCUUUGAUUGUUUGCUAGCAAAAAGAUGGUGACUAGGUUUAGAAAUCCCUCUCCUUGACAAUCAUAAAGAAUUCAAACUCACUGUGUUUUCCUCUCUUGCUCUCUCUCCAAGCUCUCUGUUCUUCACUAAUAUCUAGCCUUAGGGAAAGGAAUAAUACGCGUAAAAAAAUAUACUAACUCCCACUUUCCCCACUAAUGUCAGGUCACAAACCCAAAAGUUUGUGUCAGUUAGAAAUAAGCCAAAGGCCACAGGGCCUUGUUUGGCUAACCACAAUUUCUCCUCUACUAGAUUAUUUUUAUAUUAUUUUUAUUAUAUAGUUUUUAUUUGUCACACUUGCCACCAAUUUAAAUAGCUUACAAUAAUAAUUAUAAUAAUUAUAAUUUUUAUUAUAAUUAUUCUGAUGAUUAAUAAAUAAUUAUAUAUAUAUAAUUUAAUUAAUAAAUUUGACUUAAACAUUACUUUAUUUAAUUUACCUAUUUUCUUUAAUAUAAAAAAAAAUUUAAUUUAAUUUAAUUAUUUCAUUAAAUUAAAUCUUUCAAAUAAAAAAUAGCAUUAUUCAAUUUAAUUAACAUUAAUCAAUUUAGUCACUAAAUUAAUGCACCACAAUUCAUCAAUUAUUUAUUUUUCUCAAUAAAUAAAUUAUUUAAAAUAUUUAUUUAAUUCAAUAAAUAUUUAAAUUAAAUUACAAAUUUCUCGAUCGUUACACUAUUCAUUCGGUUAGUAUUUACCCGGGGUACUAUUCAUGACAAAAAUUGAUUUCUUUUAUGUCCAAAUUAUUUUUGAUACAAUAUUAUUCUUGAAUUUUACUCCACAAUUGGUGAUCAUGUUGACAAUUUAGAUAUUCUUAAACUCUGGAUAAAUUUAAUUAUAAAUAUUUAAUAUUUAUCCUUUAUCUCGUUUGAUUGAUUCUUUAUAUCAUUGUCAUGAUCCUCAUGCUUAUAUUGUGAUAAAAGUCAUCUUUGGCCCGUAGUGCAUAGAUGGACUAUUGGUUAUUGGUUUUACAGUUGUUUUUCUUUGGCCCGUAGUGCAAAGAAGAACUGUUGAUUGAUAUCUUUGGUCGUAGUGCAAAGAUGAAUUGUUGAUUGAUAGCUUUGGCUCGUAGUGCAAAGUUGGACAGGUGUAUGACAUGAUCAUGACCACUGGUGAUACUAACGAAUAUCCUUGGCCGUAGUGUAUGGAUAAUUCAAUGAUGUGAUUGGCAGGAUCAUGACCAUUAGUUAACAGUUGAAUGUCUUCGGCCGUAGUGCACUGACAGACAAUUGAUUGGUAUGAUCAUUGUUAUUACACUUGAAUGUCUUAGCCUUUGGGGUAAGGAUAUUGAGUAAACGUUCUAUUAAGCCUUUGUGGCAAGGAGAAACUGUUGAUUCACAUUAUUAUAAACAUGAAUUGUGAAUUUAUCUAAAAUCUUUGGUGGUUCAGGUGAAGACAGGUGAUGAAAUUUCUCUUUGUCUUGGUAUAAUAAAGAACUGUUAAUGGGUAUUAUAGGGAUAAAAUUGAUGAUAAACUUUUAAAUCAUAGAAGAUAGUAGAUAUCAUGCUCUACUUGACUCUUCUAAUAGAUUGCUUAUUCCACUGCAGUUGUUGAUCUAAAACUUGUUGUCUAUUAUAUUCUAGCAGUUGUUAUACUGUUGAAGGCUAAUGAUAAUUUAUUCUGCAUUAUCUUAGUCAUAAUAUUUCUUACUGGGCUAGUUGAGCUCACCCUUUUCUUUCAUUAUUCUCUUCAGAAAAUGAGAAUAUAGCUGGGACGAGUCGGGGAAUGGAGUGAUGAUCCAAGAUAAGUGGCUUUAGUAGUCUUCACUAUUCUGUGAAAUAGUGUGAUAAUAAUUGUAAUGAGGACUCCAUUGAGUUUGGAUAUUGUCUAGAAGACAAUAUUUGUGUUAAAACUCUCAGCUUAUAUUUUCUCGUAUUCUACACGACAGUUGUAUAAUUAAGUAGUAUUUGUAUUCUGUACCAUGUAUCUGGCGACCCAAGAUGGGUGAUGUAUACAUAUUUUGGGGGCGUCACAUCAACAACCACCACAAAUAUAAAACCUUUGAAGCCAAGCCUGUGAGACCCCAAAUUUUAUGAAUAAAGAUUUAAAUUUCUCGAAAUAUUUUUUUUGAAUAUUACGGUGUGGAUUUGAUAUAAUGUUAUAGUUGUGGGUAAUAUUUAUAAAUUUUACAAAGUAAACAAGUUGUUACAUAAUAUUCGUUUGGUCGGGGAAUAUUCUUUUUGUUGGGGAAUAUCCGUACGAUGGUGCAAUCAUUGGUGGACCCCACAACGGAAGUAUUGUCGUAGUAAGAAAAUGACAAAAUUAUCUUUUUAUAAAAAUAAUGGCGAAAGUGUUACCGUUAAAACUAUUGAACUACUCCGUAGUAAAAGUACAGUAAUACGUGUGGUUGCAUAGUAGCACACGAUAUUGAUUAUUAAUACUUACGUAAGAAGUCACUCAGUUAUACUUAAUUAUUGUUAUAGUAAUUGCUGCAUCUAUCUCUCAUAUUAUUGAUUCAAUUAUUGUCACAGUAUCAUCUGCAUAAUAUGUUAUAUUAUUAAAUCAAUAAUUGAGACGACAAAGUUAUUUAUAUUAUUAUUUGCAAUAUUGAGAAUGUCUAGAAGUUCUAUCAAGGAGAGGUUAGAUAAUCUAAUUGCGCGCCAAUAGGGAGAAAUCCUUAUCGGAAAGCCCCCUCUUUCUUGGAAACUACCUGGUUGUUAAAUAUUGUGAGUUAUAAUAUUAAUGAUGUAUAAGUUUGUGUUGAUUAAAGAUGAAAUUGAUAGUUCCAUUGUGUUGGGAUUAUUAGUGUUAGUGGAAAUCGACAUUUAUUUCGAUAAUAAUUGAUGUUUGGAAGUUAUAUUGACCAAUCGGGUAAUUAACCGGAUAAAUGAGCAAUUAAUUGCUAUUAAUUCACAUGCUUAUAACUAUGUGUUCACAUGUGUGUACUAUUGAUUCACAUGAUUUACUAUUAGGGGAGUUGGUGCAAGAUUGAUAAUACUUGCAUGACUAAAUUAAAAAUAGAGGUAUAGAUGAAGGUACUAUACUGUAAUUAUUUUUUUCACAUGUUUAGAACUAUUGAGUCACAUGAUUUACUAUUGAUUCACAUGAUUUACUAUUAGGGGAGGUGGUGCAAGUUUGAUAAUACUUGCAGGACUAAAUUAAAAAUGAAGAAAAAGAGGAAGGUAUUAUACUGUAAUAUUUCGAGCCCCAAAACGUGCAAUUAUCGAAACUAUAUUUUCCUAUAAAUAGAAGCUCAUUCUUCCUUCAUUUCUCACCAAUUCACUAAAGCUUUAGAGCAAUUAUUAUAGAGAGAAAUUAUAGAGAGAAAGAAGAAGAGAAGUCUGCUACCUCACUAUUUUAGUAUGCAGUUUCUUCUAAGGUAAGGGUAUUAUUUCUUUCGUAUUCAUGAAGAGAGUUAUUUCUUUCAAUACUCGUAAGGGUUGUUAUUCCAUUCUUUAUUAUUCUGUUGGAAUAACCUGUCUGUGCGGACUACACACGCCUGGUGAAUUCUUUUGUUAUUACAUUCUUUAUUAUUCUGUUGGAAUAACCUGUCUGUGCGGACUACGCACGCAUGGUGAAUUUUUUUUUAUUCUAUUCUUUAUUAUUCUGUUGGAAUAACCUGUCUACGCAGACUACCGCAUGCAUGGUGAAUGACCCUUCGUAUUCAUUCUUUAUUAAAUUAUGUAAAUGAUCUGUCUACGUAGAUUACCGCAUGACGGGUAAAAAUCCAUUUGCAGUUUCAUAUAUUCUAUUAUACUCAUAUGCGAUAUCAUUUCUUUUGUACUCGUCAUAUAAUAUCAUUUUCUUUGGAAUUUUUCUUUUACGAGUUACUAUUGACAGAUUACUAUUCACCUGAUUAUUAUUCACUCUAGUAUUAUUCACUCAGGUAUUCGGGGCACUUUUCGUGUCAGAGUAUUAUUCACGGGUUACUAUUCACCCGAUUACUAUUCACUCUAGUAUUAUUCACUCGGAUAUUUGGGACACUUUUCGUGUCGAGGUACUAUUCACGGAGUACUAUUCCUGAAGUACUAUUCAUGAAAUACUAUUCACCCAAAAAAUAUAUUUCUUUUCAGUCCAAAUUAUUUUUGGGUACAAUAUUAUUCUUGAAUUUUACUCCACAAAACAAUAUCAUGUUGACAAAUUGGACGUUAUUGAUUCUUGGAUAAAUUAAAUUAUAAAUCUUUAAAAUUUAUCCUUGAACUUUUUUUAUUGAAUUAUUAUGUCAUUGUCAUCAUCCUCAUGCUUAUAUUGUGAUGAAAGUCAUCUUUGGCUUACGUGCAUAGAUGGACUUGGUAUGAUUAUGACCAGGGAUUAUUCGGUAUAAUCAUGACCGUAAUGUGACGAAUGAUAUGGUGAAAGUCCUCAUUGGCCUGUAGUUCAUUGAUGGACAGUUGUUGGUAUGAUUAUGACCAGGGAUUAUUUGGUAUAAUCAUGAACAUUGAUGAUUACAUGAGUAUCAUUGGCCGAGAUGCAGGGAUGAUUCGAUUUUAUUUAUUAAGUUGAGUCUCAGCGAUAAAGUUGAUGAAAAACUUUUUAAAUCAUAGAAGAUAGUAGAUUUUAUGCUCUACUUGACUCUUCUAAUGGCUUGCUUAUUCCGCUGCAGUUGUUGAUCUAAAACUUGUUGUCUAUUAUAUUCUGUCAGUUGUUAUACUAUUGAAGGCUAAGGAUAAUUUAUUCUGCAUUAUCUUAGUCAUAAUAUUUCUUACUGGGCUAGUUGAGCUCACCCUUUCUUUCACUGUUCUCCUCAAGAAAUGAGAAUAUAGCUGGGACGAUUCGGGGAACGGAUUGACGGUCCAGAUGGUUGUUUUAGUUGUCCUCACUAUUCUGUGAAAUAAUAUGAUAAUAAUUGUAAUGAGGACUCCAUUGGGAGUGGAUAUUGUCUAGAAGGCAAUAUUCUUGUUUAAACUCUCAGUUAUGUUUUGUCGUAUAUUACCCGACAGUUGUAUAAUUAAGUUUGUAUUUGAUUUAUGUACCAUAUAGUUGGCGACUCAAGAUGGGUGAUGUAUACCUGUUUUUGGGGUGUCAAAGUUGGUAUCAAAGCUUAGGGAUAUGAUCUCUGGCUGAGAUAUGAGACAAGAACUAGGAGGGGAGAGACUGGGAAUUCCUUCGCUAGUAUAUAUGACCUACCUAAGUUUAUUUGGUAUUUAAUUGGUCGAUCAGAGUAUAGGAAUAAUAUGUGAUAUGUCAAUUAACCCUUGUUUUGUGACAGUGUUUGAAAAUAGCAUCUAAAAAUGUUGAGAUCAGCAAUGAAGCACAUGAGACCGUUGAGUCACCAACGAUUAAUACCUAGGAUAAUGUGCAACAGGAAGAUAAUAAUCCUCAGGUAAAUAACAACACCGAUUAGAUGAUGAACGAUGGGAUGUUCAGAGGCUUUAUGCAAUUCAUGCAACAUCAGACGAGAGAGACUCUUGUUCAAAAUGCAGGUGGAAACACUGUCAACUCUCGGAUGGUCACCGCUAAGCAGUUUAAGGAGUUGGGACCACCAGAGUUUUUGAGAGAGCCAGAACCACUUAAGGCGGAGACGUGGAUAAACAGAUCACCAAGAUAUUUGAUGUCUUGGAAUGCUCAGAGGAGCAAAAGGUUCCCUUUGCCACCUUCAUGUUGCGAGGAGAGGCAGAUUACUAGUGGGAAUCAGUAAAACGUACUCAGCCUGCCGCACUGAAGAUGUCUUGGGAGAUGUUCCAAGAACUGUUCAACAACAAGUACUUUCCUGAAAGUAUUCGUCAUGUGAAAGAGGUAGAGUUCAUCAAGCUUGAGUAAAACAAUAUGACCGUGGCGCAGUACGAAGCUAAGUUUGCCGAGUUAUCUCAGUUUGCGUCCCACUUGGUUGAUAAUGAAGAGAGAAUGACGCGGAUGUUUCUAAGAGGUUUGAAACCCGAGAUACGUCAAUAUCUAAUUUCUCACAAACUGUGUUUGUAUUCAGAUGUUAUGAAUAGGGCUCAAUUAUUGGAGUGUGAUAAUGAGUCAGCACAACCAAAAGGCAACGACCAACAACACGAUAAUAAUCAUACCGGUGGCAACGGCCAUCGGAACAAUGAUAACCAUCGUGGGGGAAAUUAUUAUGCCAAGAAUGGUAACCACUUCGGUGGUAAUCAUGGCCAAGUUAAUAGAAGCGGAAAUUUCAAGAAGAGAAGGUUCAAUAAUGAUGGAAAGACGUCAUCACCAGCACCCGUUGUUAAGGAAGGAGAACGACCGCCGGUCGUAUGUUACAAAUGCGGAGGGGAGGGACACAUAAGUCCAAACUAUUCACAGCCUUCCAAGGUAUGUUUUAGUUGUGGAAAAGAUGGUCACAUAGCUCGAUUUUUUUCUUGUAGCGAAAUCAAGUCCAGUUGGGACAGUGGCACCAAAGGCGGAUACGGACAAAACAAAGUCGGUGGUUUCAGGAAGAGCGGUUUUUAUGACUUCUCAAAAAGUGAGUAACCCGAACGAAGUUAACACGGGUUAGUUAAUUAUAAAUUCUUGCGAAGUCUAUACCUUAUUAGAUAUCGAUUCUACCCAUUCUUUUAUUUCUCUUGCUUGCGCUCAGCGUUUAAAUUUGACUCCAGAGAAAUUAGACUUUGACUUAUUGGUUGAAACUCUGUUAGGAGAAACCUUCGUUACACCCACUGUUUAUAAAUCUUGUUUUAUUCAAAUCGACACUUUCACGUUACCUGUCGAUCUUAUCUCUUUGAAAAUACUUGCCUUUGAUGUGAUUUUAGGAAUCGAUUGGUUAACUACUCAUCAUGCCAAAAUUGAUUAUUUUUGUAAGGUUGUUAGCUUUCAUAUUCCUAACCAACUUGUUAUGCGAAUUCAAGCAACCAAACCACUAAAGUCAAUCACUGUCAUAUCAAGCCAUAAGUAAAGAGCCCCGAGCCUUUCGUUGGUGACUUCCUUGUGUGGAAUGCAUCGAAGCCGAACUUUCUGUAGGGGACGUCGUGAAUAACAGUGGCAAGUUGAUAGGUAUCAAUGUGACGUGUUAUCCAAGUCUUGGGAUGAGAGUCACAGUUUUGAAUGAUAUUUCUAUUGUUAAUAAAUUUCCUAGCGUAUUCUUGAAGACUUCUUAGCCUACCCCUAGAGCGUGAAAUCGAAUUUUUUAUUGACCCCAAUACAAAACUCAUUUAUAAAACCCUCAAAUAUUUUCUUUACCCAAAACGAACGUAUAAUGUGCCAAUGACGUUGGCUCGAGCUGUUGAAGGUUACGACUAUACCAUUAAAUUCCAUCGUGGGAAAAGCGAACGUGGUAGCUGACACAUUAAGUAGAAGAUCGUAUGCGUUUACGAAGUGUGACGUUGUUAACACAAAAACCCAUUUCGUAUAACUUAUAAAUAAUGAAGAUGGAGUUAAUGACUCUAGAGACCCACGUGAAGAUAACGAAUAUACGAGUAAAAUCGACUUUAAUCGAUAAAGUUAAAGCCGCUCAAACUACACACUCGGAGCUAGUGAAUACGAAGAAGAAGGUUCAAGAAGGCGUUAUUCUAGAAGCAAGAGUCGAUGAAGAGAGAAAAUCUCAAUCCUCGAUUUAAUUGGGCCAUUUGAAAUCCUCGAUGGAGUAGGAACUGUGGCCUAUAGACUUGUUUUACCGCCAAGUAUGUCGCGUGUUCAUAACAUUUUUCAUGUAUCGAUGUUACGUAAAUAUGUGGACGACCCGAACCACAUUAUUAAAUUGGAACUAGACGAGAUAGCAGAAGAUUUAACAUAUGAGGAUAUACGUGUUAAAAUCUUGGAUAAGAAGGAUCGUAUUCGACACUCAAAUUUUAUACCUCAAGAGUUAGAAUCUGAAAUAAAGUCAAGGUAUCCUUAUCUCUUCGGCAUACCAGGUACGUACUUAAAUUUUGAGGGCGAAAUUUCAUAAGAAGGGAAGAUUGUGAGAUCCCAAAUUUUAUGAAUAAAGAUUUAAAUUUCUUGAAAUAUAUUUUUUGAAUAUUACGGUGUGGAUUUGAUAUAAUGUUAUAGUUGUGGGUAAUAUUUAUAAAUUUUGCAAAGUAAGCAAGUUGUUAUAUAAUAUUCGUUUGGUCGGGGAAUAUUCUUUUUGUCGGGGAAUAUCCGAACGACGACACGAUUAUUGGUGGACCCCACAACGGAAGUAUUGUCGUAGUAAGAUAAUGACAAAAUUAUCUUUUUAUAAAAAUAACGGCGAAAGUGUUACCGUUAAAACUGUUGAACUACUCGGUAGUAAAAGUAUAGUAAUACGCGAGGUUGUAUAGUAGCACACGGUAUUGAUUAUUGAUGCUUACGUAAGAAGUUACUCAGUUAUACUCAAUUAUUGCUACAGUAAUUGUUGCAUCAUAUCUCUCAUAUUAUUGAUUCAAUUAUUGUCACAGUAUCAUCUGCAUAAUAUGUUAUAUUAUUAAAUCAAUAAUUGAGAUGACAAAGUUAUUCAUAUUAUUAUUUGCAAUAUUGACAAUGUCUAGAAGUUCUAUCAAUGAGAGGUUAGAUAAUCUAAUUGUGCGCCAAUAGGGAGAAAUCCUUAUCGGAAAGCCCCCUCUUUCCUGGGAACGACCUGGUUGUUAAAUAUUAUGAGUUAUAAUACUACUGAUGAAUAAGUUUGUGUUGAUUAAAGAUGAAAUUAAUAGUUCCAUUGUGUUGAGAUUAUUAGUGUUAGUGGAAAUUGACAUUUAUUUUGAUAAUAAUUGAUGUCUGGAAGUUAUAUUGACCAAUCGGGUAAUUAACCGGAUAAAUGAGUAAUUAAUUGCUAUUAACUCACAUGCUUAUAACUAUGUGUUCACAUGUGUGUACUAUUGAUUCACAUAAUUUACUAUUAGGGGAGUUGCUACAAGAUUGAUAAUACUUGCAUGACUAAAUUAAAAAUGGAGGUAUAGAUGAAGGUACUAUACUAUAAUUAAUUUUUUCACAUGUUUAGAACUUUUAAGUCACAUGAUUUACUAUUGAUUCACAUGAUUUACUAUUAGGGGAGGUGGUGCAAGUUUGAUAAUACUUGCAAUUAAAAAUGAAGAAAAAGAGGAAGGUAUUAUACUGUAAUAUUUUGAGCCCCAAAACGUAUAAUUAUUGAAACUAUAUUUUUCUAUAAAUAGAAGCUCAUUCUUCUUUCAUUAUCACCAAUUCACUAAGCUAUAGAGCAAUUAUUAUAGGGAGAAAUUAUAGAGAGAAAGAAGAAGAUAAGUCUACUACUUCACUAUUCCAGUAUCCAGUUUCUUCUAAGGUAAUGGGUAUUAUUUCUUUCGUAUUCAUGAAGAGAGUUAUUUCUUUCAAUACUCGUAAGGGUUGUUAUUCCAUUCUUUAUUAUUCUGUUGGAAUAACCUGUCUGUGCGGACUACACACGCCUGGUGAAUUCUUUUGUUAUUAUAUUCUUUAUUAUUCUGUUGGAAUAACUUGUCUGUGCGGACUACGCACGCCUGAUGAAUUCUUCUAUUAUUCCAUUCUUUACUAUUCUGUUGGAAUAACCUGUCUACGCGGACUACCACAUGAUUGGUGAAUUCUUCUGUUAUUCCAUUCUUUAUUAUUCUGUUGGAAUAACCUGUCUACGCGGACUACCGCAUGCAUGGUGAAUGACCCUUCGUAUUCAUUCUUUAUUAAAUUAUAGAAAUGAUCUGUCUACGUAGAUUACCGCAUGGCGGGUGAAAAUCUAUUUGCAGUUUCGUAUAUUCUAUUAUACUCGUAUGAGAUAUCAUUUCUUUUGUAUUUGUCAUGGAAUAUCAUUUUUUUUGGUAUUUUUCUUUUACGAGUUACUAUUCACGGGUUAGUAUUCACCUGGUUACUAUUCACUGUAGUAUUGUUCACUCGGGUAUUCGGGACACUUUUUGUGUCGGAGUACUAUUCAUGGGUUAUACUAUUCACGGGUUACUAUUCACCCGAUUACUAUUCACUCUAGUAUUAUUCACUCGGGUAUUUGGGACACUUUUUGUGUCGGGGUAUUAUUCACAGGGUACUAUUCUCGAAGUACUAUUCACGGAGUACUAUUCACCAAAAAAAUAUAUUUCUUUUCGAUCCAAAUCAUUUUUGGGUACAAUAUUAUUCUUGAAUUUUACUCCACAAAAUAGUAUCAUGUUGACAAAUUGGACGUUAUUGAUUCCUAGAUAAAUUAAAUUAUAAAUCUUUAAAAUUUAUCCUUGACUUGGUAUGAUUAUGACCAGGAAUUAUUCGGUAUAAUCAUGACCGUAAUGUGACGAAUGAUGUGGUGAAAGUCCUCAUUGGCCUGUAGUUAAUUGAUGGACAGUUGUUGGUAUGAUUAUGACCAGGGAUUAUUCGGUAUAAUCAUGACCAUUGAUGAUUACAUGAGUAUCCUUGGCCGUGAUGCAGGGAUGAUUCGAUUUUAUUUAUUAAGUUGAGUCUCAGCGAUAAAGUUGAUGAAAAACUUUUUAAAUCAUAGAAGAUAGUAGAUUUUAUGCUCUACUUGACUCUUCUAAUGGAUUGCUUAUUCCGCUGCAGUUGUUGAUCUAAAACUGUUGUCUAUUAUAUUCUAUCAGUUGUUAUACUGUUGAAGGCUAAGGAUAAUUUAUUCUGUAUUAUCUUAUUCAUAAUAUUUUUUGCUGGGCUAGUUGAGCUCACCCUUUCUUUCACUGUUCUCUUCAGGAAAUGAGAAUAUAGCUGGGACGAGUCGGGGAACGGAUUGACGGUCCAAAUGGUUGUUUUUGUAGUCCUCACUAUUCUGUGAAAUAAUGUGAUAAUAAUUGUAAUGAGGACUCCAUUGGGAGUGGAUAUUGUCUAGAAAGCAAUAUUCUUGUUUAAACUCUCAAUUAUGUUUUGUCGUAUAUUACCCGACAGUUGUAUAAUUAAGUUUGUAUUUGAUUUAUGUACCAUAUAUUUGGCGACUCAAGAUGGGUGAUGUAUACCUAUUUUGGGGCCGUCACAAAGCCCAUACACUCCCAUUUUAGAUCAUAGCUCCUAUGCCCAGACCCAUUAAGAGCAUACCCAGCCCCUACUAAUAUGCACAAUCUAAGCUCCCAUGAUCUAAAGCCCCUGACUUUGCAAAUAUAGAUCGAUAGAUAGAUUUUCGGGAAGGAUCACAUUUUGGUAGAUAGAUGGUUUAAUUUGUUUAACUAUUUAUUAUAAAAUUGAGUAUAAUUUAAUAUAAUUAAUUAUUUAGCUUACCUUCUCUCUCCUUGUCUGCAUUGACACAUAGAUUUAUUGAUUGCCACGUCCUUCUUCUGUUAAAUGGUUAACAGACAUAGACGACAAAAUUAAUUUUUGUAAAUAAAGUAUAGUUCAAUGAGUUGACCGUAAAAAAAUUUAGUUUAGUGAUGCAUUUGUAAACCGAUGUUGAGUAGAGUGGAGAAAAGUGUAUUUAAUCCGCUCCAAAAGUCACCACUUUACAAGUCUCGUCAACAAUCAGCACCAUGUAAACACUCACCCUCUUUGGUGAACUUGAAGAGUUUGAAAAUCAACUUAGGAGGUAUGAUGAUGAAAAUGAGGCACCAAUAAAGAAGACAUUGACACUUCAAGCUGAGAGUAACAAUGAAUGUGAUAACGAAGAUUUUGAUAAAGAAAUUGAAAUGCUCUCAAGAAACUUGAGAGACUAUUUCAAAAGAAAAUAAAAAAGGUAGCUCAACUCCAGUGGGUAAGUUCAAAACAGAACAAGAAGAAGAAAUUGUCCAACUCUAUUUCAUAGGACUAGAAGAUGAUGAUCAACUUGAGGUAACAAAUUUUCAUGAAGCUUUUGAAAUAUCUAUGCCUGAUUAUAUUGCUUUACAAAAUGAAAAUCAACAACUCAAAAAAAAAACUGUUUAUUUUAAGAAUUGCGUAAAUGCUAAUGAAUGAAGUUAAGUCAUUUAUUAAAGAGAGAAAAGAAAAUGAAUAUCUUAAAAAUGAAAAUGAAGUUUUAAAAGAAAAUUUAAAAAUGAGAGAUGAAUGCAUAAAUGCUUUUAAUGAUGGAAAAAUGAUGAAUGUGCAACAUGAUGAUAAUGUCACAAAUGCAAAAAUAACAUCUUUAAAAAAUGAUCUUGCUAAAUUUGUGCAAUGAGAAGAGAACCUAAAUGUUAUGUUAGGGGCACAAAGGUCUAGUCUUGAUAAAUAAGAAAUUGGGUAUAAUCCUAUUAAAAUGUGAAAAAUAGAACUAAUAAUAAUAUUAUAAUGAUUAAUAGAAAACCAAUGCAUAAACCACUUUAUUGUUCACCGUUUGUUACUUGUAAAAAAUAUGGUUUUAAAGGUCAUUUUAAAAUGUGGCUUUAUUAGAAUAAAGCAAAUUUGGGUAAAGAAAUGUGAUUUAUAUGCUACUAACCUAAUAGGACCCAAGAAGAUUUGGGUACCAAAAUGGUAGAGACUAUUUGUUCAUUUUGUAGAUGUCUCAAGGUCAAAAAGGAGACAGAUAAUACUUAUAAAUUAUUUGGCAAAAUUCGCAAGUACCUUAUUUUUUUAAAUAGAUUUUUAAUUAGAUAUAUUAUGAAAACUCUAUGGAUUUCGUAUCAUAUGGCUUCAUAACAUCAUUUAUUAUAAAGUUUUUAUUGUGCUAAAUGCUCCAUAUUUAAUACAAACGACAAUCUUGAUGAGGAAUAAGUGAAUAUUAUUUUUGAUGAACUUAACCAUGAUCUGUUAAAGGAAGAGAAUGAGGUUUCUGCUGGAAAUGACUAUCUGAAUUGUGGAACCCAAACAGUUCAAUCCGGAUAGUCUAAGCCGUCUCUAUCAGAAGGAAAGAUAGAUGAAAUCAGACAAUUUGACCCGUCUGUUUUAGAAGAAAACUCAAAUUUACAAACACCUAAAUCCAAACAGAUCGAGUCGUCUACUUUAGAAGACAAAACAUAUGAAUAUUCGGAUGCAGUAACUUAUAUUCCAGAGGAUGAAUCUCAAAAGCAAAUGACUACUGCCAGGCUUCCUAAAUCUUCUAGAACUAUGGGAAAUCAUCAUCCAAGUCUGAUCAUCAGAAAUUUCAACAUUAGGAUGUCCACAAGAAGAGGUUUUGAAGAAAUUUGUUUGCUACACUAAGGAGCUUAUCUAUUAAGCUUAUUGUUGGUAACAAAAUUGUGGAUAUAUAGGUAACAAAUCACAAAGGUAUGGUCAUUUUAUUUAAUUGCUAUAUGUGAUAUUGUUAUAAGCUUGCUCCCGUGUCUUUAUUUUAUGAAUUAUUUUUUGUUUGUCACAAAUGGGAUAGAGAUAUAACUAAAUUGAUGAUUUUUUUUUUUUUGAUAAUAACAAAGGGGAGAAAUGUUUAGAAAAAUUGAUGAUUAUGAUAUCUGAUGGUUAUAUUGAUUAUAAUAUGUUUAGAUUUUUUUGAUAUCAUAUUGAUGAUAAUGGUUGGAUAUUUUGAUUCAUUAUCUGUUAUAGCUUAUCAUUAUGCAUUAUUUAUCAUAACAGUUAUGUGAUCUUUAUAUCUCCUAUAGGCAUAAAUUUAUGGGGAGCAUGAUUGCAAGGAAUAAUAUAUUGUCAUCAUCAAAAAAGAGGGAAAUUGUUAGUUUUAUUAUUUGUGAUUUUAAUAAUGACAAUAUAUUUGUAAAUAUAAUUUAUUUAAUGUAUUGAAUUAAUUUUGUAAUGGUUUGUUGAAUAUGAUAUAUAGUAAGUUUGGUUCAUGAUAAUUUAAUUUGGUUAUAAUUCAAAUUGUUAUUACGUGCAGGAUUGAAUUGAAAUAUUUUCUUCCAGGUUGUUAUUUUGUUAAAACAGGUUGUUUCAAUUUUGAAUUGGAAUAUGUUAAGGAGUUUGUUUAGCAGUGUAAUCUAUCUAUUAAAUAUAUUAAAAUGCAGUACAUGAUAUCAUAGCUUGACAUAUGUCAUUCUCACAAUUCAACACGUGUCCUGUCUAAUUAAUAUUCCUUAAGACCCUUAACAAAAGUGCCCAGCUAACAUAACAAAUGAGGAUGAAAACAAACUUUAAUUCAUUCCCCUAAAUUUUAGAUUUAUAAUCCCCUAAAUCAUGCUACAAAUCUAAACUAUUUUGAUAAUAUCAACUGUUUUGAUAUUAUCCUUUGUAAUUUAAUUAUUAUUUAAUAAAAUUACUUUUUUAUGCUAUUAAUUAAUUUUUUAGAUUUAUAAUCUUCUAAAUAACUACAAAUCUAAACAGUUAAUAACAUAAUGUCAUUCUCUUAAUUUUUUAAAUUUACAAUCCUCUAAAUCACUACAAAUCUAAACUGUUUUGAUAAUAUCAACUGUUUUGAUAUUAUCCUUUGUAAUUUAAUUAUUAUUUAAUAAAAUCAUUACUUUAUCUCAACACCACCCCCUACAAUGUAUAUUCAUUUGUUUUUCUGUGUAAAAUUUGAUCAUCGCACAACAAUCUACCAUCUUCUUAUUAUAUUUUAAUUUAUUAAUUAUACAUACAUAUUUAUUGAAUAAUUCCGCCCGCAACGCACGAGUUUGUAUCUAGUGUGGUCUAAUUUGGAGUCUUUAAAUUAACUGGUUUAGAUAUUUGUGUAGAGUAUGGGCUCUAUCUACUCGUUAAUUUUAGCCUAUGUUGAUUACGUAUCUUUGAUUUUCUAAUUUUGAGAAUAUUUUAAGCUGUUAGCUAUAUCUAUAGUUCUGAAAUAUCAAAUUCUCGAAAUGAAAGACCAAGUCAUGCUAACCAUUUCAUAUAGUCGUUGGACUGAGUUCUAUAUAUUUUCUUCAUGUUUGUCUAUAGUGAGCAGGACUCUUGAAGCUUAUAGCAGCCAUAUUACACAGAUUAAUCAAGAGCUUUUCAAAGUUAUUUUCAGCUACUCAUUAUAUUGUUAAUUUAUUUCAGUUAAAAAUUAAGAGUCUAUUAUAAUCUAUAUUUAUUGUAUUAAAUUUUAGUUCAAGUCUUGUUUGGCUUGAUCGAUCCAAUAGUGGAUAGGUUUGUUCGAAGAAAACUUUUAAGGUUGCAGAGGUGCAAAUGUCUCAGUGGUGAGAAAGGUUGCAAUGAUGCAAAGGGGCAGAGGUGUUCAUCGCAGUGGAAAAUUUUAUUUGAACAGGGAGUUCUUUUUAUUAUACUUAAUGGAGUCUUAAAAGUUUAAUAAAAAGAGUCCAAUACCGGUUGGUUUUGAACGUGGAUUAAGCCGUUAGAGUUUAAGGGCAGAACCACGUAAAAAUUCUUGUCUGUGGUUUGUUAAUUCUUCUGGGUUGAUAAUUUAUUUCUCACGUUGCAUCUAAUCUCAUUCAUAUUACAUUUUAUUGUUGGUAGGAAAAGUAUACUAAUCUAGACACUAUCUUCUGUCUUUAUAACAAAAGUAAAAUUGACUCUAAAGCAGACACUUUUAUUUGUCUGUUUUAAGUUUAGCAGCAAGUUCAGCAGCAGGAAAAUAAAAUUAGUCAUUGUUAGUGUGCUUAUUUAUAGAAUUACAUCCACAUCUGUAAUUCUACUGAGAUUUAAUGAAUGUUUAUUUUGCCGAUUAAAAAACAAAGGAAAAAGAAUAAAAGUAAUAAGAUGUUCGAAACAUUUGAUUGUAUUAUUAUAUUUUUGUGAGCCAAGGUGAAAGCAAAGCCACCUAGUGGUAGUUGUUUUAUUUAUAAUAUGGUAAUAACAACCAUGAACUGAUAGUUGAUUUAUUUAUUAUAUGCUAAUAACAGCUAUCAGCUAGUGGUUGAUUUAUUUAUUAUAUUCUAAUAAACAGCCAUCAACUAGUAUAUAGUUUCUUGAUCAACUGUUCAUAGGAAGAUUACUGAUCGUUCAUUUAGGCGUUGGGGGGACUAAUUUGAACACCAUAGAUAACUAAACCCGUCUCCAUAGUCGUGUUUUCACUCCCGUCGAGAGCAAAUUUGAAAUCUCCAGAGUCAAAGCUAUUCAAGAAUUCCCCAGCUUUGAGUGAAAUCGGUGUGUUCCUCGGACAAUCCAUCAACCUAUAUCCAUUCACUUGCGUGGACCCAUCCGGAGGAGUAAGUGUAAGACUCACCGGACUUUCUAUGUUAAGGUUGUCUUUCAGCAGCACCACAAAAGACACCUCAUAAGUUCAUUUUUCAAGAGUUUCUGUCGGAUAUUUUCCAUCAACAUGUAGGACUAAGCUACCAAUUAAUUCAGCACUGGCAUCACUGAAAAAAAAUGAUAGUAGAAUUAAAGUCAGAAACUUUUGAUAUAAGGAGCUUAAAUUCAUUAAGGUGAUUUUAUUGAUUUUUUUUUCUGGAAAAUUUUUAAUGUUAAGUCCUUCUAUCUGACUAGAGUCUAGACUUCAAUAAAAUUUCUAUAGUCCUUCUAUCACUUUAAUUUAAUGACAUAGUUGCUUAUAUAUCCCUAUUUUUAACUGAAUAAAAUUCAGGUGUUUAAACACAAAUCUUGACCUUUGACAUCAAUUAAGUUAACUAAGUCUUAUUUCUACUUACGUAAACUUCCAGCCUGAAGGGUUGGCAUAAUUGAGUUCCUUUGCAUGCACAAAAGCCCAACUGCUCUGAAUAAGUCAACAGAAAUUUACAUUAUUAUAUGGAUAGAUAAGGCAAACCAGCGGUGACCAAUAAAUGAUAUGUCGAUGCCUUUAUAAAUAUAUAUAUAUAUAUAUAUAUAUAUAUAUAUAUAUAUAGAAUAUUGACGGUUGACAUUGUCAAAAUAACAAUUAUAAAAGUGUUGCCAAAUGUAUAUUUACUCUGAUAGCGAUGACAUUAUCAACCACCUAUAUAUAAAUAGCAAAUGUUUCAUAGCAAAAGUUUAUUACAGAAUAUGUAUCACUCAAACCAUCUUAUAUCAAUCAUGCAUUACAACAUCAGAUAGAUGAGAUCUUAAAAUUUUUGAACACUCCGCGACAUUAUGUUGCAAAUGGUACCAAAUUUUAAAAAUCCCAAAGGUGUAAGAUGGUCUAAAUUUUGCAAAAAUGUAUCACUUGCAAAAUUUACAAAUAUUAAGGAUUAUUUUUGUUCUGUAGACAACUUUAGUGUGUAUAUAUAUUUGAUGUUUGUUUCCAAUUUCAGUGGACUUACCUUCUGGCCCGGGUCCUUUUUGAGCAACGCAUUUUCCUUAGCUUGAGACAACAAUGUCUUGAGGUCAACCUUGUGAUACCUCACUACUUGUGCCAUUUCGCCUUUAAUUCUGCUAUAUAUAUUUUUUGUUUUUGUUCUUGAUGUCUAUAUAUCUCUCUUCCAAAGGCUAGCUCUAUUUAUAGAUAGCACAAAAGAGGGUAUAUUCAAUAAUAACCUAUCUUCAAAUAUUCCUUCCUUUUUCACAGUGGGGAUCCUGAUAAGUUUAACAUCAUCAUCAUCAUCGCCAAGGAUAUAGAGCAUCAGAUUCUGUUUAAUAAUUUUGUUGGAAUAUUUCUUUUCCAUUUCUCAGUUCAAUAAUUCUUUCUUUAGCUUGUUGCGCUGGCAAAAUUCGAUGAAGGCGAAAGGUACGUAGGCAUUCAAGUAAGUGAUGAUUUUCUUCUAACCAGAAGUAUGAGCAGGUUGAUGAUACAUAUGUCAUGCCAACAUAACAAACUUUAGAGGAGCCGAGUUCGAAAAAGAGAGGGUACUGGUAUAAUUGCCUUAAUUCGAUCUUAUCACCCAAGCACGGGUGCCAUCUAUUUUGGUUCAAUAUAAUGGAGUAUAUAUUCAAAUCAACAAAACAAGGCAAGAACAAAAAAUAAAUUUAAAGUGCAUAUUUUAAUAGGAAUAUCUAUUAAUAUAUAUAGGUAUGUUACUCAAAUAUCUAUACCAUCUAUACCAAUUUAUAGCAAGAUAAAUACGAGUUAUUUAAGUUGGUCUUGAGCCAAUUUAGUAAUCCAAUUUUGGUGACUCCGUAACUCAAAAUGUUUUUUUUUUGUUUUUUUGUUUGAUUUUUAUGUAUUCUUGGUCAUAAAUUUUGAUAUUCCCAAAAGUCAACUAAAACACUCAAAAGUUAUAUAUUUUCACAAAAUUUUAGUACACAUUUAUUAUUAAAGAUGGAAUAUAUUAUCUAUCAUUAAGAAUUGAGUAAAUAUAUAAAAAUAAAAUAAAAUUAAUGAAAUAACUUUUGAGCUAUCAAGUCAUCAAAUUUGGAGAGCUGAGUUGACUUGAGUUAUAUUAAAAUGUCAUUCAAAAAUAUUAUAUAUAUAAUUUACCAAAUAAAUCGUUUUUAAACUUAUCCGUACUUCGUACGGAUUAUUAAUUUUGUUUGUAUUAAAAGUAGAAGUAUAAGCAUCUCGCAGGCCAAAAAUAAAAAAAGAAAAAAAAAAAGAAAAGAAGAGCAAGACUACUUCUUUUUCUUCCUUUUUAUCUCCUUUCUUUCUUUGUUUCUUUUUAGACGGAGGACUUCAUUUCAUCUUUGAAAAUAAACAUAAGAAUUUAUCAAAGGAAAUACAAGAUAGACGAUACAAAUAUUGAGAUCUAAUGGAACUUUUGUUGUCUAAUUAUUAUUAUUUUUUAUUUUCAAAUAUACGCAUACAUGAUAAAGAUUCACAAUUAUAUAUAAUAGGCUAAAAUCAACAAUCCGCUAAAAAAUUUGCGGUCUGUCAAAAUGUUUAGUUGUCGAGCUAGUAUAAAUUACCGUCUACCAAAUCGUUAUUAGUUAACAAACUAGUGUAAAAAUUUCACUUUGGAAGCUAAUAUAAACUAUCAUCUAUCAAAUUGUUAUUAAAUGGGGAGCUACGAAUGUAAACUAUCGUCUAACAAACUUUAUUAGCUGAUGAGCUAGUGUAAAAUAUCAUUUAUCAAACUGUUAGAUAGAGUGUUGGUUACAGUUAAAUGUGUCUUUGGAUCAAUUCCUAUACAGUCCGCUUCUCCAACGGACCGGUUUGUCAGCGAACCAACUAUAGUGACGGUUCAAUCCGUCGUUAUAGCAUAGAAAAAUGUUAACGCCAAGAUUCGUCCACGUGCAAAAACGAAAUCACACAGAGGAACUUGUCGGCUUGGGCCGCCAGGGGAUAGCUCUGGUAUAAGAAUAAGUACUGACUGAAUAAAGUUAACAAUGGAGGCUUAUAAUUUUAGUGCUGAAAAAAUAAUAAGAUAUUGUGUGCAUGUGAACCAGGGUAUAUAUAGCCUUGUAUUUAUAGUGAUCACACCUCUUUAAAACGCAUCAUCUCGUAUAGGAGUAGAAUUCCUCAUUAAGAUGGAUACCUUAAUGGGACAUGAUUGAAUCUCCUUAAAAAAAGAAAGUCGGAUACUAUCCUGACUCUUUCCUUAGAAGUUAGAAAUUAAAUAUAAUUAGGAAUCCUAGAUUCCUUAAAAUUCUCCCACUGCCCGUGGGGAGACUUCCUCCACGUGGACUAUGGCCCACCGAAUUCUGUGGUCCCAAAUAAUCAUGUUCCAACAUUGUCCCCCAUUGUAAUACCUAGAAAAAUAAUUAAAAAAAUAAAAAACAUUUAAGUUUAUAUUUUAAAAUAUAUUAGUUGGAUUUUAUUAUUUAUUUGGGUCAAAGUGGUCAUUAAUUUAUGUGGGCUAAUAAAUAUUAAUAAAUUAGGGAUAAAUUAAUUUGAUAAAAUUGAGCCUUAAAACUAAUUGGGUCUAAUUUAUAUUUGUGUAAUAAUAAAUCUUAUUAAAAUUUUAUUAAAAUUAAAAGAAUUAAUAAAACAUAUUAAUUAAUGAAUAAAUAACAAACCUAAUCUUACUUUUAUUAUACAAACUGAGGGAAAGAAAAAGAAGAGAAGUAGGUGAGGCGACUUAAGAGUGAAGAAUGAAAAUUUGUCACUCUUGAUAUUUGGCAAGACACAUUUAGUAAGUUGUUACUAUUUGUUUUUUAAAUUGUUAGAUCCAUCAUGUAGAAAGCCAGUGAUUCAUAAGAAAGUUAAAAUACAUUAUAUAUGAAGUAUACUUUUAGAAGUUUGAUACAUUAUUGGUUAAUGUGGAUAGCCUUUAAGGCAGAGUAUCCAUGUGAAUUGGAUAUCGUGAAUGGCAUACUAAAAUAAUAUACGCUUAGUAUAUGGCGUGAAUCAGAUAAGAUCAAAAGGUAUUUACUGAUUAAAUGUAUCUGAAUAUAUCUAAAUAUAUCUGAAUGUAUCUGAAUUGUAUGUUCUCCAAAAUCCUAGCACCCAUAUUUAUAGGCCAUAGAAAAAUCCAUAACCAAUUAAAUAGGAUUUUUAAUAUAAAAUUGAGUAUAGAUAGAAACGAUAACUUUUCUAAAACAGAUUCUAGGUAAUACCUAAACCCAAAUCCAAUAAGGAUUCAUGUUAUACCCAACAAAUGUCCACCUUGACUUGAAUCCUCCGAAUAUUGCACAAACAGUAAACUUUUUCCUCUUCUCAAAAUGCACAACUCAAGUGCAUCGAACACUAACCACGUCCAAGCAAUGUUUGAACUUGGUAUGUGUUAACGGCUUCGUUAACAUGUCAUAUGGAUUUUCUGCUGUACCAAUCUUCAAGACCUUAUUGUCACCAUCUUCAACAAUGUCUCGAACAAAAUGAUACCUGACAUCAAUAUGUUUCCCCCGAGGACAAUACUCACAGAAGUCAAACUUUAUUAUUUUUUGUAUAGACAACUCGCUAGAUUUCUUCGUCUCCUAAUCCGUAUCAGACAUAUCUACAGGCUUCAUUGGCUUCCCUACAAUGGCUUUCUUCAAGCCUUGCUGAGUAAAAACAGCCUUCAUCCGAACCUGCCAAAGACUGAAACUAAUUUUCCCAUCGAAUUUGUCAAUAGAAAAUUUUGUUGAUGAAGUCGAACUCAACGUCAUAGUAUAUAUCGAUAAUAACCAAGCUCUGAUACCAAUUUAUUAUGACAAACUAUGACAAACACAAUAAAUCAAUGCAGAAAGAUAAAGACAAUAACACAAGGUUUUACAUGAAAACUCAAAUUGGAAAAAAACUACGGAGAAGGCAAAAGAAAUCCACUAAAUAAAUAUCUGAAGAGUACAAGAUAAAAAAAGAGAAUACUAAAUUGAGUAUAGGUAAAAAAGAUAACUUUUCUAAACCAAAACAGAUUCUAGGUAAUACCUAAAUCCAAAUUCAAUAAGGAUUCAUGUUAUACCCAACAAAUCUCCACCUUGACUUGAUCAUUCCUCCAAAUAUUGCACAAAUAUUGAACUUUCUCUUCUUCUCAAAAUGCACAACUCAAGUGCAUCGAACACUAACCACAUCCAAGCAAUGUUUGAACUUGGUAUGUGUUAAUGGCUUCGUUAACAUGUCAUCUGGAUUGUCUACAGUACCAAUCUUCAAGAUAUUAAUGUUACCAUCUUCAACAAUUUCUUGAAAAAAAUGAUACCUGACAUCAAUAUGUUUUCCCCGGGACAAUGCUCACAGAAGUACAACUUUCUUACUUUCUGUCCAGAUAACUCGCUAGUUUUCUUCGUCUCCCAAUCCGUAUCAGAGAUAUUUACAGGAUUUAUUAGUUUCCAUACAAUGGCUUUCUUCAAGCCUUACUGAGUAAAAACAGCCUUCAUCCGAACCUACCAAAGACUGAAACUAAUAUUCCCAUCGAAUUUGUCAAUAUCAAAUUUCGUUGAUGAACUCGAACUCAACGCCAUAGUUUGGAUCGAUAAUAACCAAGCUUUGAUGUGACGCCCCCAAAACAGGUAUACAUCACCCAUCUUGGGUCGUCAAAUACAUGGUACAUAAUACAACUACAAACUUCUUUUAUACAACUGUCGUGUAAAAUACGACAAAACAUAGCUGAGAGCUCUCAAUGGAGUCCUCAGUACAUUUAUUAUCACACUAUUUCACAGAAUAGUGAGGACUACUAAAACAACCAUCUGGACCGUCAAUCCGUUUCCCAAUCAGUCCCAGCUAUAUUCUCAUUUCCUGAAGAGAACAGUGAAAGAAAAUGAUGAGCUCAACUAGCCCAGUAAGAAAUAUUAUGACUAAGAUAAUGCAGAAUAAAUUAUCCUUAGCCUUCAACAGUAUAACAACUGAUAGAAUACAAUAGACAACAAGUUCUAGAUCAACAAAUACAGCGGAAUAAGCAAUCCAUUAGAAAAGUCAAGUAGAACAUAAUGUCUACAAUCUUCUAUGAUUAAAAAGUUUAUCAUCAAUUUUAUCGCUGUAAUACCCAUCAACAGUUCUUUAUACCAAAGACAAAGAGAACUUUCAUCACCUGUCUUCACCUGAACCACCAAAGAUUUUAUUUAAAUUCACAAUUCAUGUUUAUAAUAAUGUGAAUCAACAGUUCCUCCCUGCCACAAAGGCUUAAUAGAACGUUUACUCAAUAUCCUUACCCAAAGGAUAAAGAUAUUCAAAUGUAAUAACAAUGAUCAUACCAAUCAGUUGUCUAUCUUUGCACUACGGGCCAAAGAUAUUCAACUAUAAAACCAUUAGUCAUGAUCAUACCAAUCAAUUGCAUGUCGGUGCACUACGACCAAAGACAUUCAACUGUUAACUAAUGAUCAUGAUCCUGCCAAUCACAUCAUCGAAUUAUCCCUGCACUACGGCCAAGGAUAUUCUUUAGUAUCACCAGUGGUCAUGAUCAUGUCAUACAGCUGUCCAUCUUUGCACUACGGGCCAAAGCUAUCAAUCAAUAGUUCAUCUUUGGAUUACGACCAAAGAUAUCAAUCAACAGUUCUUCUUUGCACUACAGGCCAAAGUCAUACAACUGUAAAACCAAUAACCAACAGUCCAUCUAUGCACUACGGGCCAAAGAUGACUUUUAACGCAAUAUAAGCAUGAGGAUCAUGACAAUGAUAUAAAGAAUCAGUCAAAUGAGAUAAAGGAUAAAUAUUAAACAUUUAUAAUAUAAUUUAUCCAGAGUUCAAGAAUAUCCAAAUGUUAUCAAUCACUUAAUAAUCUCAUAAUCUAAUAUCAUUAAUAUUAUAACAAUAUUUUAAUCAUUUCUUAAACUUAAUUAUAAACAAUUUAUUUUAAUUGUUUACACUUUACUAAUUAAUGCAUUUAAUCAGCCUAAAAUGCCAAACUCAUAAGAUUUCAUCACCAAUAACCAAAACUCUCAUAAAAAAUCUGCAUAUACCUUAUAUAGGAUUUUCAAGCCAUAAAAUCCUAUUUAUCAAUUUUUUAACUUCACAUAACUUAUUUAAUUUAUAUGUUCGUAACUAAACUAUUUUCAUGAAAAAUAUCAAAUCAGUCUAAAAAAGUUUUCUUUUCUGAGAUUUAGCAGAAUAUAGUCCCAUAUUGAACAUAUAUUUUUCUCGAAAUUUUUAAAAUUCAUUUACUAUUUUUCAUAUGGCCAAAAUUACCGAAUAUUUAAACAUUUAUCAUAAACUAUACUUUUGUCCAAAAAUUCCAAAAUUUACAGGGUAUACUCCUUUGAUAUAUAUGUACGCCCAAUAAAUUUUUUAUCAAUUUUGGAGUUAACCACAAGGAUUUAUAAAGGUUUACUUUUAAAAUAGUCUUUUCCCAUAAAAUUCAUAACUUCUAAUCUAUACAUCCAAAAAUCACCAUUUUUGGACACAAUCUAGAAAACUCAUCAAAUUAUCAUUUCAAAUUUUUCCAGAAUUUUUGACGGUUAGAAAAAUUACGAAACUGCAAAUGGAUUUUCACCCACCAUGCGGUAAUCCACGUAGACAGAUCAUUUCCACAAUUUAAUAAAGAAUGAAUACGAAGGGUAAUUCACCAUGCAUGCGGUAGUCUGCGUAGACAGGUUAUUCCAACAGAAUAAUAAAGAAUGGAAUAACAGAAGAAUUCACCAUGCAUGCGGUAGUCCGCGUAAACAGGUUAUUAAUUCCAAUAGAAUAAUAAAAAAUGGAAUAACAGAAGAAUUCACCAUGCAUGCGGUAGUCCGCGUAGACAUGUUAUUCCAAUAGAAUUAUAAAGAAUGGAACAACAGAAGAAUUCACCAUGCAUACGGUACUCCGCGUAGACAGGUUAUUCCAACAGAAUAAUAAAGAAUGGAAUAGCAAAAGAAUUCACCAUGCAUGCGGCAGUACGCGUAGACAAUUUAUUCCAACAGAAUAAUAAAGAAUGGAAUAACAACCCUUACGAGUAUUAAAAGAAAAUAACUCUUUUCAUGAAUACGAAAGAAAUAAUACCCCUUACCUUAGAAGAAAACUGGAUAAUAGUAAGGUAGCAGACUUCUCUUCUUCUUUCUCUCUAUAAUUUCUCUAUAUAAUAAUUGCUCUUGUGAGACUUAGUGAAUUAGUGAGAAAUGAAGGAAGAAUGAGCUUCUAUUUAUAGGAAAAUAUAGUUUCAAUAAUUGCACAUUUUGUGGCUUGAAAUAUUACAGUAUAAUACCUUCCUUUUUUUCUUCAUUUUAAUUUAGUCCUACAAGUAUUAUCAAACUUGCACCACCUCCCUAAUAGUAAAUCAUGUGAAUUAAUAGUUCAUUCAUGUGACUCAAUAGUAUAAUCAUGUGAAAAAAAAACUAAUUAUAGUAUAGUACCUCCAUCUAUACCUCCAUUUUUAAUUUAGUCAUGCAAGUAUUAUCAAUCUUGCACCACCUCCCCUAAUAGUACUUGCAUGUGAAUCAAUAGUACACACAUGUGAACAAAUAGUUAUAAGCAUGUGAAUUAAUAGCAAUUAAUUGCUCAUUUAUCCGAUUAAUAAUCCGAUUGGUCAAUAUAACAUCCAGACAUCAAUUAUUAUCGAAAUAAUUGUCGAUUUCCACUAACACUAACAAUCCCAACACAAUGGAAAUAUUUUUAUCAACAAAUUUAUUUUUGAAAUUUUGAAGUUUGACUUUUUCUGCAAAAGUCAAAUGUUGACUUUUUGACCAAAAAGUCAACCCCAGUAAAUUUUGUGUUUAUAGUCUAUUUUUACUAAUUUUAUCGUUCUGGACUCAAAUAUCACGUUCGCGUCUCCAAAUUUAAUUCUGAACUCAAAUUCUAGUUUUUAAUAACAUUCAUAAUUAAUAUUAUAACUCACAAUAUUAACAACCAGAUCGUUCCCAAGAAAGAGGGGGCUUUCCGAUAAGGAUUUCUCCCUAUUAGCGCGCAAUUAUAUUACCUAUCCUCUCCUUGACAGAACUUCUAGACAUCGUCAAUAUUGCAAAUAAUAAUAUGAAUAACUUUGACGUCUCAAUUAUUGAUUUAAUAAUAUAAAAUAUUAUACAUAUGAUACUGUGACAAUAAUUGAAUCAAUAAUAUGAGAGAUAUGAUGCAGCAAUUACUGUAGCAAUAAUUGAGUUUAACUAAGUGACUUCUUACAUAAGCAUCAAUAAUCAAUACCAUAUGGUACUAUGCAACCACGCGUAUUACUGUAUUUUUACCACCAAUUAUUAUAUGACAACUUACUUACUUUGAAAAAUUUUCACAUAUCACCCUUAACUUUAACAUUUUAUCAAUUUAACUAUUUACUAAAUAGAAUAAUAAUUAUAAAAAUUGAAUACUUUCAUUUCGUAAAAUUCGGGGUCUUACAAUCUCAUCUCCUUAUGAAAUUUUGUCCUCGAAAUUUACGUACCUAGUAGUUCGAAGAGAUGAGAAUACCUUGCUUUCUUUUUCGUUUUGUACCUUCCCGGUUAUUUCCUCUCUAUCAUGAUUUUCCCAUUUCUCAUCUCCUGUAUUUCAGAUAUCAUUCUAGAAUAUAGAUUCAAAAUAAGGGUUAAUUAACAUGCCACAUAUUAUCUCUAUAUUCUGACCAACCAAUUAAAUAACAAAUAAACUUAGGUAGGUCAUACUAGCGAAUGAAUUACCCGUCUCUCCCCUCCUAGUUCUAGCCUCACAUCUUAGCCAGGGAUCAUAUCCCUAAGCUUUGAUACUAAUUGUGACGCCCCCAAAACAGGUAUACAUCACCUAUUUUGAGUCGCCAAAUAUAUGGUACAUAAUACAACUACAAACUUCUUUUAUACAAUUGUCGUGUAAAAUACGACAAAACAUAGCUGAGAGUUUAAACAAGAAUAUUGCCUUCUAGACAAUAUCCACUCUCAAUGGAGUUCUCAUUACAUUUAUUAUCACACAAUUUCACAGAAUAGUGAGGACUACUAAAACAACCAUCUGGACCGUCAAUCUGUUUCCCGACCAGUCCCAGCUAUAUUCUCAUUUCCUGAAGAGAACAGUGAAAGAAAAGGGUGAGCUCAACUAGCCCAGUAAGAAAUAUUAUGACUAAGAUAAUGCAGAAUAAAUUAUUCUUAGCCUUCAACAGUAUAACAACUGAUAGAAUACAAUAGACAACAAGUUUUAGAUCAACAACUGCAGCGGAAUAAGCAAUCCAUUAGAAGAGUCAAGUAGAACAUAAUGUCUACUAUCUUCUAUGAUUAAAAAGUUUAUCAUCAAUUUUAUCGCUGUAAUAUCCAUCAACAGUUCUUUAUUAUACCAAAGACAAAGAGAACUUUCAUCACCUGUCUUCACCUGAACCACCAAAGAUUUUAUUUAAAUUCACAAUUCAUGUUUAUAAUAAUGUGAAUCAACAGUUCGUCCUUGCCACAAAGGAUUAAUAGAACGUUUACUCAAUAUCCUUACCCAUAAGGAUAAAGAUAUUCAAAUGUAAUAACAAUGAUCAUACCAAUCAGUUGUCUAUCUUUGCACUACGGGCCAAAGAUAUUCAACUAUAAAACCAAUGGUCAUGAUCAUACCAAUCAAUUGUAUGUCAGUGCACUACGGCCAAAGACAUUCAAUUUUUACCUAAUGGUCAUGAUCCUGCCACUCACAUCAUCGAAUUAUCCCUGCACUACGGCCAAGGAUAUUCUUUAGUAUCACCAGUGGUCAUGAUCAUGUCAUACACCUGUCCAUCUUUGCACUACGGGCCAAAGCUAUCAAUCAACAGUUCAUCUUUGGAUUACGACCAAAGAUAUCAAUUAACAGUUCUUCUUUGCACUACAGGUCAAAGACAUACAACUUUAAAACCAAUAUCCAACAGUCCAUCUAUGCACUACGGACCAAAGAUGACUUUUAACGCAAUAUAAGCAUGAGGAUCAUGACAAUGAUAUAAAGAAUCAGUCAAAUGAGAUAAAGGAUAAUUAUUAAAUAUUUAUAAUAUAAUUUAUCCAGAGUUCAAGAAUAUCUAAAUGUUAUCAAUCACUUAAUAAUCUCAUAAUCUAAUAACGUCCAAGUUGUCAACAUGAUACUUCUUUGUAGAGUAAAAUUCAAGAAUGCUCAGAAGAAUAUUUUCAUGAAAACAUACUAGAUGAAGCGCAAAUAUUAAGGAUAUUCCACUAAUUUCAUGGAGUAUAGAAGUCAAAACUUUAACCAAUGGAGUAUAAUAAAGAAUGAAAUAACAAAAAAAAUCACCAUGCAUGCGGUACUUCGCAUAAACAGGUAAUUCCAACAGAAUAAUAAUAACGGAACCAGGUCAGGCAUAAUACGCACCGACAGGAUAUUCUAACAGAAUAAUAAAGAAUGGAAUAACAACAAAAAUCACCAUGCAUGCGGUACGUCGCAUAGACAGGUUAUUCCAACAGAAUAACAAAUAAUGGAACCAGGUCUGACGUAAAACGCACAGACAGGAUAUUCCAACAGAAUAAUAAAGACGAAACCAGGUUCGACGUAAAACGCACAGACAAGAUAUUCCAACAAAAUAAUAAAGACGGAACCAGGUCUGACAUAAAAUGCACAGACAAGAUAUUCAAACAGAAUAAUAAAGAAUGGAAUAAUAACAGAAUUUCACCAUGUAUGCGGUACUUCGCAUAGACAUGUUAUUCCAGCAGAAUAAUAAAUAAUGGAAUAACAAAAGAAUUUCACCAAGUAUAGGGUAGUCCGCGUAUACAGGUUAUUCCAACAGAAUAAUAAAGAAUGGAAUAAUAGAAGUUCUCUUCAUGAAUACAAAAGAAAUAAUACCCCUUACAGGUACAACAAAUAAUAUCCCUUACCGUAAAAGAAACUUGAUAUCGGAGUAGUGAAGUAGCAGAAUACUUUUCUUCUUUCUCUCUAUAGUUUCUNNNNNNNNNNNNNNNNNNNNNNNNNNNNNNNNNNNNNNNNNNNNNNNNNNNNNNNNNNNNNNNNNNNNNNNNNNNNNNNNNNNNNNNNNNNNNNNNNNNNUAACUUUAUAAAAGUAUUCUGUUUUAUAUAAAAAGAUUUUACUAUUAGCCUAAUAAAACGAAUAACUUUAUAAAAGUAUUCUGUUUUAUAUAAAAAAAAAUUCUAUUUUAUUACAUUAAUAAUACUAAUAAAACAAAACUUAUAUAUAUAUAAUAUAUAUAACAAUCAACAAUAAUUGAAUCAAAUAACGUGAGAUACUAUGCAGCAACUACUGUAGCAAUAAUUGAACAAAACUGAGUGACUUCUCACGUAAACAUCAAUAAUUAAUAUCGUGUGCUACUAUGCAACCACGCGUAUUACUGUACUUUUACUACCGAGUAGUUCAACAGGUUUAAUGGUAAAACUUCCGCUGUUAUUUUCAUAAAAAUAUUUUUGUCGUUUUCUCAAUCCGACAAUAAUUCUGUUGUGGGGUCCACCAAUGAUUGUGCCGUCGUACGAAUAUUCCCUGUUAAAACAAAUAUUUCCCGACCAAUCGAAUAUUAUAUAACAACUUGCAUACUUUGCAAAAUUUAUAAAUACUACCCACAACUAUAACAUUAUCUCAAAUUCACACCAUAAUAUUCAAAAAAAUAUUUCGAGAAAAUUAAAUCUUUAUUCGUAAAAUUUGGGAUUUUACAUUGUCGGCUCACAAUCUCCAGAAGACUAAAAGCCUCCUAUAAUUUUUCAUUAUAAUGUGUUUUUACCCGGAGAUAACUUAACGAAAGAGCCAGCCAUAGUUCAGAAUACAUGGAUCAAUGAUAUUGGAUGGGGGAAGAAGGAAAGAUGCCCUGACCAUCGAUCCACUAACAUUGUGAAAUGUACAUUAUAUACAUUCUCCUUGCUAGCUUUUGUUGGUAACCAAACCUUCACACCAAGGUAACCAAACUGUCAUACCAAGGUAACCAAUCCACACCUCCAUACCAAGGUAACCAAACCUUCAUACCAAGGUAACCAAUCCACACCUGUAGUUUUUUCAUAAUGCAGUUGGUAACCAAACUUUCAUCUCAAGGUUACCAAACCUGCAGUUUUUUUAUAGUGCAGUUGGUAACAAAACUUUCAUACCAAGGUUAUCAAUCCACCUCCACACCUUCAGUUUUUCAUAGUGCAGUUGGUAACUAAACCUCCAUACCAAGGUAACCAAUCCACACUUGCAGUUUUUUCAUAGUGCAGUUGGUGACCAAAUAAACUAUCAUACCAAGGUUACCAAACCUGCAUACCAAGGUUACCAAUCCACCUCCACACCUGCAGUUUUUUCAUAGUUCAGUUGGUAACCAAACUUUCAUACCAAAGUAACUAAACUGUCAUACCAAGGUAACCAAUCCACUUCCACACCUUCAGUUUUUUCAUAGUGCAGUUGGUAACCAAACCUUCACACCAAGGUAACCAAACCUUCAUACCAAGGUAACAAACCUUCAUACCAAGGUAAUCAAACCACAUCCACACCUGCAGUUUGUUCAUAGUGCAGUAAUUGGUAGCCAAACAUUCAUACUAAGGUAACCAAUUCAGUGUUAUUAGGUUACCAAUUUAUUUUGAAUGUGAUGCAGUUGGUAGCCAAACCUUUAUGCAGUGGGUAGCCAAACAUUCAUACCAAGGUAACCAAUUCAGUUUUAUUAAGUUACUAAUUUAUUUUGAAUGUGAUGCAGUUGGUAGCCAAACCUUCAUGCAGUUGGUUGCCAAACUUUCAGUCCAAGGUAACCAAUUCAUACUGUAGGCGUUGAUGUAGAUUGGUUACCUUAGUAUAAAGGUUUGGUUACCUUGGUAUAAAAGUUUGGUUACCUUGGUACGAAGGUUUGGUUAUCAACAUUACAUUACACAUCACUCUCUUAUCUCUCUCUUUUCUAUUCAGAAAAUAAUUUUUUUUUAUAAAACUAGAACUGAAGGUGUUCCAGUACUAUUAUUAAGUAGCUAGCUAGCUUAUUACAUGAUGACACCAAUUAUGCCUUUAUCUCCGUUCAUGUCAUGAACUCUAAUUGCUCUCUGGUGCCAUGACAUUACUAAUGAUCUUCUCCUCUGCAGUAUCUCGUGAAUUUUCUUUUCUUACCGGAAAACGGUUGCUCCCGCCACCACUGCCCCACCCUCCACCUCCACCGUCUCUGUAACCACCACCUGAGCCACCACCGCCAACUCCNNNNNNNNNNNNNNNNNNNNNNNNNNNNNNNNNNNNNNNNNNNNNNNNNNNNNNNNNNNNNNNNNNNNNNNNNNNNNNNNNNNNNNNNNNNNNNNNNNNNNNNNNNNNNNNNNNNNNNNNNNNNNNNNNNNNNNNNNNNNNNNNNNNNNNNNNNNNNNNNNNNNNNNNNNNNNNNNNNNNNNNNNNNNNNNNNNNNNNNNNNNNNNNNNNNNNNNNNNNNNNNNNNNNNNNNNNNNNNNNNNNNNNNNNNNNNNNNNNNNNNNNNNNNNNNNNNNNNNNNNNNNNNNNNNNNNNNNNNNNNNNNNNNNNNNNNNNNNNNNNNNNNNNNNNNNNNNNNNNNNNNNNNNNNNNNNNNNNNNNNNNNNNNNNNNNNNNNNNNNNNNNNNNNNNNNNNNNNNNNNNNNNNNNNNNNNNNNNNNNNNNNNNNNNNNNNNNNNNNNNNNNNNNNNNNNNNNNNNNNNNNNNNNNNNNNNNNNNNNNNNNNNNNNNNNNNNNNNNNNNNNNNNNNNNNNNNNNNNNNNNNNNNNNNNNNNNNNNNNNNNNNNNNNNNNNNNNNNNNNNNNNNNNNNNNNNNNNNNNNNNNNNNNNNNNNNAGAGUGUUGGGAGAUAGCAUUAGAUAUACAUAAUAUUUUUACAUAUUUACUAAUACACAAAAUCAUUUUCUAAUUUCUCUUUCAUCUUUCAUUCUAAACUAGCUAUCAAAGCAAAACAAAAAAGAGAGAGGGAGAGCAUAGAUUUGAUAGCCUUAAGGAGGUAAAGGGGAAGAAUUUUAAUCUUCAUGCACCCUAAGUUCAUCAAUUACUUUGGUAAAAGAAGAAGAACAUCCCAAAGAACAAGGUAAAGACCCUAAAAAAUUUCAAGUUUUGUUACUUUCUUUUGAUAAGUUUUGAUGAAAUAAAGAGCUUGUGUUCUUGAACUUUAAAACUCUUGAUCUACAUGUGUAUGCUUUUUUCACAUGUAGGUCUAGUUAUUUUUGAAGUUAAAAGUUUUUAAAAAAAAGAAAAAAGAAGAAGAAAUGAAAGUAUGUUCAAAAGGGGCUAAACACCCUAAAUUAACUAUUUUUUUUAUUUAGUUUUUUUUGAUGAAAUGUAAAGAUGAUGUUUCUAAGUUCUAAAAUUUUUUAUCUUUAUGUUUUCUAGUGUUUCAUAUAAAGAUCUAACCAUUUUUUAUGUUAAAGGUUUGAUCAAAGGUAAGGAAAGGAAACUAGUUUUUUUUUAACGAAUAAAAACCCUAAAACUUUUUAUUCACUUUGAAAUGCUAUCAUUUAAAAUCUACAUCUCCUAUUUAUGAUCCGUCAAAGAUGGGUGCUAGAUAUAGGAGUUAGCUUUCAAACCUAAGUGGUAUCACUCAAAUAUGUUGAAUUUACAAGCUUUGGUGACUGUUUUAACAAAGCUAUCCAGAUUUUUAAAAGAGAAAAAUGGAACAAUCUCAUUAUACUACAAAACAAUAUUAUUAAGGUUUAUUUACACUAUUUUAAGAGAAGCUAGAAAUGAGUUGCUGUUUGUCCAUAAGCAACAGCCACAAAGGUACUGUCUGAGAGCCUAGGAAGAGCUCCCAGACACUGUUUGUAUGCCUACUGCUACUGCCGAGGCAGUAGCCCUGCACCAAGUUCACUUUUAGCAACUUCUGAUAUUCUACUUUGCUUAGGCUAAAUUUUUAGAGAUGGUAAAGGUACUAUAUUAGUCUCUUUUAGAAACCUACGAGGCUUAAAUUUCACGUUUAUUUACUGUCCAAAAACAAUUGUCAAAGUGACUUAACAUAAUAGGUUUUAAUUUUUCACUUUGGCCUAAUAAUGUAGUUUAUUUCAUUUUAGUAAUGUUAAACUUAUUAAUUAUCUUUAUAUGUGUUGUCUCAACCACACUCAAGCUGCAAUUCCUUCUAAAAUCCCAUUUUUAGUUAAAACAGUUCACCUAGGACUUUUAACAAACAGGUGGUGUGCACAGUUCCAAUUUCUUCUUUUCAUAGCCAUUUAUUUGAGUUAUAAAUCCAUUUUUAUCCUCCUUAUUAUUCCUCAGCCCAACCUAGCUCCUUAUGCCUAAAUCCAGCUCAUAACAGUUAAAUACACGAUUUAAUAUGUGUAUAAUCAAGUAAUUGACAACUAUCUAGUUAUAACUUAGUUAGCUCACUAAUUUUCUUACUUUCAACCUUAUUAACAAUACAUUUCCAGCCCCAACAGUAGGCACAAUCCAUAACAGUUCUAGGCAUAGCAAUAUAUUGUACAAUCAUAAGCAUGUGCAAUCACUUAUUACAAUUAUAGGCAUAAGCAGUCACUUAUUACAACCUAACAAUUUCAAUUCUUGACAUACAAACUUAGUAAACAAUGGUUUUAUUACUCUACAUAAACAAGGUUCACAACUUAUAACUUUAAGCAUGAUAACUAGAAACAACCUCUAUCUUGAUUAAGGUGAAUAUUAAAGCACUUGGAAUAUGUAGUCUCUAAAAGAUAUUUGCAUACAUAGCUUCAAUUGGAUAAAUUCUUAGCUUACAUGUGAUUCUCACAACACAGUUUUUUUAUUAGUUAGUAAUAUAACCAAAUCAAGUCAUGACUUUGAAAUUAUAGGUAGCUAGGGGUUGUUUUGAAUCCUAAUCCAAAACAGGCCCAGAUUUGCCCUACUCUAGGCUCUUUUGAAAACUUCCAUAAACCUUCAUGGUUAGGUUCUUUAGACCCCAUGUUAUAAAGUAUAACCCACUUCAUUUUCAAGGACAGAUAAGUUCUUAUAUAAGUUUAUCAAUCUAGUUAAAAGUGGUUUCAUUUUGCUUAUGUAUAUGAUUGUCAUGGUAUGUAAGUUAUACCAAUACAUGUUAUACUUAGGCAUAGAGGGUACUUGAAGCAUAGCUACCCUUUAAAUGAGAACUUAAACAUAAUUUUGGACUCCAUUCCCAGCCAGCCUAUUUUGACACUAUAACAGUUUUAGAGUAGCAUUUUAGGCAUGGUUUAUUACACCAAAACAGUAGCAAGCACUAACGUAUAUGCCUUUCUAACACAUGAACCUUUUAUGUACCAUAUUUUCAUGAUUUAAAGCAUCUAAAGUCAAGGUCUUUAUGCUUUAGGCCAACACAACCCUCUUUAGUAUUUAAAUUCAAAAACAAACAUGGUUUACCAACAUGUUUACGAAGAUAGCAUAAGUGUGCAACAUAGAAGCUUAUACUAUCUUUUUAUAUAGUAUUUAACAUGCAUAAUAUAUGUUUGGAUGACAUGGAAUAUGUAAGACCCCAACUUAUUAUAAAUAAAAUUGAAUUUCUCUAUUUAUUAUCUUGAAAUAAUAAGGUGAUAAUUUGAUAUAAUACUUUAGUUAUGGGUGAAAUGUGCAAAUUUUGCAAAAUAAGCAAGUGGUUAUAAAAUAUUCAUUUUUGUCGAGGAAUAUUCGUUUGGUCAUGGAAUUUUCUUGUUGUCGGGGAAUAUUCGUAUGACGACGCAGCCAUUUGUUGGACCCAUAACAGAAUAAUUGUCGGAUGAAGAAAACAAUAAGCUUGAGUUUUUAUAAAUAACGGCGUAGUUGUUACCGUUAACACUGUUGGAAUACCCGGUGGUUAAAAUACAGUAAUACGCGUGAUUGCACAGUAGCACAUGGUAUUACACAGUAUUUUUGAAUUAUUAAUUCUUACAUAAGAAGACACUACUUAAUAAUUGUUACAGUAAUUACUGUUCAAUAUUUUAUUUUAUUUAUUCAAUAAUUGUUGCGUUGAUAUUUUAUAGUAUUGUUGUUUCAAUAAUUGUCAUUGCACAGUAUUUCCCAUUAUCAGAUCAAUAAUUCAUAAUAUUUGAAUAAUAUUAUUAGAUAGCAUUAUUGGCAAUGUCUAGAAAGUUUUGUCAAGGAGAGGUUUGGUCACUUAAUUGCGCGCUAGUAAGGAGAAAUUCUUAUCGAAAAGCCCCCUCUUUCCUGGGAACGGCCUGAUUGUCAUUAUUGUGAUUCUGUAAUAUUAUUUGUGAAUAAUUAUUUAUUGAUUUAUAUGAUAAGGAAAUAAUUAUUUUAUAUGGACAUAAAUGAUAUGAGACCCCAGAUUUUAUGAAUAAAUAUUUAUUUUUCUCGAAAUAAUUUUUUAAUAUUAUGGCGUGGAUUUGAUAUAAUGUUAUAGUUGUGGGUAGUAUUUAUAAAUUUUGCAAAGUAUGCAAGUUGUCAUAUUAUAUUCGAUUGGUCGGGAAAUAUUCUUUUUGUCGGAGAAUAUCCGUACGACGGCACAAUCAUUGAUGGACCCCACAACGGAAUAAUUGUUGGAUUGAGAAAACGAUAAAAAUAUUUUAUUAAAAAUAUCGGCGGAAGUUUUACCGUUAAUACUGUUGAACUACUCGGUAGUAAAAGUACAGUAAUACACGUGAUUGCAUAGUAGCACACGGUAUUGAUUAUUGAUGUUUACGUGAGAAGUCACUCAGUUUUGUUCAAUUAUUACUACAUUAGUUGCUGCAUAAUAUCUCACGUUAUUUGAUUCAAUUAUUGUUGAUUGUUAUAUAUAUAUAUAUAUAUAUAUAUAUAAGUUUUGUUUUAUUAGUAUUAUUAAUGUAAUAAAACAGAAAAACUUUUUAUAUAAAACAGAAUACUUUUAUAAAGUUAUUCGUUUUAUUAGGCUAAUAGUAAAAUCUUUUUAUAUAAAANNNNNNNNNNNNNNNNNNNNNNNNNNNNNNNNNNNNNNNNNNNNNNNNNNNNNNNNNNNNNNNNNNNNNNNNNNNNNNNNNNNNNNNNNNNNNNNNNNNNNNNNNNNNNNNNNNNNNNNNNNNNNNNNNNNNNNNNNNNNNNNNNNNNNNNNNNNNNNNNNNNNNNNNNNNNNNNNNNNNNNNNNNNNNNNNNNNNNNNNNNNNNNNNNNNNNNNNNNNNNNNNNNNNNNNNNNNNNNNNNNNNNNNNNNNNNNNNNNNNNNNNNNNNNNNNNNNNNNNNNNNNNNNNNNNNNNNNNNNNNNNNNNNNNNNNNNNNNNNNNNNNNNNNNNNNNNNNNNNNNNNNNNNNNNNNNNNNNNNNNNNNNNNNNNNNNNNNNNNNNNNNNNNNNNNNNNNNNNNNNNNNNNNNNNNNNNNNNNNNNNNNNNNNNNNNNNNNNNNNNNNNNNNNNNNNNNNNNNNNNNNNNNNNNNNNNNNNNNNNNNNNNNNNNNNNNNNNNNNNNNNNNNNNNNNNNNNNNNNNNNNNNNNNNNNNNNNNNNNNNNNNNNNNNNNNNNNNNNNNNNNNNNNNNNNNNNNNNNNNNNNNNNNNNNNNNNNNNNNNNNNNNNNNNNNNNNNNNNNNNNNNNNNNNNNNNNNNNNNNNNNNNNNNNNNNNNNNNNNNNNNNNNNNNNNNNNNNNNNNNNNNNNNNNNNNNNNNNNNNNNNNNNNNNNNNNNNNNNNNNNNNNNNNNNNNNNNNNNNNNNNNNNNNNNNNNNNNNNNNNNNNNNNNNNNNNNNNNNNNNNNNNNNNNNNNNNNNNNNNNNNNNNNNNNNNNNNNNNNNNNNNNNNNNNNNNNNNNNNNNNNNNNNNNNNNNNNNNNNNNNNNNNNNNNNNNNNNNNNNNNNNNNNNNNNNNNNNNNNNNNNNNNNNNNNNNNNNNNNNNNNNNNNNNNNNNNNNNNNNNNNNNNNNNNNNNNNNNNNNNNNNNNNNNNNNNNNNNNNNNNNNNNNNNNNNNNNNNNNNNNNNNNNNNNNNNNNNNNNNNNNNNNNNNNNNNNNNNNNNNNNNNNNNNNNNNNNNNNNNNNNNNNNNNNNNNNNNNNNNNNNNNNNNNNNNNNNNNNNNNNNNNNNNNNNNNNNNNNNNNNNNNNNNNNNNNNNNNNNNNNNNNNNNNNNNNNNNNNNNNNNNNNNNNNNNNNNNNNNNNNNNNNNNNNNNNNNNNNNNNNNNNNNNNNNNNNNNNNNNNNNNNNNNNNNNNNNNNNNNNNNNNNNNNNNNNNNNNNNNNNNNNNNNNNNNNNNNNNNNNNNNNNNNNNNNNNNNNNNNNNNNNNNNNNNNNNNNNNNNNNNNNNNNNNNNNNNNNNNNNNNNNNNNNNNNNNNNNNNNNNNNNNNNNNNNNNNNNNNNNNNNNNNNNNNNNNNNNNNNNNNNNNNNNNNNNNNNNNNNNNNNNNNNNNNNNNNNNNNNNNNNNNNNNNNNNNNNNNNNNNNNNNNNNNNNNNNNNNNNNNNNNNNNNNNNNNNNNNNNNNNNGAUAUUGUUUAGAAGACAAUAUUUGUAUUAAAACUCACAGCUCUCUUGUUGUAUAUUAAAGAUUGUAUUUGUAUUCUGUACCAUGUAUUUGGCGACUCAGAAUAGGUGAUGUAUACCUAUUUUGGGGGCGUCACAGUUGGUAUCAAAGCUUAGGGAUAUGAUCCCUGGCUGAGAUGUGAGAUAAGAACUAGGAGGGGAGAGACGGGGAAUUCCUUCGCUAGUAUGAACUACCUAAGUUUAUUUGGUAUUUAAUUGGUCGGUUAGAGUAUAGGGAUAAUAUGUGUUAUGUUAAUUAACCCUUAUUUUGUGGCAGUAUUUAAAAAUGGCAUCCGAUAAUGUUGAGAAUAGCAAUGGAGCACAGGAGACCGUUGAGUCUCCACAGAUUAAUAAUCAGGACAAUGUGCAACCGGAUGACGAUAAUCCUCCUGUAAACAACAACACUAAUCAAUUGACGAACGACGGUACGUUUAAGAGCUUUUUAGAAUUCAUGCAACACCAAACGAGAGAGACUCCUGUUCAUAAUGCUGGAGGAAACAAUGGCAACCCACGGUUGGUCACCGCUAAGUAGUUCAAGGAGCUGGGACCACCAGAGUUUUUGGAAAAGCCAGAACCACUUAAGGCAGAGACGUGGUUAAAGCAGAUCACCAAGAUAUUUGAUGUCUUGGGAUGCUUGAAAGAGCAAAAAGUUCCAUUCGCCACCUUUAUGUUUCGUGAAGAAGCAGAUCACUGGUGGGAAUCUAUAAAACGUACCCAGCCUGACGCACUCAAGAUAUCUUGGGAGAAGUUCCAAGAGCUGUUCAACGACAAGUACUUUCCUGAAAGUAUUCGUCACAUGAAGGAGGUGGAGUUCAUCAAGCUGGAGCAAAACAAUAUGACCGUGUCGCAGUACGAGGCUAAGUUUGCCGAGUUGUUCCGAUUUGCGUUCCAUUUGGUUGAUAAUGAGGAAAGAAUGACGCGAAUGUUUCUAAGAGGUUUGAAAUCCAAUAUACGUCAAUACCUCAUUUCUCACAAACUUUAUUUAUAGUCAGAUGUUGUGAAUAGGGCUCAGUUAUUGGAGCACGAUAAUGAGUUAGCACAACCAAAAGGCAAUGACCAACAACACGAUAAUAAUUAUAUCAGUGGCAACGGUCAUCGGAACAAUGAUAACCAUCGUGGGGGAAAUUAUCAUGCCAAGAAUGGUAACCACUUCGCUGGUAAUCAUGGACAAGAUAAUAGAAGUGGAAAUUUCAAGAAGAGAAGGUUCAAUAAUGAUGGAAAGACAGUAGCACCAGCACCCGUUUCAAAGGAAGAAGAACGACCACCGAUCGUAUGUUUCAAAUGCGGACAGGAGGGACACAUCCGUCCAAACUGUAUGCAGCAAUCCAAAACGUGUUUUAAUUGCGAAAGAGAAGGUCACCUAGCUCGAUUUUAUCGUAUGGUAAAGUCAAGUCCAGCUGGGAUAGUGAUGCCAAAGGAUGUCCCAGACAAGCCAAAGCUGAUAAUUUAAGAGAGAACGUUUUUUUUCUCGUGACGAGGAACCUGAAUAAAAUUAUCAUGGGUAAGUUAAUCAUAAACUCUUGCGAAGUCUAUACCAUGUUAGAUACCGGUUUUACUCACUCUUUUAUUUCACCUAGUUGUGUUCAAUGUUUGUACUUAACUCCGGAGAAGUUAGAAUCUGAUUUAUCUAUUAAAACUCCGUUGGGAGAAACCUUCGUUACAUCUAUUAUUUAUAAAUCUUGUUUGAUUCAAAUCGACACUUUCAUGUUACCUGUCGAUCUUAUCUCUUUGAAAAUACUUAUCUUUGAUGUGAUUUUAGAAAUCGAUUGGUUAACUACUCAUCAUGCUUUUCGUAAGGUUGUUAGAUUUCAUAUUCCUAACCAACCUGUUAUGCAAAUUCAAGCAACCAAACCACUAAAUUCAAUCAUUGUCAUAUCAAGCCAUAAGUAAAGAGCCCCGAUCCUUUUGUUGUUGACUUCCUUGUGUGGAAUGCACUGAAGCCAGACUUUCUGUAUGCGACAUCAUGAAUGACGAUGGCAAGUUGAUAGGUAUUAAUAUGACGUACUAUCCAAGUCUUGGAUGAGAGUAACAGUUUUGAAUGAUAUUUCUAUCGUUAAUAAAUUUCCUGACGUAUUCCUGAAGACUUCAUAGCCUACCCCUAGAGCAUGAAAUCGAAUUUUAUAUUGACCCCAGUACAAAACCCAUUUCUUACACCCUCGAAUAUUUCUUCAACUAAAAUGAACGUAACAUACGCCAAAGACGUUGAAUCGAGCUGUUGAAGAUUACGAACGUACCAUUCAAUACCAUCGUAGGAAAAGCUAACAUGGUUGCUAACGCGUUGAGUAGAAGAUCGUAUGCGGUUACAAGUGCGAAUAUAAGAACCCACGUGAAGAUAAUGAAUAUACGAGUAGAAUUGACUUUAAUCAAUAAAGUUAAAGCCGCUCAAGCUAAAUACUCAGAGCUGAUGAAUGUGAAAAAGAAGGUUUAAGAGGGUGUUAUUCUAGAAGCAAGAAUCGAUGAAGAGAGGAAAUCUCAACCCUCGAUUUAAUUGGCCCAUUUGAAAUCCUCGAUUGAGUAGGAACUGUGGCUUACAGACUCAUUUUACCGCCAAGUAUGUCGCGUGCUCAUAACGUUUUUAACGUAUCGAUGUUACGUAAAUAUGUGGACGACCCAAACCACAUUAUUAAUUUAGAACCAGAUGAGAUAGCAGAUGAUUUAACGUAUGAGGAGAUACGUGUUAAAAUCUUGGAUAAGAAGGAUUAUAUUCGACACUCAAAGGUUAUAUCUCAAGAGUUAGAAUCUGAAAUGAAGUCAAGGUAUCCUCACCUGUUCGGCAUACCAGGUACGUACGUAAAUUUUGAGGGCGAAAUUCCAUAAGGAGGGGAGAUUGUGAGACCCCAGAUUUUAUGAAUAAAUAUUUAAUUUUCUCAAAAUAAUUUUUUAAUAUUAUGGUGUGGAUUUGAUAUAAUGUUAUAGUUGUGGGUAGUAUUUAUAAAUUUUACAAAGUAUGCAAGUUGUCAUAUUAUAUUCGAUUGGUUGGGGAAUAUUCUUUUUGUUGAGGAAUAUCCGUACGACGGCACAAUCAUUGGUGGACCCCACAACGGAAUUAUUGUCGGAUUGAGAAAACGACAAAAAUAUUUUAUUAAAAAUAACGGCGGAAGUUUUACUGUUAAUACUGUUGAACUACUCGGUAGUAAAAGUACAGUAAUACGCGUGGUUGCAUAGUAGCACACGGUAUUGAUUAUUGAUGCUUACGUGAUAAGUCACUCAGUUUUGUUAUUGGUAUUAUUAAUGUAAUAAAACAUAAAAUCUUUUUAUAUAAAACAGAAUACUUUUAUAAAGUUAUUCUAUAAAUAGAAUAUAUUAUAUUCUAUUAUGCAUAGUGUUUUGCAUAGUAAAAUCUUUUUAUAUAAAACAGAAUACUUUUAUAAAGUUAUUCUAUAAAUAGAAUAUAUUAUAUUCUAUUAUGCAUAGUGUUUUGCAUAGUAAAAUCUUUUUAUAUAAAACAGAAUACUUUUAUAAAGUUAUUCUAUAAAUAGAAUAUAUUAUAUUCUAUUAUGCAUAGUGUUUUGCAUAGUAAAAUCUUUUUAUAUAAAACAGAAUACUUUUAUAAAGUUAUUCUAUAAAUAGAAUAUAUUAUAUUCUAUUAUGCAUAGUGUUUUGCAUAGUAAAAUCUUUUUAUAUAAAACAGAAUACUUUUAUAAAGUUAUUCUAUAAAUAGAAUAUAUUAUAUUCUAUUAUGCAUAGUGUUUUGCAUAGUAAAAUCUUUUUAUAUAAAACAGAAUACUUUUAUAAAGUUAUUCUAUAAAUAGAAUAUAUUAUAUUCUAUUAUGCAUAGUGUUGCAUAGUGUCUGCAUAGUGAUUUGCAUAGUAAAAUCUUUUUAUAUAAAACAGAAUAUUUUUAUAAAGUUAUUCGUUUUAUUAGAUUAUAAAUAGAAUAUAUUAUAUUUUAUUUAAAAGAUUUUGCUUUAAAUAUGGACCGUCCGAUUAAAGUAAAUCAAUCUGGACCGUUCAUGAGUUAGUUACUAUGUAGUCCAUUCUUCUAUAAAUAGAAGCUCAUUCCUUCAUUAUUUUCUUACGAAUUCACUGAAACCCUAGAGAGAGAAAUUAUAGAGAAAAAAAAGAAAAGUAUUCUGCUACUUUACUACUCCGAUAUCAAGUUUCUUUUACGGUAAGAGAUAUUAUUUGUUGUACUCGUAAGGGGUAUUAUUUCUUUUGUAAUCAUGAAGAGAACUUCUGUUAUUCCAUUCUUUAUUAUUCUGUUGGAAUAACCUGUAUACGUGGUCUACCCUAUACUUGGUGAAAUUCUUCUGUUAUUCAAUUCUUUAUUAUUCUAUUGGAAUAUCCUGUCUGUGCGUUUUAUGCCAGACCUGGUUCCGUCUUUAUUAUUCUGUUGGAAUAUCCUGUCUGUGCGUUUUACGCCGGACCUGGUUCCGUCUUUAUUAUUCUGUUGGAAUAUCCUGUCUGUGCGUUUUACGCCGGACCUGGUUCCGUUAUUUAUUAUUCUGUUGGAAUAACCUGUCUAUUCGAAGUACCGCAUGCAUGGUGAUUUUUGUUGUUAUUCCAUUCUUUAUUAUUCUAUUGGAAUAUCAUGUCUGUGCGUUUUACGCCAGACCUAGUUCUAUCUUUAUUAUUUUGUUGGAAUAACCUGUCUAUGUGAAGUAUCGCAUGCAUGGUAAUUUCUGUUGUUAUUCCAUUCUUUAUUAUUCUGUUGGAAUAUCCUGUCGGUGUGUAUUACGCCUGACCUGGUUCCGUUAUUUAUUAUUCUAUUAGAAUAACUUGUCUAUGCGAAGUACCGUAUGUAUGGUGAUUUCUUUUCUUAUUCCAUUCUUUAUUAUACUCAGUUAGUUAAAGUUUUGACUUCUAUACUCCAUGAAAUUAGUGGAAUAUCCUUGAUAUUUAUACUUCAUCCAGUAUCUUUUCAUGAAAAUAUUCUUCUGAGCAUUCUUGAAUUUUACUCUACAAAGAAGUAUCAUGUUGAAAAUUUGGACGUUAUUGAUUCCUGGAUAAAUUAAUUCGUGAACUUGUUUUAUUGAAUUAUUAUGUCAUUGUCAUCAUCCUCAUGUUUAUUUUUUUUGAAAGUCAUCUGUGGCCUGUAGUGCAUAGAUGGACUUGGUAUGAUUAUGACCAGGGAUUAUUCGGUAUAAUCAUGACCGUAAUAUUACAAAUGAUGUGGAAAAAGUCCUCAUUGGCCCGUAAUGCAUUAAUGGACAGUUUUCGGUAUGAUUAUGGCUAUGGAUUCUCUUCGGCCAAGGGUGCAAAAAUGAAUUGUUUUAUGUCAUGAUCAGGACCGUUGAUGAAAACACGAUUUUCUUUGGCCCGUAGUGCAUGGAUAAUUCGUGGUCGUGAUACUAAAGAAUAUCCUUGGCCUGUAGUGCAGGGAUGAUUUGAUGAUGUGGAUUAUUUAUUGGGCUGAGUCUCAGCAAUAAAAGUGAUGAAAAAACUUUUUAAAUCAUAAAACAUAGUAGAUUCUAUUCUCUACUUGACUCUUUUAAUGGAUUGCUUGUUCCGCUGCAGUUAAACUUGAUGUCUAUUGUAUUUUAUCAGUUUAACAUUGUUGAAGACUAAUGAUAAUUUAUUCUGCACUAUCUUAGUCAUAAUAUUUCUUACUGGGCUAGUUGAGCUCACCCUUUCUUUCACUGUUCUAUUCAGGAAAUGAGAAUAUAGCUGGGGCGAGUCGGGGAACGGAGUGAUGGACCAGAUGAUAGUAUUAGUAGUCCUCACUAUUCUGUUAAAUAGUGUGAUAAUAAAUGUAAUGAGGACAUAUUCUGAGAGUGGAUAUUGUUUAGAAGACAGUAUUUGUAUUAAAACUCACAGCUCUCUUGUUGUAUAUUAAAGAUUGUAUUUGUAUUAUGUACCAUGUAUUUGGCGACUCAGAAUAGGUGAUGUAUACCUAUUUUGGGGGCGUCAAAAAUGAUGGGUAGAAAAAUAUUUAUUUUGUGUGGUUAUAAAUGAAGAAAUUAAUUUUGAGGUAUUUUAUAAUUAUUUUGUCAGAAUGGAUGUAUUAAAAAUCAUCCGUAUGUGGAUUUCGGACAUUUUUUGUUUAGAAUUUGGAAAAACUUUCUUCUCUAAAGUUGUAGAGAAUUUGAUUUCCUAUGGAAUGGACAUAAAAUUCAUAUUUUUCUGAUAAAAGAGCUAUUUAUUGUGAAUUAAAUGGAGUAAAGAUAAUCAAAUUGAAUUAGUUUUCAAAUUGAAUUUGAAUUCUUUUAUUUAUUUAUUUUUCAAAAAUAUGUGAUAAAUUAUUGGGGUGGGUGAGCAAAGUUGGACAAUCUUGAUUCAAGUAAGGUGUGCGUAGAAGAGAAGGAAAUAAGAAUAUUAUUUUAUUAUUUUAGUCUCCUUUGGCGUUCUAGCAUUUUUCUAUAAAUAGGUGCUUAAGUUAGAAUUGAAAAUCACACCAGAAACAUAAGCUUUCUCUCUCUAGAUUAUCGAGCGUAUUAUUGUGAGUAUUUUUCUUGAGUAUAGGAAUACUUUGAGCGUAGUUUUCUGCAAGAUUUUCUCAGAAUAAUAUCCAAUAUUCCAGGCAAAUCCAGUUUCUACUAAGGUAAAGGAUAUUAUUUUAUUGCUUUUAUAAUUCCUGAAAUGAUUAGAAAUUUCACUUCAUCUAAUAUCCUUUUAUAGGAAUAUUGGUCUGAACUUUUUAUCAAAUUUAGAACUUUUCAUGACGGGUACUGUUCACCGGUACUGUUCACGGGUACUGUUCAAAAAAGAAAAAAAAAUUUCUCCUUCCCAGUUAUCUGUUGUGACCUUUAAUCCUGAAAUUGAAUCCAUGUUUUUGAUCUUUAUUCUUGAAUUUUACUCCAUUAUGGUUUAUUAUGGAGUAUUUUUAAACUUGAGUUAUCUAAAGUACAAAUCUCUAAACUUUAUCCUUUUAUCUCACUUGAUUCGUUCUCUAAAAUGUUUUUCAUCAUCCUCAGUCCUUAAUGGUGAUACUUGAUAAAUAUCUUUGGCCUGUAGUGCAAAGAUGUAUGAUUACCUGAUGAAUAUCUUUGGCCUGUAGUGCAAAGAUGAACAGGUGUUGAGAUGAACAUGACCAACUGGUGAUACAAAUGAAUAUCUUUGGCCCGUAGUGUAAAGAUGAAUAUUUGAUUCAAGAUGUAUAUUGAUUGAUGUUACAGGGAUAAAAUAUUGAUGAUGGACUUUUAAAUUCAUAGAUGAUAGUAGAUUUCAUUCUCUACUUAACUCUUCUAAUGAAUUGUUGUUUCCGCUGCAGUUGUUGAUCUAAAACUUGUUGUCUAUUGUAUUCUAUCAGAUUUUUCCCUGUUGAAGACUAAGGAUAAUUUGUUGUAUAUUAUCUUAGUCAUAAUAUUCUUUACUGGGCUAGUUGAGCUCACCCUUUUCCUUUUUGUUCCAUUUUUCUUCUCAGGAAGCGAGAACAUAGCAGGAACCAGUCGGGGUAUAGAGUGAUGGUCCUAGACAGUUGUUUUAGAAGUCCUCACUAUUUUUGUAAAAUAGUGCAUCAAUAAUUGUAAUGAAGACUUUAUUUGAGUGUGGAUAUUGUCUAGAAGACAAUAUUUGUAUUUAAACUCACAGUAUGUGUUGUCGUAUUUUGCACGACAAUUGUAAUAAUAAAGUUGUAGUUAUUUUCUGUACCAUAUAUUUGGCGACUCAGAAUGGGUGAUGUAUACCUAUUUUAGGGGCGUCGCAGAAUAGCUUAUACCAUAUCAGUCAUUAUCAAAUCCUCUAGUCUAGCAUACAAAAUCCUUAAAACGGUGGCUAAGUCUUAGUUAAAUGCUUAGCUCAUAUAUAGACCGGUAUACACCAAGUUAUAAUCAUCUUAUGCUCAUGCAAAACUAACCUUUUAAGCACAUUUGCAUCUUUAGAAUUUUAAUAUAGAAUAUUGGCAUAGGAUUAGACUUGGCUGUACUCAUUUUCAACACAGUUGACUCCAAUAGUCUAUUAACAGACAUUUUACCAAACAGUUGGGAUGCGGUUCAUAUCUAUCCAUACAAUACAUAUAUUCUUAGCUUAGUGAUCCCAGCCUUAUGGCUUAAACAAUAACAAGCAUAAGAUGAUACAUAACAACUCCAAUCACGGUAAUCCAAAUAGCAUUGAAACAGGCAUCCUAUUGUACCAAUUCCAAUAUAACAGCCAUACAUGUUACCUAAACUCUAACAGUCCAGUUGCUAUCAUUUAAAGAAACAGGAACGAAUGGAAAAGGAUUGGAAAGGUCAGAAUUGGCUUACCUUGUUGAUUUGAAGGUUACAAGUGGGUUGAGCUGCCCAGUUUCUCCUCCUUCUCUAGCCGAAGCUUUUCCUCUCUUACUCUAUAUGACUGAUACCGUUACUUCUUCCCUUUUUCUUUUAACUUUGCUAAGUGGUGAGCUAAUCGGUUCUAGGCCAUAAGCUUGGCCUUUUAUGGUUGAGUUUAUCUCCUCUUUUCUGGCAGUACUAUCACCUUUAGUUGGCCUCUACACAACCACCCUAUCAAGCUCCCAUCCAUCAUUCCUAUUCUAGUUCACUUGGCCCCUAUAGGGCCUGUCAGACCAUAGCUAUUCUGCUUCCUCUUAUCCACUGCAAGUUUAUCCCACCUGCUAGCUGACUGUUAACUGAACUAACAUGCUAACUAGAAACCAACUUAGAAUUCGUAUAACUUGCUACUUGACUUGGUGCUCAAGCCAUGUUAUUGUUUUUCUUAAUUGGUUUGAAGCAGUUAUCUUGCUAUACAUCACUGGGUUUACAGGAUUGGGCUGGGGGAACAAUGUGACAAUUUUAAUUUGGGUUUAAACUAACCCUCCCUCUUUAACCAUGUAGCUGCCAAAUUGCACUAAGAAAAUAGGUUAAAAUUGGCCCUUUUAAUUUUGUUAUAGACCUAAUACAACAACCCAUACCCUAAAAUAGUUGAAAGGGGCAUACAAGCAUACAUAGCAAAAUUUAAUAUGGCCCAAUGUUUUAGAAUGGACUCAUUUUAAACACAAAAUUUUUUCUAUCUUAUUAAAUUCCUUUUAGGCUAGCAACAAUAGUUGGUACAUAUAUCAUUAACUCUUUUUUUUUACCAUUCAUGAUCUAAGAUACUUAAUAAAAUAUUAAGUAACAAAUAAUUAUAAGGUCAGGAUACAAAAAUAAAAUAAAAUUUAUACACAAAAUUGACAUUAUAACAACUGAAUAUUUUAUAGAAUUUCUGAGUCAUUACAUUUACUUUGUUAAGGACUAAUGAUAAUUUAUUUUACAUUAUCUUAGUCAUAAUAUUCUUUACUAGGCUAGUUGAGCUCACCAUUUUCUUUCAUUGUUCUUUUCAGGAAAUGAGAAUAUAGUUGUGACUAGUCGGAGAAUGGAGUGAUGGUCCAAGAUGGUUGCUAUAGUAGUCCUCACUAUUCUAUAAAAUAGUGUGAUAAUAAUUGUAAUGAGAACUUCAUUUGAGUUUGGAUAUUGUCUACGAAAUAAUAUUUGUAUUAAAACUCACAACUUACGUUUUGUCGUAUUUUACACGACAAUUAAUAAUUGUAUAAAUGCAGUUUGUAUUUGAAUUUUGUACCAUGUAUUUGGUGACUCAGAAUGAGUUGUAUGGACCUAUUUUGGGGGAGUCACGAAUAGGACCCAAGAAGAUUUGGGUACGAAAAAGGUAGACUAUUUGUUCAUUUUGUCAAUGUCUUAAGUUCAAAAAGGAGACGAAUAGUACUUAUAAAUUAUUUGGCAAAAUCUGUAAGUACCUUAUAUUUUUUUCUAAAAUAGUGUUUUAAUUAGAUAUAUUAUGAAAAAUCUAUGGAUUUCGUAUUACAUGGGUUCAUAACAUCAUUUAUUAUAAAGUAUAUAUUGUGCUAAAUGCUCCAUAUUUAAUACAAAUGACAAUCUUGAUGAGGAAUAAGUGAAUAUUAUUUUUGAUUAACUUAACCAUGAUCUGCUAAAGGAAGAGAAUGAGGUUUCUGUUGGAAAUGACUAUUUGAAUUGUGGAACCCAAACAGUUCAAUCCGGACAGUCUAAGAUGUGAGACCCCGAAUUUUAUGAAAUAAAAGUAUUAAAUUUUUCUAUUUUGGUAAAUAGUUAAAUUGAUAAAAGUUUAAAGUUAAGGGUCAUAUUUGAAAAUUUUGCAAAGUAUGCAAGUUGUUAUAAAUAUUCGAUUGGUCGGAGAAUAUUCUUUUUGUCGGGGAAUAUUCGUACGACGGCACAAUCUUUGGUGAACCCACAACGGAAGUACUGUCGUAGUUAGAAAAAGACAAAAAUAUUUUAUGAAAAUAACGACGAAGGUUUUACCGUUAAAAUUGUUGAACUACCCGGUAGUAAAAGUACAAUAAUACUCGUGGUUGCAUAGUAGCACACGGUAUUGAUUAUUGAUACUUAUGUGAGAAGUCACUGAGUUAUACUCAAUUAUUGCUACAGUAAUUGUUGCAUCAUAUCUCUCAUAUUAUUGAUUCGAUUAUUGUCAGUAUCAUCUGCAUUAUAUGUUAUUUUAUUAAAUCAAUAAUUGAGACGACAAAGUUAUUCAUAUUAUUAAAUUGCAAUAUUUAUAAUGUCUAGAAGUUCUGUCAAGGAGAGGUUAGAUAAUCUAAUUACGCGCCAAUAGGGAGAAAUCUUUAUCGGAAAGCCCCCUCUUUCCUGGGAACAACCUGGUUGUUAAAUAUUGUGAGUUAUGAUAUUAAUGAUGGAUAAGUUCGUGUUGAUUAAAGAUGAAUUUUAUAGUUUUAUUGUGUUGGGAUUAUUUGUGUUAGUAGAAAUUGACAUCUAUUCCGAUGAUUAUUGAUGUCUGGAGGUUAUAUUGUUCAAUCGGGUAUUCGGGACACUUUUCAUGUCAGAGUUAUUAUUCAUGAGUUACUAUUCACGAGUUACUAUUCAUGAGUUACUAUUCACUAGUUACUAUUCACAAGUUACUAUUCACCUAAUUACUAUUCACUCUAGUAUUGUGCAUUCGGGUAUUUGGGUACAAUAUUAUUCCAUGAGGAGAUGUGUUAAUUUUUCUGACCGUUGGUUGAAAUUAUAAUAGUAAAUCAAUAUGGAUCGUUGAUUUAAAGUCUUAAUAGUAACUUGUCCCUUCAAUAUUACCAAGAGUUAAUUGCCCCUUCGUAAAUAGUAGUUGUCCCUUCAAUAUUACCAAGAGUUAUUUGCCUCUUCGGUGUUCCAAGAGUUAAUUACCCCUUCGCAAACAGUAGUUGUCUCUUCAAUAUUACCAAGAGUCAUUUUGACCCUUCGUUAAGACCAAGAGCCACUCUCAGUUUUUCUAUAAAUAGAAGCUCAUUCCUUCAUUAUUUCUUACGAAUUCACUGAAACUCUAGAGAGAGAAAUUAUAGAGAGAAAGAAGAAGAGUAUUCUGUUACUUCACUACUUCGAUAUCCAGUGUCUUUUACGGUAAGGGAUAUUAUUUGUUGUACCCGUAAGGGGUGUUAUUCUUUCUUAGUCAUGAAGAGAACUUCUGUUAUUCCAUUCUUUAUUAUUCUGUUGGAAUAACCUGUAUAAGCGGCAUACCCUAUACAUAACCUGUAUAUGCGGCAUACCCUAUACUUGGUGAAAUCCCUUUGUUAUUCCAUUCUAUAUUAUUAUGUUGGAAUAACCUGUUUAUGCCAAGUACCGUAUGCAUAGUGAAAUUCUUCUAUUAUUUCAUUCUAUAUUAUUAUGUUGGAAUAACCUGUUUAUGCGAAGUACCGCAUACAUGGUGAAAUUCUUCUAUUAUUCCAUUCUUUAAUAUUCUGUCAGAAUAUCCUGUCGGUGUGAAUUUCGGCUGACCUGGUUCCAUUUAUUAUUCUGUUGGAAUAACCUGUAUACGCGUAUUACCGUAUACUUGGUGAUGUCUGUUGUUCUUCCAUUCUUUACUAUUCUGCUGGAAUAUCCUGUCUGUGCGUUUUACGCCAGACCUGGUUCCGUCUUUAUUAUUCUGUUGGGAAUAACUUGUCUGUGUGGUCUCUAUCGCAUGCAUGAUGAAUCCUUCUGUUAUUCCAUUCUUUAUUAUUCUGUUAGAAUAACCUGUCUAUGUGGAUUACCACAUGCAUGGUGAAUGAUCCUUUAUAUUCAUUCCUUAUUAAAUUGUGGAAAUGAUCCGGUUACGUUGAUUAUGAUGAGAGUCAUAAUAAAAGUAUUGGACUAAUGAAAAUCAUGGGUAUAUGUGGUAUUAGUAAGUGUUAUGAUGAGUUAUGUUGGUUAUUAUGUGAAAACAUGAAAGUUUCUUAGAAAUCACAAAGGGUUGAAAAUCAGAUUUUGGUGAAAAUAGAACAUGAAAUUCAAUUGACCAUAUCUCCUAUUAUAUUUCAAAUUUUUGGGUGUGGUUAAGUUCUAGAGUUAGGUCUAUGAGUUAUGUAACUUAUCCAAGUGGAAUCACUGGAAAAGGUGUUGUAGAUUUUCGUGUGGACUGAUUUUAGCAAAGGAGUGCAAAGCUGCAAAAACCCAAAACUCUACUGCCCAGAAACUUUAAGGGGCUGUUUCGGCUACUUAAUUUGUGAGAACAAUUCUGGCCUUUUGGGACAUGAAAUUAUAUGAUAUAAAGUACCUCCUGUCCAAAAAUGAGCUCAUUCUGACUUAAAAUGAGCAAGUUAUGACCAUUUCAAUAUUUAGGUUUUUCCGACGAAAAACGCUAUAACCGGAGUUCUAUAACUCCGAUGACCAUGAAAUUUAAAUUGGAAGCUCAUGUUAACAUGUGUAAGAUUAUGCCAAGAUUUGGGAAUUUUUGGAGUUAACCUUGAGGUAGCUAACUUCUUAAGGAAUUAAUUAGAAAUUGAUUUUUGAAAAAUAGUAAAUGAAUUUUAAAAAUUCCGAGAAAAAUAUAUGUUCAUUAUGGGACUAUAUUCUGCUAAAUACCAGAAAAGAAAUAUUUUUGGGACUGAUUUGGUAUUUUUCAUGAAAAUAGUUUAGUUACGAACUUAUGAGUUAAAUAUGUUAUGUGAAGUAACAAAAUUGGAAAAAUAGGAUUUAUGGUUUGGAAGGUAUAUGCAGAUUUUUGAUAAAGAAUUUGAUUAUUGGUGAUGAGAUCUUAUGAGUAUGGCAUUUUGAAUGAUUAAAUACAUUAUAUGGUAAAGUGUAAGCAAUUGAAAUAAAUUAUUUAUAAGUUUGAGAAGCGAUUAAAAUAUUGUUAUAAUAUUAAUAAUAUUAGAUUAUGAGUUAUUGAUAAUAUUUGGAUAAGUUUAAAGUCUUUAGUAUUUAUCCUUGUUUUCGUAUGAUUAAUGCUUAUAUCAUUGUCAUCAUCCUCAUGCUUAUAUGGUGAUGAAAGUUAUCUUUGGCUUACGUGCAAAAAUGGACUUUUGAUUAUUGAAUUGUAUAUCUUUGGCUCACGUGCAGAGCUAGUUUGUUGAUUAUUGGUUUUAUUGUUGUAUAUCUUUGGCUUACGUGCAGAGAUGAAUUUGGUAUGAUUAUGACCAAGGAUUAUUCGGUAUAGUCAUGACUAUUGAUGAUUUAAUGAAUAUCCUUGGCCCGUAGUGUAGGGGUGAUUCGAUGAUGUGGUUUAUUUAUUAAGCUGAGUCUCAAUGAUAAAAAUGGAUGAAAACAUUUUUAAAUCAUAGAAGAUAGUAGAUUUUAUUCUCUACUUGACUCUUUUAAUGGAUUGCUUGUUCCGCUGCAGUUAAACUUGAUGUCUAUUGUAUUUUAUCAGUUUAACAUUGUUGAAGACUAUUGAUAAUUUAUUCUGCAUUAUCUAGUCAUAAUAUUUCUUACUGGGCUAGUUGAGCUCACCCUUUCUUCACUGUUCUCUUCAAGAAAUGAGAAUAUAGCUGGGACGAGUCGGGGAACAGAUUGACAGUCCAGAUGAUAGCAUUAGUAGUCCUCACCAUUCUGUUAAAUAAUGUGAUAAUAAAUGUAAUGAGGACUGAAUUUGAGUUUGUAUACUGUCUAUGAGGACUCCAUUGAGAAUUGAUAUUGUCUAGAAGGCAAUAUUCUUGUUUAAACUCUCAGUUUAUGUUUUACACGACAGUUGUAUAAUUAUGUUGUAUUUGAUUUAUGUACCAUGUAUUUGGCGACUCAAGAUGGGUGAUGUAUACCUAUUUUGGGGGCGUCACAUAAGACGUCUGCAUCAGAAGGAAAUAUAGAUGAAAUCAGACAGUUUGACCUGUCUGUUUUAGAAGAAAACUCAAAUUUACAAACACCUAAAUCUAGAAAAAUCGAGAGGUCUGCUUUAGAAUAAAAAACAUAUGAAUAUUCGGAUGCAGUAACUUAUAUUCCAGAGGAUGAAUCUGAAAAGCAAAUGACUUCUUCCAGGCUUCCUAAAUCUUCUAGAACUAUGGGAAAUCAUCCUCCAAGUCUGAUCAUCAGAAAUUUCAACAUUAGGAUGUCCACAAGAAGAGGUUUUGAAGAAAUUUGUUUGCUACACUAAAGGAGCUCAUCUAUCAAGCUUAUUGUUGGUAACAAAAUUGUGGAUAUAUAGGUAACAAAUCACAAAGGUAUGGUUAUUUUAUUUAAGUGCUAUAUGUGAUAUUGUUACAAGCUUGAUGUCGUGUCUUUAUUUUAUGAAUUAUUUUUUGUUAGUGACAAAUGGGGAGAGAUAUAGCUAAAUUGAUGAUUUAUUUCUUUUUGAUAAUGAUAAGGGGAGAAAUGUUUAAAAAUAUUGAUGAUUAUGAUAUUUGAUGGUUAUAUUGAUUAUAAUAUGUUUGGAUUUUUUGGAUAUCAUAUUGAUGAUAAUGGUUGGAUAUUUUGAUUCAUUAUCUGUUAUAUACAGCUUAUCAUUAUGCAUUAUUUAUCAUAACAGUUAUGUGAUCUUUAUAUCUCCUAUAGGCAAAAUUUAGGGGGAGCCAUAUAGUUAGGGAGAGCAUGAUUGUAAGGAAUAAUAUAUUGUCAUCAUCAAAAGGUGGAGAUUAUUAGUUUUAUUAUUUGUAAUUUUAAUAAUGACAAUAUAUUUGCAAAUAUAAGUUAUUUAAUGGUCUGAAUAUAUUUGCAAAUAUAAGUUUGGUUCAUGAUAAUUUAAUUUGGUUAUAAGUCAAAUUGAUAUUACGUGCAGGAUUGAAUUGGAAUAUUUUCUUUCAGGUCUAAUUUGGAGUCUCUAAAUUAACUGGUUUAGAUAUUUGUGUAGAGUAUGGACUCUAUCUAUAAUAUAUUGUUACUCCUUAAUUUUAGCCAUUGUUAGAUUACAUAUCUUUGACUUUCUAAUUUUGAGAAUAUUUUAUAGCUGUUAGCUAUAUCUAUGUGCUGAAAUCUCUAAUUCUCGAAAUCCAAGACCAAGUCAUUGACGAGCCUACUAAGUUUACACAGCAACCACGAUUUGUUUGUAGACUUGUAGUUAUUCAUUUUAUACCCGAAGUUAACAAAUUGUAUGAAAGGUUCAUCCUUUCAAUUAUCUACAUAAUUUAUUUUUUCCUACUCUAUGCAUUCCUAAGUAUCAGAUCGGAUCAGAUCAUAAACAUCACAAUAAACCAUCUAGUGGUAAUUGUUUUAUUUAUAAUACGGUAAUAACAACCACCUAGUGGUAGUUGAUUUAUUUAUUACAUGCUAAUAACAACCAUGAGCUGAUUGUUGAUUUAUUUAUUAAAUGCUAAUAACAGCUAUCAGCUAGUGGUUGAUUUAUUUAUUAUAUUCUAAUAACAGCCAUCAACUAGUAUAUAGUUUCUUGAUCAACUGUUCAUAGGAAGAUUACUGAUCGUUCAUUUAGGCGCUGGGGGGACUAAUUUGAACACCAUAGAUAACUAAACCCGUCUUCAUAGUCGCGCUUUCACUCCCGUCAAGAGCAAAUUUUAAAUCUCCAGAGUCAAAGCUAUUCAAGAAUUCCCCAGCUUUGAGCGAAAAUGGUGUGUUUCUCGGAUAAUUCAUCAAUCCAUAUCCGUUCACUUGCGAGGAUCCAUUCGGAAGAGUAAGUGUAAGACUCACCGGACUUGCUAUGUUAAAGUUGUCUUUCAGCAACACCACAAAAGAUACCUCAUAAGAUAAUUUUUCAAGCUUUUCUGUCAUAUAGUUUCCGUCAACAUGUAGGACUAAGCUACCAAUUAAUUCAGCACUGGCAUCACUGAAAAAAAAUGAUAGUAGAAUUAAAGUCAGAAACUUUUGAUAUAAGGAGCUUAAAUUCAUUAAGGUGAUUUUAUUGAUUUUUUUUUUCUGGAACAUUUUUAAUGUAAGUCCUUCUAUCUACCUAGAGUCUAGACUUCAAUAAAAUUUCUAUAGUCCUUCUAUCACUUUAAUUUAAUGACAUAGUUGCUUAUAUAUCCCUAUUUUUAACUGAAUAAAAUUCAGGUGUUUAAACACAAAUCUUAACCUUUGACGUCAAUUAAGUUAACUAAAUCUUAUUUCUACUUACGUAAACUUCCAGCCUGAAGGGUUGGCAUAAUUGAGUUCCUUUGCAUACACAAAAGCCCAACUGCUCUGAAUAAGUCAACAGAAAUUUACAUUAUUAUAAGGAUAGAUAAGGCAAACCAGCGGUGACCGAUCGAAUGAUAUGUCGAUGCCUUUAUAUAUAUAUAUAUAUAUAUAUAUAUAUAUAUAUAUAUAUAUAUAUAUAUAUAUAUAUAUAUAUAUAUAUAUAUAUAUAUAUAUAUAUAUAUAUAUAUAUAUAUAUAUAUAUAUAUAUAUAUAUUGACGGUUGACAUUUCAAAAUAACAAUUAUAAAAGUGUUGCCAAAUGUAUAUUUACUCUGAUAGCGAUGACAUUAUCAAUCACCUAUAUAUAAAUAGCAAAUGUUUCAUCGCAAAAGUUUAUUACGGAAUAUGUAUCACUCAAUCCAUCUUAUAUCAUCCAUACAUUACAACAUCAGAUAGAUGUGAUCUUAAAAUUUUUGAACACUCGGCGACAUUAUGUUGCAAAUGGUACCAAAUUUUAAAAAUCCCAAAGGUGUAAGAUGGUCUAAAUUUUGCAAAAAUGUAUCACUUGCAAAAUUUACAAAUAUUAAGGAUUAUUUUUGUUCUGUAGACAACUUUAGUGUGUAUAUAUAUUUGAUGUUUGUUUCCAAUUUCAGUGGACUUACCUUCUGGCCCGGGUCCUUUUUGAGCAACGCAUUUUCCUUAGCUUGAGACAACAAUGUCUUGAGGUCAACCUUGUGAUACCUCACUACUUGUGCCAUUUCGCCUUUAAUUCUGCUAUAUAUAUUUUUUGUUUUUGUUCUUG